CAAGUUGGGGUGUGCGUCGUCUGUGUGCAACAACAUCAACGCUGGUAAGCACCUUUUGCUCAGACGGAGAAAACAAUAAUCAUUAAUUAGCGGCAGCUAGAAUCCUAUAAUCUAAUAUAUUUAUAUAUAUAUAUAAUUUUAUCAGCUCUGGGAAAUGAAGAGGCGAACGAUGCCGUUGAGAGUUGCGACCAAGCCUGCUCUAGCUUCUGCAGCGUGCAUGUUGGCAGCGCCACCGUGGUUGCUUAAGCAAAUGCAUGCAACUAGAUCGUCCUUGUGCUGAAUAAUUGGAUAUCGUAUCCACUUAAAGCUGCCUUGUGUAGUACGUCUUUGUUUGUGUCUCUCUUUAUAUUCCACUAAGGUCGGUGAUCUUGAUGCCACACACACUCAGAUGUGUGUUCAUCUCCAGAUACUACUCCAUGCUACCUGCCCUUUUUGUUUUGUUCAAUAACUGGGUAUCAUAUCCCGGCCAGUGUGCCAUCUAUUUUGUGUUUGUUUCCUUCUAGUUCCAAAGGGGUCAUCAUGAUGUUACCUUCUUUCGAUAUGGUGCUUUGCAUGACAACUGUUGUAUGGUACCAUCUUGUUGGCCAAUAAAUACAUCUUAUCCUAUGACCCUUUGCUAUGACCCUUUGCAAAUAAGUACAAGAUUGUUAUAAGCGUCAAUACUCAGUAUAAUUGAUCGCUGCUGUGAGUUCCCUUUCAGCUUAUCGUAGGCACACAUUAUUGCUAGCACGGUAAAGACAACCAACACGAAUGAUGAAGUAAACGUAGCGGUACUUUUGUAUACCAACACCCUUACUUAAAUGUACUGGUGUCAUUCCCUACUGGCACAUAUAUUCUUAUAUGCUAGCCAGAUUGGAAAAUUAACCAAUUAAAAUAAUUAUUUCAAGAUAGAAAUAACUUAUCGGCUUCUCGAAGCAUGUGUAAUUUUAAUUCAAGGACUCAAUGGAAGUUGAAUCACUUCAUCUAGAUUGCCUUCUGGAUUUUGGUUAACUAAAUUUAACAUUUGUGUCGGGGGGAAAUAUUAACGAUUUUCUUACGCUCUCUAAUUAACGGAUACAAGGGCUAGGGCCCACCCCUAAUACCCAUAAUCUCCGCUAACAACACAUCCCAGAGGCACUCCGCUCCGCCUCGCCCGACUUCAGGGUCGCAGGGUCGGACGUGCCCGACCCCCCAAGGCCUCGCCUCGUCUCAGCCGAUGGAGUUCCGCCUCGCCCGACCCUGAGCCCAACGGAUCGGACGCGCCCGACCCCUCGAAGCAGGACUCCGCCUCGCCCGACCCUGAGCGCAAGCGGUCGGACGUGUCCGGUCCCACCUGACAGAGCUCCGCCUACCCGAAGGUACGAGCAGGUCAUCAGACGGAAGCGCGGGCUCUGUGAGUCCCCCUGGGCUCACCCAACCGAUGGGACCGCGCAAGCUUCCAGAUACAGUUCUGACACAUGGAGAGGCGCCCGCGUUCCUCGACAUGACCUGUCAAAAUGUUGGUCUGCGCACUGCUGCCACGACUGCACAGGGCUACACCUGCACCGUCCUACCCCACUGUGACAUCUGUCAUAGGGCACUCAUCGCUCAUACCAUCUAAUGGAGGAGGGAAAACCGCCUAGUUUUCCACGUGGGCUAGCAAGAAGAGCACGUCAGCCACGCCGCCCCGUCAGGGUGCAUGGCUACAGUGGUUGACCAUCACCCGCGACGUGCACAGUCACAGUGGCCAGUCGUCACCACCAACUUGCACAGCUACAGUGGUCGGCCGCCAUGCACGACUCGCGUGUCCGGCUACAGUGACCGACCGCCGAGUCACCGAUGGGACCCAACGGCAACCCCUAUCCCUUAGUAGCAGUACCGACAAGACGCAGAGACAAGAAGGGAAGACGACGUCUCUAGUAGCCCCACUUGCUUCCCUUUUUACCUUUCUACCUGUUUACCUUCCUUACUCCCGGCUCAUUUGUAACCUCUGUAUCCUCCUUGCACUAUAAAAGGAGACCAGGGGGUCUGAGGGCAAGGGACCCUCGGAGACCGAACCCCGAAUUCACCCAAGUACAAACCAACCGAACCACCAGACGAGAAAGACUCACAGAGAUCUGGGAACCAGCUUCCCUCUCUCACCUAUUUGUAGCCUCUACUCCAGACUUGGUACGAGUAACACGAGCAGCCACCCGCACUGGACUCCUCCGCCAGAAACUGGUCCAACCAGUCGGGUCCCUCCCCCUGCUCUUCGUCCUCAUCAUCCUCAUCAUCGUCGUCCUCAUCCGUUGCCGUGUCUGGCCCCUCCGCAGCCUUCAGAACUCCGCUGCAGCUUUCUUUUUCUUCCUCACCGUCUCCUUGUCCUUCCUCUUCUUCUGUGCUUCGUCGAGGAGGCGGUUCCGCUGCCUCUGCACCACGUCCUCUGGCACCGGUGGACGGGAGGCUGUGACAUGGUUUAAGUUACCCUGCAGAUUCGAAGACUCCGCGUCAGAAUAGCAAACCAGGAAAUGCAGGAAAGAAGAACGAGAGUGCAAAUUUCUAACCAGCAGGACAUAGGCCUCGUCCGGGCGCAUCGGAGGGUGCCCCGGCACCGGGAACACGACAUCCCUGUCACCCAAUGCAUCCCGGACACGCUGCUCGAUCUCGGCGUCGGCAAUUGCACCCGUCGCAAGGACGGUGCUGUGGUACGCCCCAACAACUCCGGCCCCGGUCAGGCCCUCCUCCUUCAGAAGGUUGAUGGCUUCGAGGAGACCCCGGAUAUUCUUCUUCUCCUUCUCAACAGGGCCAUAUGUCCACGUUCCCGGUGCCUCCACGAUGACGCGGCCAGUGAACUCCGUCAAGAGGACAUCGGGGCGGUUCUUCACAUAGAGCCACUGCUGAUGCCACCCUUUGUGGGAUGACGGGGUCUUCAUCGAUGUAUACUCCUUGGGCCGAUGGCCACAGAGGUGGAUGCCGGCACACCCCAUCAGCAUCGGAAUCGUCCGCGUCUGGUUUCCUCUCUUCUCGGUCCUCUGAUGAAGAGUGACAGCGAAGAAGUACUUCCACAGGGCGAAGUUGGGCUCGAUCCCCAGGUAUCCCUCCCAAAGCACGACGAACGCCGCGAUGUGCUGGAUUCCGUUGGGGUUGAGGUGCUCCAGCUCAAUGCUAUAGUAGUGCAGCAGCCCCCGGAAGAAGCGACUUGGGGGAACCGCGAACCCCCUCUCGUGGAAGUGCGCGAAGGAGACGAUGUACCCGUCCUCCGGCUGUAGCACGGCCUUGUUCCCGGGAUACCGCCACUCGUUCUCGGCGAUCCUAUCGCGAAGAAGGCCCUUCUUCACGAGACCGAUCACGCGCGCGGUGUUGAAGAUUGACCAAGACCUUGAAUCCAUCGCCGAGGAAGGGGAAGGCUCGACGGCGGUGGUGGAAAGGUGAAUGCUCUGGCUCGAAAGAGGAUGAAAAGUGAACAAGGAGGCGAGAAAGGCUGAAGACGAGUGCGGAGCGGAGCAAGCAAGGUAAGCUCUCUCGUUUUACAGGGGGCGUGCGAGAAACGAAAGGCGAACCGAACGCAUUUAUUGCGACGUCAGGUAUGCCCCAUCGCCUCCGCCUUUCUUCGGAAACCGUACGCAUGAUUUCUUUUUAACCGCAGGGAACGCUACGCCCCCUCGCCCCACGAGCCCGGUGUUUUUUGCCGCUUCGUCUCCUGGAGGUCAUGCGCACAACUUCCUCCACAAGCGGCCCAGGGCCCGCUUCAGGUAAAAAAGGGAUACAGAGCUGAAAACACUCUAACGGCCCAUUACGGUCCAGGGGUUCGAAGGCUGGCCCUCUAGAGGGUUCGACAUCCACCCCAGGACAUUUCUUGAGCAAGGGGUGAGAAGGGACGGGUCCGCUAGCGACCACUACCCUGGUGAACAAAAGCCAAGGGCGUCCCGACCUCACAUUUGAGUCUCGAUUGGCGUUUAAGUUCAUGGUUUUUCCCCGAAGAAAGGCAAAGUGCCCCCGGAUCCGGUUGAACAGACCUGGGAACUAUAUGAACUGGCCGUCCGAAAUCUGGAGUACGCCACCAGCUUGGCCCAAGCCGGACCCGCCCGAACAGGGACCGGGACUCCACUCGAACUGACCCGUUAGCAGCUCACCGAGCACCAUGGUUCGUCCGAUGAGGAUAACAUGGCACGGCUCACCCCCUCCGUCCCAACGAACGGACGCUGAGGGGUAACGACUAAAAGACGAUCCGACCUCUCGAUCGGUCCCCUGCAAUGCGCGGGGGCUCGAGGGCUGGAAUCACAACGAAACGACCAUGCGCAUGGUUACGACUCGGAAUUUUGAGGCAGGAAUGGUCAUUGAAACAAUAGGGAAUCUUCCCAAACCGUACCAUCCUCAGAACACUCUGGCUACCCAAAACUCCCCGGCCAGGCCAAACAAGCAAAACUUUUCUCCUGAUCAAAUCAAGGUACAUGUUAAACAAGACCCCUGACAAACACUCUGCCGAGAGCCAAUCACAGCCUCUGGAGGAGCACCUUGCUCCACCAAAGGCUCGGGGCCUACUGUCAGGGGGAAAUAUUAACAAUUUUCUUACGCUCCCUAAUUAAUGGACACAAGGGCCAAGGCCCACCCCUGACACCCGUAAUCUCCACCAACAACACAUCCCAGAGGCACUCCGCUCCGCCUCGCCCGACUACAGGGUCACAGGGUCGGACACGCCCGACCCCCCGAGGUCUCGCCUCAUCUCAGCUGAUGGAGUUCCGCCUCACCCGACCCCAGGCGUAAGGGGUUGGACGCGCCCAACCCCUCAAAGCAGGACUCCGCCUCGCCCGACCCCGAGCGCAAGGGGUUGGACACAUCGGAUCCCACUAGACAGAGCUCCGCCUCGCCCGAAGGUAUGAGUAGGUCAUCAGACGGAAGCGCGGGCUUUAUGAGUCCCCCCAGGCUCACCUAACCGAUGGGACGCGCACAAUUCUAGAUACAGUUCUGACACGUGGAGAGGUGCCCGCGUUCCUCGACAUGACCUGUCGGAAUGUUGGUCUGCACACUACUGCCACGACUGCACAGGGCUACAACUGCACCGUCCUACCCCACUGUGACAUCUAUCAUAGGGCACUUAUCGCCCAUGCCGUCUAACGGAGGAGGGCAAACCGCUUGGUUUUCCGCGCAGCCUAGCAACUACAGCACGUCAGCCACGCUGCCCCGUCAGGAUGCAUGGCUACAGUGGUUGACCGUCGUCCGCGACGUGCACAGCUACAAUGGCCAGUCGUCACCACCAACUUGCACAGCUACAGUGGUCGGCCGCCAUGCACGACCCGCGUGUCCGGCUACAGUGGCCGACUGCCGAGUCACCAAUGGGAUCCAACGGCAACCCCCAUCCCUCAGUAGCAGUACCGACAAGACGCAAAGACAAUAAGGGAAGACGGUGUCUCCAGUAGCCCUACUUGCUUCGCUUUUUACCUUUCUACCUUUUUACCUUCCUUACUCCUGGCUCAUUUGUAACCCCUGUGUCCUCCUUGCACUAUAAAAGGAGACCAGGGGGCCCGAGGGCAGGGGACCCCCGGAGACCGAACCCCGAAUUCACCCAAGUACGAACCAACCGGACCACCAGACGAGAAACACUCACAAAGAUCUGGGAACCAGCUUCCCUCUCUUGCCUGUUUGUAGCCCCUACUAUAGACUUGGUACGAGUAACACGAGCAGCCACCCGCACUGGACGUAGGGCUAUUCCUGCCCGAACCAGUAUAAACCUCGCGCCCUCUCGUACAACCAUCCAAGCCUUACGCGUAGAGAAACAAAUUUACUAAGCCGGUAGUCUUGACCCGUGAUUCGUGAGACCGACAAUUUGCACAUACAAAUGUUAAAGUACAAAUGUUAAAUCUAGUUACCAAGCAGAAUACGAAAUAGCGGGCUAUAGUGAGGCUAUAGCGGCGCUAACUGCUGCAACAACAGUGUUGUACUAAUUAGCAGGCUAUAGCGGAGCUAUAGCGGUUGAGCACAGCUCUACGCUAAAUAUCAUAGCCCUCAAUUUUGUACAUUGUAUAUACUAUAUAAAUCUAGUUAACAUUUAGUCUAAAUGUUAAAUCGAGUUACCUAAAAUCCUGAAAGCAAAAUGUAUAAAUAUAUAUCUUUUAGGGUAGUAUAAGCUUCGAUUCCUUUUGCUGCUCUGUUAAAUCUCAUCUUUCGUUGUAGCCCAACACUCUAGUAUUGAUUUUGCACCAAGCUUCUUUGAGCCGCUCUGCCCUCUGAUUUUGCUGCGUAGGGGAAUCUUUAUCAGGUUGGGCUACUUCCAGUCGUGCGAUGUAUACCUUUGUAUCUUCUAGAAGGUAGACAGAAAACCCGCGUUCUCUUAAGGCAACAACCAGAAGAUUCUGCAGCGCACGGGGCAUAUCAUUGUUGUAGAAACGACCUUUAGUAUCGAUCUCCAACCCCUUAUAGUACUGGUUUUGCAACCAGUACCGUUAUGUCGGACCUUUAGUACCAGAUCAAAUAACCGGUUCUAAAGGGACUCCUUUAGUACCGGUUGGUAACCAGUAUCAACUUGUUUUGCGGCCAAAAAAAUAAAGAAAAAAAUAGCCAGAAGGCUAGCACACACACACAUCCCACGAAAUAUGCGCGUGCGCGGUCCAUGGGAUUCGAACCCAUGAAAUCAAGCUGCGCGCAACCCUUCGUUACCAUCUCACCUUCAGUACCGGGUCAUAACACCACCCGGUACUAGUAUCGGAUGCUGUAAUGACUCGAUACUAAAAGGCCUCUAGGGACCCUCAAAUUUGGACCCGAUACUAAUGCUAACAUUAGUACCGGGUCAAAGUGCAGCCAGUACUAAAGCAUGGGACGAAAGGUCAUAUUUCUAGUAGUGUAUAGUUGUUGUGUAGGACUGACUUGGCUGUCCUCUCUCUUCUCCAUCCCAUUGGUCUUACGCCGCCGCUCGCACGCGAGCCGGCACCCAACCAGAGGAGUGAGAGCUAGGGGCGGGUUGGGAGGUGGGGGUAGCGACUGGUGGCUAGGGUGAUGGUUGAUGUUGGCGGGGUUAGGGUUUCAUGGUUUUCAAGCUACCUACGGCCGGCGAACCUAGAGGAGGAGGUCGACAUCAGCUGCAACCCGCGGUGGUGGUGGUUUGGCCGGCGCCCCAGGCGAGGCAGCGUGGGAGUGCUGCUGGCGGGUUGGUGUUGGCGCUCAUUAUUGACACAUUUUUAGUACUAUUUUGUUCAUGGAAUAACACUCAAACGUGCUGGUGCUGCUGCCGCCAUCGCCGCCCUAGCCAUAAUAUAAAGGCAAAAUUUGCUAGAGGACAUGCAAAAUGAUGCUAGUUUGCUGGAGGGCACCGUUGACCAUGUAAUAUGCUACAAGACACUCUAGUUGUUCUAGAGUGUAUCAAUUUGCUGAAAGACAUUGCUACGACUAAAAUAAUGUUUCUGGACUGAGUUGGAGAGAGAGAUGGAGUGAAAUGUCUGUUUUGCCCAUGACCCCACUGAUCAGAUCCUUCUUCUUCCACCCUCCUUUCUUCUUUCUUCAACCAUUACCCAGCUCUAGUGUGUUGCAGAUCUACGAGGGUGGCGGCCCGGGGCGAGGGGCAUCGCUUGCCCUCAGACGAGCGCCGCGAGCGACGGCGCGGGGGCAGCAACGGCGCGUCGGAACCUGACCGUUCGUUAGCUCCUCUCGCUGCUGGGGAAGGAGGGGGAGGGGCCAUGGACGGGGUUCCCUCGAAAACCUUAGCCUCGAGCUCAGGCGGCUACGCGCAGGCAGCACUAGGCUCUUCGCGGGGAGGGGGCGCGGCCAAUCAUUGGCACCCCACUGGUCCAAUGCUGAUGAAGAUGGUGCCAGCGUCGUGAAGAUGGUGCCAGCGUCGUGUGAGGACCUCUCAUCUCCUCGAGUUCCAUGGCCAGCACAGGUGAGCGUCCGCUACCACAAAACAGAGGUGUCGUGAGAGUCAAAAAAACUCAUGAAAAUAGCUAAAACCAUCAUGAAAAUAAUCCAUGACACGACACUCUAACGAAAAUCCUCUCACAAAUAUGGUGCCAUCAAAAUACCAUUUUCAUGAGAGUGAACUGUCAUGAUUUUAUUUCGUGAGAGUAUUUCCUAUCAAUGACCUCCACGAAAUACUUUGUGCCACCAGGUCUUCAAGAUCAUUUUCAUGAGAGCCGAACGUCACGAAAGGUCCGCCACAAAUGUUUUUCCUGGGAGCCUCUAACUCUCAUCAAAAGCAUGUGGGCCGCCGCGAAAAACAGCCUGACCAAAUGACAAUUUUCAUUUUCAUGUGCUCUUACCGCCAUGAAAAUGGUCAUUUUCAUGAGAGUUGAUGAAACAAAAAAAUAGUGCCAUUUUCAUGAGAGUUCAAGCAACCAGGAAAAGGCACUAAUAAACAUCCAGAUCCCAUCCAGCACACAUCCAUGCACAUAUAUAACCCACAUAUUGCUCCAGCAACAUCCAUGCAUAUACAAGAUCCAAAUGUCUUGGUAUGAACCUACAUGCAUGUGAUGAACCAGUAACCUGCAAAAAGAGCUCAUAGGAUCUUGUCCUCAUAUUGUAGCUGUGAAAUUCUUGCAAGUAGUGUUGCAAUCAGUUCACUUUGAACCAAAAGAGCUCAAAGGAUCAUGUCCUCAAAGUUCCUCUUAAAGCUUAUGGGUUUGCUGGUGGAACUGGAAGGGCUUGAUGCAGCAUGCCAUUCUGCAAUAGAGAAAAAUUUAGAAAGCUGUACUAGUUAAAAUUGGAUGCAGCAGAGACACAUGAAACUAGUAUUUAUACAAUUCUAUAUAUAUAAUAAUUUGUCCCCUAAAUUUUUAGGAUCCUCUCGACGGUGGUGAGUCUUCCAGUAAGGCAAUUGAAUGUCCAUCGUGAUAAAAUUCUCCUUUGGAUUUAUCAUCUUCUCAACCAGAAAUCCUAGGAGUUCAUCCUUAAGCCUUACCAGUUGUAAUUUGGAAAUAUGUGAAAGUUAAACGAACAAUUAAAAUCUAAGGAUCCUUAUCAUCAUUUCCAUACGUUUGCGAAUUAAAAUAAUGAAGGAUACAAUGUUAGGUGAAAAUUCAAGAAACAAAAUUUUGUAUAGAGAUAAUGGUCCGACAUUAUUACAAGUUAAAGUUGUUUUAAAUAUCCUUGUAAUCUUCCUUUGGUUUCCUCGACGAUUCCAAGACAGUAACCUUGCUUCUAUCAAUGAUAAUUAUAAGGAGAACCCAAUGAAAACUGUGUAUUCAUAUUAGAACUAACUAAGGUUAAUUCGGAUAGGAAAGGAAAUCAAAAAUAGAUGGUACCCACACUUACUUAAAGUUGUAGGGUAGUAGUAUGUAAUGCUUGUAAUUCUGUUGCUCCAAGAAUUUGUAUAUGUGGUUCAAUGUAGACUUUGGUUGAUCCUGUAUCUGCUGUUGGUUGAAUAAGUGUUUCUAACCAUUUCUAGCCGUUAGAACUGGGACUAAAGGGAGCUCUUAGUGCUGGUUGAUAUUACUAGUCGGGACUAAAGAGCCCCCGUUAGAGUUGGUUUUCGGACGUGGAACUAACCACUCCUUUAGUCUCAAGUCCAAAAAUGAUUGAGACAUUUGUUGCUGGAUGGAACACUAGUAGAGAAUUGGCUUUCGAUGCGCCCCCUUUUGUCCCGGUUUAAAGUUGGACUGGGACAAAAGAGGGUGCGCCACGGUAGGUAAAAAUGGAGGGGGGAGUUAGUCCCGGUUGGUAAUUGCAACCGGGACUAGAGGCCCCCCUUUAGUCCCGGUUGCAAUGGCUAGCUGGGGGGCGUCGGUGGCGGCACCUUUUUGUCCCGGUUGGAGUCUCCAACCGGGAUAAAAGGUCCACCCUUUUAUCCCGGUUGGAGGCUCCAACCGGGACAAAAAGUUUAGUCCCGGUUGGAGCUUCCAACCGGGAUAAAAGGGUGUCCCUUUUGUCCUAGUUGGAGCCUCCAACCGGGACUAAACUUUCAACCGGGACAAAAGGUGUGGUUGGAGUUUUUAACUGGGAUAAAAACUCAUCCCCCAUUAUAUACCAAGACAGAGGACUUUCUUCCUCCUCCAGCCCGAGCCAGUCCAGCACAUUCACAGAGAGUUGACCUUCACCUACUCUCCGGUGGUGCCGAAGCAAGGAGGUGCUGCCCGAAGUUUUUUCCCUCAUUUUCGUGGGAAUUUCACUCAGCUAACACAAGUGUUGUGAAGGUUUGCUACUUCAUCCUCGUUUAUGCUUUGAUUUAUGCUUUGGAGAUGGAAAGAUUAUUUGUUAGAAUGUGAUGAAGUAGAAAAUGGAGAGAAUAUUUUGAGCUAGAAUGUGAGGGAGAUUGAUGUGUCAUAUAUAGUAUGCAUUCUUGCAGUGGUUUAAGAAUGAUGCUACCUUGUCCAGACAAUUUAUCUUAUCAAAUUCAAUAUAGUUUUUCAAAUCCAUACUUGUUGAACUUGCAUACCGUGUUCAUCUCUACGAGGAUAUUCUCUGCCGAGCAGCAACGUAUGUCAAGAAGGAGGUUCGAUUCUACGAGGAAGAGUGGAUACGGACAUCGUGACCGUGUCCCCUUUUCCGUAGCAUCUAACCUCUUUCAUGAUGAAGUGCGGUGCCGCCCAGUUGAGAACAUGCUCGCGAGAUGAACACAGUAUGCAAGUUCAACAACUUCUGCAGUAGUAAGGAAAGAAUUUUUGUACAUAGAUGACUUCUGCUACUUGUUGAACUUAUCAAAUUCAAGAAGGUUUUUCAAAUCCAUACUUGUUGAACUUGCAUACCGUGGUCAUCUCGCAGAGGAUGUUCUCCGCCGAGCAGCAACGUAUGUCAAGAAGGAGGUUCGAUUCUACGAGGAAGAGUGGAUACAGACAUCGUGACCGUGUCCCCUUUUCCGUAGAAUCGAACCUCUUUCAUGACGAAGUGCGGUGCCGCCCAGUUGAGGACAUGCUCGCGAGAUGAUCACGGUCUUUAAGUUUAACAACUUAUGCAGUGUUAAGGUAAUAAUUUUUGUACAUAGAUGGCUUCUGCUACUGGAGAAAGUGGCGAUGGUGGGGGUGAUCGUGGUUCCUCUUUCGGCAAGGGGAAAAUCAUAGUUGGCCCUCAGCAUAAGCCAAAGAAAAAGAGCGCACUGGAAAAAGCAAUGCUUCGUUAUUUGCAGCAACGUCAUGAAGAAGUUGUUGCCGCGGGUCAGGAACCUCCUUUUGGUCGUCGUUAUGCUCCACCCUUAGUCCCGGGUGUUUCACAUCCACUUAGUACUACCGUUUCAGGCGGCACAAAUAAACCUAAGGAUGAGGCUAGGUCAGCGGAACUUUCGUCUUCACUGUCCAAGGAUGCUUAAAGUCCUCCUAGAUAAUAACCAGUGGAUGGCUUGUUGUAUUGUAUCAUGUUGUUUGGAUCUUUAAUUUAAAUAUGUGUAUUUGGAUCUUCAUGUUGUUGUAUUGUACCAUGUUGUUUGGAUCUUUAAUCAAUUUUCACACGUAAUCCAUUGUCAAGUGUAAUCCAUUUUCAUGCAUAAUAAGAUGCAGAUGGACCGGCAAUGGAUGUAUAAUGCAGACAGGCAGAGCAAGGUGUUUAUUGAUGGCUUGCAUUAUUGUCUCGAAGUGGCCAAAGCGAACAAGCCAGAGAAUGGGUUCGUAUGUUGUCCAUGCUUCCAAUGCAAUAACAAGAAGGAGUAUUCAUAGGAUUCCUGGGGGACUAUUCACAGCCACUUGUUUAAAUACGGUUUCAUACUUAACUAUUUGGUUUGGACCAAGCACGGUGAACGAGGGGUCGUAAUGGAAGAUGGCGAGAAGGAGGAGGAAGAUGACACCAUUCCAGACUGGGUUGUAGGCCAAGCUUUUGCAGGUACUACAAUGGGCGAGGCUCAUGAAGAUGAGUUUGCAGAAAAUGGCCCUAUUGAUGACUUUGGUCAGGUGAUACGAGAUGCAUACAGAGAUUGCGAAAUUGAGAAGGAAGCAGCAAAGUUGCAGCGCAUGAUAGAUGAUCACCAAAAAUUAUUGUACCCAGGUUGCCAGCUGGGCCAUAAAAAACUAGGUACGACACUAGAAUUUGUGCAAUGGAAGGCAAAAAAUGGUGUGUCCGAUAAGGCAUUUCAGGGGAUGUUGACCAUUGUCAAGAAGAUUCUUCCCGAGAAUAAUGAAUUACCGUCCACAACAUAUGAAGCUAAACAGAUUAUUUGCCCUCUCGGAUUGGAUGUUCAGAAGAUACACGCAUGCCCUAAUGACUGUAUCCUCUAUCGUGGUGAUGACUACGAGAAAUUGGAUGCUUGUCCCGUGUGCGAAGCCCUGCGGUAUAAGAUUAGGUGAGAUGAUCCUUGUGAUGUCGAGGGGCAGUCUCCCAAUAAGAGAGUUCCCGUGAAGGUGAUGUGGUAUUUCCCUAUAAUACCACGCUUGAAGCGCUUGUUCAGGAAAAAGGCGAAUGCUAAGUUGAUGUGAUGGCACAAAGAAGACCGUAAGGAAGAUGAGAUGCUGAGACACCCCGCAGAUGGGGCACAGUGGAGAUCAAUUGAUAGAGCAUUCUCGGACUUUGAAAGUGAAGCAAGGACAUAAGGUUUGGUUUAAGUACUGAUGGAUUCAAUCCAUUCGGUGAGUUGAGUAGUGGCCAUAGUACUUGGCCUAUGACCCUAUUUAUGUUGAACCUUCCUCCUUGGCUAUGCAUGAAGUGGAAGUUCAUUAUGAUGCCGGCGCUUAUCCAAAGUUCAAAACAACCCGACAACGACAUUGACGUGUACCUAAGACUGUUGGUUGAUGACCUUUUACAGCUCUGGAAGGAAGAAGGUGUACGUGUGUGGGAUGAGGAUAGACAAGAGAUCUUUAAUCUACGAGUAUUGUUGUUUGUAACCAUCAAUGAUUGGCCUGCACUGAGUAACCUUUCGGGACAGACAAAUAAGGGAUAUCGGGCAUGCACCCACUGUUUAGACGACACAGACAGCAUGUAUUUGAAGCAUUGUAAGAAGGUCGUCUACAUGGGUCAUCGUCGAUUUCUCCCUGCUCACCACCAGCUGAGAAAGAGCAGGAUGCAUUUCAAAGGGGCGCCAGACCAUCGUAAAAAACCUGCACACCAUAAUGGAAAGUGUGUCUUCAAGAUGAUGAAGGAUGUAAAUGUAGUCUUUGGAAAGGGUCUUGGUAGCCAACCUAUUCCAAACGACAAUAACGGACAUGCACCCAUGUGGAAGAAAAAGUCAAUAUUUUGGGAGCUACCUUAUUGGGAAAUCCUAGAGGUUCGCAAUGCAAUAGACGUGAUGCACCUGACGAAGAAUAUUUGCAUGAACGUGCUAGGCUUCAUGGGUUUUUAUGGGACCUCAAAAGACACAUUGGAAGCACGACAGGACCUGAAAGCCAUGGGGCAACGAGAUGACCUACAUCCGAAAAAGAGAGAUAAUGGAUAGCACUACUUACGUCCUGCCAGUUACACUCUGAGCAAGGAAGAGAAGGAUAGCAUGUUUGAAUGCUUGAAUAGUAUGAAGGUCCCGUCUAGGUACUCCUCGAAUAUAAAGGGAAUAAUAAAUAUGAAAAAAAAGAAGUUUAUAAAUCUCAAGGCCCAUGACUGUCACAUGUUGAUGACCCAGUUGCUUCCGGUUGCACUGAGGGGUGUUCUACUAGAAAAUAUCCAGUUGCCGCUCGUAAAGCUAUGUGCGUUUCUAAAUGCGAUUUCACAGAAGGCAAUCGAUCCAUCCAAGCUAUCAAAGCUACAGAACGAUGUGGUGCAAUGUCUUGUCAGUUUUGAGUUGUUAUUUCCACCAUCCUUCUUCAAUAUUAUGACGCACUUACUGGUUGACCUAGUAAAAGAGAUUGGUAUUCUCGGACUUGUAUACCUGCACAAUAUGUGGCCUUUCAAGUGUUCAUGGCAGUCCUAAAAAACUAUGCUCUUAAUCGUGCCCAUCCAGAAGGAAGCAUCGCCAAGGGAUAUGGAACAGAGGAGGUGAUCGAGUUUUGUGUUGAUUUUAUUGAUUCAAUUGACUCGAUUGGGGUUCCAACUUCACGCCAUGAGGGGAGGCUCCGAGGAAUGGGCACCCUUGGAAGGAAAUCAAGUUUGAGCAAUGAUACUGAUUUGUUCGACAAGGCACACUACACGGUUCUACAACAGUCAUCCUUUGUGUCUCCAUAUAUUGAGCAGCACAGGCAGAUGGUAGUUUCCAAAAACCCGACCAAAUCCGAUGCUUGGCUUACCCGUCUUCACAUGGAAACUUUUCCCUCCUGGUUGCGCCAACAACUUAUGGGUAACUCUGAGAUUCACCCACAGCUUGCCUGGUUAGCCAGGGGACCUGCUAGCACAAUUGUGAAAUUUCAAGGCUAUGAGAUAAAUGGUUAUACAUUUUACACGAGAGCCCAGGACCAGAAAAGCACGAAACCAGAAUAGUGGUGUCCGCAUACAUGCCAUGGACAGAAAUAAUAGCAAGGAGUCGUAUUAUGGUUUCAUAUAGGAGAUAUGGGAACUUGAAUACGGACCGUUGUACAUCCCUCUAUUUCUUUGUAAUUGGGUGAAGCAAACUGCCGUAACCAAAGAUCAGUACGGAAUGACAAUAGUAGAUCUGAGCAAGACUGGAUACAGUGAUGACCCAUUCGUACUUGCCAACAAUGUGCAACAGGUGUUCUAUGUGAAGGACAUGUGUAGCAAACCCAAGAGAAAUCCAGAAGAGACAUGGGAGCCAAAGUGCCACAUAGUUUUUCCAGGUAGAAGAAAAAUCGUGGGAGUCGAGGAUAAAACAAACCAAUCAGAUGAUUAUGAUUAGUUUGAUGGCAUGCCUCCAUUCGCCGUUGAAGUUGAUCCAAGCAUCCUGCUAUCCAAAGAAGAGGCUCCGUACUUACGCCGCGAUCAUGAUCAAGGAACUUUCGUGAAGAAGAAAUUCUACAACGUUGUAUUGUAAUGCGCUAAAUUUACAUGACCUUUGUGUAGUAAUUGAUACAAUUUUUAAUUUACCCUAUGUAUGAUUUGAUGUGUUCUUAAAUUUGUUAGGUGAAGAUUUAUUAGAUAAACAUGAACAAUGUUAACCACAUACAUACAUGGAUUUUUCUGCGCAUUGAAAUUAUUUAAUGGAAUAAUUUCUUGAUCACAGCGAUGUAGUAAAAUAAAUAUUUUAGAGCCUAAAUGAACUGGUAUAGAAUUAAUGACUAACUCACACUUAUUGUCAAUUUACUCGCUAAUUAAAUAUAUUUUUGCAUGUACAAAAUAUGUGAAGGUUUUUGUUUUUCAUCCUGAAUUGCAGUGAAAAGAUAAAUAAAAUCCAUUUCCAAAAAACAGGCGGGAGAAGAAAACUGGGAAAAGGACCUUUUGUCCCGGGUGCCAACAGAAACCGGGACAAAAAGCCCCCCCCCUUUUAUCCCGGUUGGUGGUGGCACCCGAGAUAAAAGGGUAGGCUCCAAGCCCCACUUGGCGGACGCACCCUUUUGUCCCGGGUCCCGUCACCAACCGGGAUAAAAGGGGGGGCCUUUUAUCCCGGUUGGUGAGGGGACCCAGGACAAAAGGCCCUUUAGUCCCGGGUGUCAUUACGAACCGGGAUAAAAGGGGGGUUAAAAGGCACUAUAGCCCCUUCUACCCCCCACGCCAGUUACAGUUAGCAAAAUUUUCACCAAGAUCCCGCGCGCACUCUGCUCCGUCGCUGCCCGUCCGCCUUCCUCGCCAGCCGUCAUCGUCGUCGUCCCCCAUUGCCCCGGCCGUCGUCGUCCCGCCGGCUGACCGUGCCCAGAUAGCCUCCUCCUCCAUCGCCCCGGCCCGCCUCGAUCCUCCUGCGUCGUGCCCGGCCCCUACCUCAUCGACGCCGGCCACCUCCAUCGCGGGGCCUCAUCGCCGCCUCCAUCCUCGUCGCCACCUCGACGCCCUGGGUCGCCGCCUCGUCGCCCCUCGUCGCUGCCUCGUCGCCGUCCUGCCUCCGCCGUCUCGCCGUCCCGCGCGCCUUCGCUCCGUCGUCGCCUCCGCCGUCCCACCGCCCCAGCCACCGCCAUCCCGCCACCCCGGCCACCUCGUCGCCCCGACCACCGUCGACCGCGCGUGAGGUCCGCCGCACCGGCACUGGCGCCGGGAGUACCGCCUUGCUGACGCAAGCCCACCGGCUUGCGUCAACAAGGGCCUUUUUUAAGUUAGAAAAUAAAUAGAAAGGAGUAGUAAUUAGGUAGAAAUUCAAUAGAUUUUUGUAUAUGUGUUACAAAAUCAAAUUAGUGUAAAUUAGUUGUAAUUAGGUUCGUCGCUCUGCCUAGGUUAGAAAUGAAUCGUGUUUCGUCGUGGUUCCGUCCCCGCCUCCGCCGUCCCGCCACCCUGACCGUCGCCGUCCCAACCUAGGCACCGUCUGUGGUUCCGUCCCCGCCUCCGCCGUUCCGCCUCCAUCGCAAAUUCAUGUUAUUGCUAGAAAUUCCAAUAAAUAUGAACAAAUUAGUAGAAAUUUGGUAGAAAUUAAUCAUUGCUGCGGCCACCUCGCUCCACAAAUUCAUGUUAUUGCUAGAAAUUCAUAAAAAUUCAUGUUAUCACUAGAAAUUCGUACAAAAUUCAUGUUAUUGCUAGAAAUUCGUAAAAAUUCAUGUUAUUGCUAGAAAUUCGUACAAAAUUCAUGUUAUUGCUAGAAAUUCGUACAAAUUCAUGUUAUUGCUAGAAAUUCGUCACAAAGUACUACUAAUUUGCAAAAAUUUGUAUAAAUAUUCCGGACUUUGUGGGAUUCAUGUUAUUUUCUGAUUUCAUGUAUAUACCCUUAUGUACAUAUAACUAAGGAGAUUUCUAUGACUUUCAUGUAUGUUUCAAUCAAUAGUUGAAAUGGCAGACGAUGAGACCGCAAGGUAUCUCAUGGAGCAGAUAAUCGCUGGUGAUGGUAGUGGCGACAACCUUCCACUAUCGUACACCGAUGAAGAGGGCACCCAGGCGGACAUGUUCCUCAACAUGUCCGCCGAUGGGAAUGAAGAGCAAAAGCCCCAGCAACACCUUGCCGGGGCGGAAGGUUCCGGCGAGGUAUAUAUAACGAUUCUUGUAUUGUUUCACACCACCGUUACUACUACGUACUAAUUAACGAAUCAUGAACCGUUAGCCCUCUGGAUCGACGCAAGGGCAGAAGACACGAGGUCGUACAAAGGUGAUGGAAGGGAGGCUUGUCAUCACGGAAGUGAUAGAAGAGGGCAGGCCGGUUGCUCCCGAGAAAGUAGCAAAGAAGUACGUGAGUCAGAUCGGGGCAAUCGUCCGGGACAACGUGCCUAUCAGCAUCAGAGAAUGGAAGGGCAGAAGCACUAAUCCGUACGCCCUCCUGGAGACAGAAAGAAUAUGCUGUGGGAAGAUGUCAAGAGACAUUUCACAUUCACCGAAGGAUAUAUUGAGAAGGAUGUGAAAGCGUGGACGCUUAAGAAGAUGGCUACACAAUUUCCAGACAUUUAAGAAGAUGCUAGAUACCCACUACAUUAAGAAGGGCCGAACUCCAGACUUCAACGCGUGGUCAAAGUUGAGGGACCACUAGGAUGCAUUUGUUGAAUAUAAGAGGAGUGAAUACGAUGUGAAAAAGAUCACGACCAACACAACAAAUGCUAGUCAGAAGGGCUACCAUCAUCAUCUGGGGCGAGAUGGUUAUGGCUCAGCAAUUCCCAAGUCGAGGAAGAUGGAACAAGAUCUGAUUGAACGGGGAAUCGUACCGGCAACUAUUGAAUGGCCCGAACGAUCAAAAAAUUGGUACUACGCUCAUGGAGGCUCCCUGUGCCAAGAGGAUGGGACGUUGAUUUUCAAUAACACAAUACGUUAGAAGGCCAAACAUCUUGUGAAGAACAUUGAAGAUUCUAAGGCUGGGAGGUUGAAGGUGGACCGAGAAAAUGAUGAGCUCACAUUGGCCCUUGGUAAUCCAGAGCACCCAGGAUGUUGCCGAGGGUUCGGGGUCGUUCCGUGGAAGUUUGUUUUCCGAGGCGACAGCGCCUCGUACAGAAGCCGGAAGCGAAGAAAGGAACAGAUCGAGGAGAGCUGGUGGCAGAUGCUAGAAUCCAAAGUGCAGGCACAAGAACAAAGAAUGAUGGAGGAAAUCAAUCGUCGAGUGGCCCACGCAGUUGUGGAGUUGGCCCAAUCUGGAGCAUUGCCGAAUCCUAACAACGCCAGCCCUUCUCAAUGCCUCUUGAGCAGUUAUGCUUCUACAGGGGUCCCCGAUGCGCACACGCCCAGGUUACCCGUGGAGGAGCAACGGUUCCCCGUGGAUGCCAUCACGCAACACACCACAUGUGAGCUGCAUGCACCGGUCGGCAACCUCACUAUUAAGGUAUACUUAUACAUAAUAUUUAUGCAAUCUUGUCAAUUGAUCCACGCCUCGAUAUCGGAGUUUAACUUGUUUACUUCUACUAUAUGUACAGGUAGCGUACGGGAGUGCGUUAGCAACCCUGGCGGGGCAGAGCAGUCAUGGCAUGAAGAUUCCACCUGGCUACGCUAGCGUCCGCGUAGAGCAAAUAGUUGAUAGCCAAUAUGAAGGUCUAGAGCUCGACCUCCCGGGAGGUGACAGGGAAAGAACACUGGCAGAUGCGCUUCAUGGGAUCAUUCUAUGGCGAAAACGCUACAUCAUUAUUCCCGGCACGGAGCCAUCUCCUCAGAGCUCAAGACCACUCCCCGUAGAUCCCCAGCAGCGACCUUCUCCUCAUAGCUCGAGACCGUCAUCUCCUGCACAACCUGCUCCAGGACCGUCCCUUCCAUCUAUAUCAAGGUCUCCAUCUCCACCACAUCCUGGUGGUGGGAGCGACGACGACAAUAACAACACCCCUUCCUGAUCACCAUCGCCGGCACCAAGAGCGGCCCCCAUGAAGGAACCUGCACCACCACUAAAAAAGUCACGAGCACCGCCUCCCAAGCAAAGACAGAGAAAGAAGAAAACAAAGGAGCCUGAAGUGACUCGUAAGGAACGCUGGGAGACAAUGUCUCAUGCGGAACAGUGGGCAGAAAUCCAACAAGAGGCCAGUGAGUGGUUCAAGAAACAAGCCGAAGAAAAAAAAGCAACGGAGAUGCAGCCACCGCCAGUAAAUCGAAGAGAUUUAAACUUUUUUAUCAGGAUGGAAGAAGGAGCCAAGAAAAGGAUACCACUCUUAUCAAACUAUGAACGGGCUUUAGUAAAGGCUGAUGAAAAGGAUAAAAGGAAAGGAAAGUCAUCUUCCAGCGGUGCUGUCCCCGACCUCAGCCAUUUAUCAAAAAAAGAUGCUCAACGGGUAAAAGCAAUGCCCUUGGAUCAACAAGCAGAAGUAUUGAAGUUCAUGCAAGAAACAGGUCUGGGACUUGAUGAAUGCCUAGGGCAAGUUGAGACGCCAACUGCACCGCCCCCUGAGCCGAGAUGGCCUUAUGAGCUAGGCAAACCUCUAGUAAAGCCUUCAUUGGUACGAAAGCUAUCAACAAAGAUGUACGCAUUCCAUCAAUGGUACAUGAUGGCAUCCGCUGACUCAAGGGAGAUGCUCGGCCUGAAGGUAAAACCGAUGGAUUUUCACGACAGAGGCGAGAAAGUGCUGUGGCUAGACUUCAAGGAUAUAUACGAAGUGUACCAUCAUGAUGCCAUAGACGUCUCUCUGAUCCGCGCUUGGGUUCUGUAAGUGUCCGUUUAUCUCUACAUGUAAAUUUUGGCGUGCGUCACCGUACUAACUUCGUCUUCCAUUUCAUGUAGGAUGCUAAUUCAGACAUGCCGCCGAGAGGCGUACCUACAUAUAGGCUUCAUGGAUCCAUCUGUAGUUAACCAACAGCAGAUACAAUUAGCAUCGGAGAAAACCUUGGUGGAAGUAUACAAUUUCCUAGACAAACAAACAUUCAAGGAUUUCAUACUAUUUCCAUACAACUUCAAGUAAGUGUGUGUAUACCGUCUACUUUCGAUGUCUUUUUCCUUAUCUCUACAUGUUAGUUAGCUCUAAUAUGCAUGAACAUUUUACGCACGCAGCUUCCACUGGAUCCUUAUUAUAAUUGAGCCUCAAAGAAGCCACGUCACUGUCUUCAAUUCGUUGAGGAAAGAUCCAGUGGAGCACCAAGAAAUGCAACACAUGCUAGGCUUGUAAUAAUUCUGGACCUUUAUCUCUAUGCAAAAGUUUGUUUCCUAAAUUCUAUCCCUGUUACACUAUAUCAUUCAUUAUUCUAAUCCACAGCGUAUGGAAACAAUUCAUAAGGACACAAAAAGGUCCAUUCAAAGAAAAACUUACAUGGAACACAGACUUCCCGGUACAUAUGAAGUCUGCACAUUUAUUACAUUGUAUAACACGAAUAUUUCAUAACUUAUUUUUUUCCGUAUUGAAGUGCUUAAGACAGGAACUCGGAAAUAAUCUAUGUGGCUACUACAUCUGUGAGCACAUGCACAGUUUUAUGGGACCCAAGGGACUAAAGAUGACGCCGCACAACUUUAAAGUACGUAAAAUAAAACUAUUACUAGUUAAUUAUUUUCUAGCUCCUUAUAUGUAUUUGUUCACGUAACAUUCACAAAUUUCCAAAUUAUAGAUGUUAAAUAUUCAACAAGGACUCUUGAAGGAAGAAAGAGUAGCGGCAAUAUGUGAAGGUCUCAUUGGAUUCCUAAUGGACAAGGUGGUAGAUCCAAAAGGAGAAUUUUAUUUUGAUGGACGACAAUUAGACACUCUGAUCAGCAACACCUCGAUGGGAAGAUUGUAGAUAGAUACUUUGAUUUAUUUGUAUAUAUAAUACGCGCUAAUUAUGAUCGAUUUGUACUAGUUGAAUUCUGUAUAUGAAUUGUGUAUAAGAAUUGUGUAUAUAUAUAGUAACUGUAUAAUUACAAAUCCCAUUCGUUUAAAUACUAGUUAAUUUCAUUCUAAAAAAAUCUCAACUACUUAAGGUUAACAAAAGGGCUGCGGUACUACGUACGUGAUGCAUGCAUGAAAAAUUCAGGCGCCAGGCAGGUGCCAUGCAGGGCAUCAUUUAGUCCCGUUUGGAAUCCAGCCGGGACUAAAGGGUAACCCUUUACUCCCGGUUGGGAAACCCAACCGGGACUAAAGGGGGACCGUUACUCCCGGUUAAAAGACCCGGGACUAAAACCCCCCCUUUUGUCCCGGUUGGCUUAUCCCGGAUAAAUUUUCGGGAGAUAUGCACCCUACCAACCGGGACUAAAGGCCAAUUCUCCACUAGUGGAAGGUCCUUUCUCUACCAUGAAUAUUGCCAGAAAGAAUUGAAAGAGACCGCUUGCUAAAAACAUGUCAUAGAUGCGGACCAAGCUACCAAGGAGGUAGACCAAACAUGAUACACACCAUGCGUACCUUGCUGUGCAGACUAUGCAUGGACAAGAUACCCGACCACAUGUUGGCUUUGGUCACAUCAAAAGAAUCAUGUAGGCCAUUAAUAAACUACUUGAAGCGUCAUUCCGUAUCUUAUAUCCAUCAUCUGCAUUACAUUACAUUAAAUAUUAUUAACUAUUUGAAUAAAAUGAACCAAUUUAAAAAUAAUGAAUUGUACAUUACUACAAAAAGCCCUAGCACUGCCAGUUCCAAAAACAUCAUUGUUGACGGCCGUUAAGUACCAAAUAUGACGGUCAAUAUCCUAAAGAAUAAAGGACAAUUGGCAUUUCUUACACACAUAUUUGGUUUCGAAUAAUGUAGUUCUACAUGUCCUUGGAGAUUAUUUGGGUGUGGGUGAAAUAAUACAAAAAGAAGGAGAAAACACACUCCCAUGGCAAAGAAACAUAACUCCGACCAAUGAGAGAUAGCCACAGGGGCAGCACAUGGAUCCAUGGGCCCACAAACUGCAUCAAACCAUCUUACAAGGCGGGUAGCACCCACAACUGUCAUUAGGACCCACCUGGAAGUCUAGCAAAGAAGAAGGUUGUGAGUGGGGCCACGAGGGGUUCGGUUGAAUCAUCUCUAGCUCCCUUCAUCCCCAGCUGGCGCGUGGCGGUGGUUCAUGGUGUCCCGACAUCGGUUAGAGGACAUUCCCCCAAAUAUUCCUCCUGUAAACCAGCUCUAUGAACCUAUAAAUAGAGGGGUGUGCUCUCCAUUCCAACACACACCACAAGUUGAAGCACUCUCUCCCUCUUUAGUUUCCAAGUUUACGGAGAUAGGCUGGAGUAGCUCUGCUAAAGGUUCCAAGUCCACUUGGAGUUAAGCGUAUGUCUCUUGUAUCAUUAUUUCCUAGAGAGACUUUAUGCUAUUCAAGUUAUUUAUCUUCUUCAUAUAGUGUUAUGCUUAGUUCUUAUAUGCAUGAGUUAGUCUAAUACCCUUGCUCUAUUGAUAUGCUCAGCUUAUGUGCUCGUAUGCUAGUCAUGUACCCUUGCUGUCAUAGUAUAGGGUUAUAUGCUGUCAUGUGUGCCUAUAGACCUUGCUACAGUAUAUACUUGUUGUGUAUACAUACCAUUUGUAUAUACAUUAUUACAAGUUAAGGUAGUUUUAAAUAUCCUUGUGUUGACAACCAAAGCUUGAUCUUUUGUUUCCAUUGCCAGCGGAUUCAUCGGCUCAGAGUAGGAUCAAGACAUCAAGUUGAUGGAGUUCUUUAUAUUUCAAGAGGAGUCAUGGAGUUCUUUAUAUUUCAAGAGGAGUUGAUGGUGCUUUCAAUAUUGCAACCAGACAUCAUUGGCUCUGAAGACACCGAAUCAUCGGAGUUCUAUGAUCAGUUUCGGAACAUGAAGCCUUCAUACUCCGAAACUGGGGGGCCUGUGUUGACACCGAAUUAUCGGACUUCUAUAAUUAGUUUCGGAACAUGAAGCCUUCAUACUUCGAAACUGGGGGGUAUGUGUUUACACCAAAAUUUAGAAAUGUGCUCUGAAAGGAAGGACCUGGGAGAUCUAUUGGCUGAAAUACAAAUCCAUCGAAACUAGCCUUAUGCUAAGAGAUCAGAAUAUUGUACAAAGUCUAGAAAGUUCUAUUUACAUCUAAGUAACUCGAUAACUAGCCUUACGCUAAGAGAUCAGAAUAUUGGACAAAGCCUACAAAGUUCUAAUAUAGGUAACGUAAUGACCAGGUGAGGAUAGUUACAAGCUCGCUUGAGAUCGAAGCCGAUGUAGCCCUGCGCGCAAGAAGAAACUCACCUAUUUCUACUCUACUCUUACUCCUAGGGUUUGAUGGCGUGGCGUCAAAAGAUUGUAUUGAUUGAUUGAUUAUUUGAUACAAAGCUCAUGGGCCUAUAUUUAUACCCUUGAGAAAGCUAAAAUCCUAAUCAGUUAUGACAUGAAUCGUGACAGAAAAUCUAACUAAAGAUAGAUCUCCAUGCUUUCCCUUAUUUGGUGGAGUCGAUUUCACUUCAUAUCGGAUCCCUCCCGAUCUUCUAUCGGCUUCUAGCAUCCGGUCAUCUGCGACUGGCCUUGGUCAACAUCAGGUGUCAACAGACUUAUUUCUUCUACAAGUUCAUCGGCUGUCAGAGCCUUGUCUUAGUCAGUUGACUCUAGUAAAAAAUCGAUGUCAAUACAUGCCCCCCAAUUUUUGAAUAAAAUAUUAUAUUUCAAAAUUCUCUUCUCUUGUCAACAGCUUUUGAAAGAAAAAGAGUCACUGCUGCAAUCAUAAUCUUUUUCCCCGGGUUUUGUGAUAGCACCCUCCUCAUUUUAAGGGAUUCACCAUGUGGAAAUUAUAAUAUAACUGCUUCACCCAUUUCGUUUUCUUCACCAAACCAACUAUUGUCAGCCGCUACAACCAAAAAUCAAUUAUUCCCUUCACAUGCCUAGCGACUGCAUCCAUCACUCAUCGUCACCAUUAGUCUCCAUGUGUCAAGGCUUCUUCAACCAGCAAUGGCGACAUUAUCUUCCAUUCCACAGGUACCAUGUAUCCUAGCCAUUCCUUUCCCCUUUCAACCUGAAAUCCAAUCUAGUCACUAUAUAUCAAACCUGUGUUCUUAAUCAAUACUUGCCCCCUUGUACUUAGAAACACCCUUUUGAUCCCCAUAUCCGAUACGCAAGCAGAAUACUUUCUAGGCCCCAUGGGUAGUGAAGACCCAAUAGAAUCUAUUAAUGCUGAAAUACUUGGACAAAGUCUAGAAAGUUCUAUUUACAUCUAAGUAACUCGAUAACUAGCCUUACGCUAAGAGAUUUAAAUAUUGGAUAAAGCCUAGAAAGUUCUUAUAUAGGUAACUGAAAAGUGUGUUGACGCAAAAAUUGGAUGGUUGACUCCUGCGUACUAACACACGGAACCAGGGAGAAUCUGCUUAGCUACUGUUCGGGUUAUAGCCCUCUCGAUCCGUAGCGUGCCAGUUAAUCUGACCUGCUGAUUGACAAGUAAAAAUGUCAAAUUAAGAGCAAAUCAGCUGGUGUUCCGAAUCGCUCCACGGGACGUAUCAGUAGACAGCCGAUACGGGCAAACGACAAUCAGCUAGAUCAGCCGAUUUGCUCUUGUAUUUGACGUUUUACUUGUCCUUCUCAAUCAGCAGGUCAGAUUGACUCGCACGACGCAGAUCGAGAGGGCUAUAACCUAAACAAGAGCUAAGCAGAUUCUCCCGGGUUUCAUGUCUUAGUACACAGAAGUCAACCGUCUGAUUUUAUCAUCAACACGCUUUUUGGCACGCUCAGUGGGACCCGAUUCAUAUCUUAAUGGUAAUUGGUGAUCAAGUUUCAAACAACGUAUCCACUGGUAGAAAACUGAGCAUUAGUCCCGGUUGGUAAGGGUCAUAUCUCUCGGAUAUCCAUCCGGGAUAAACCAACCGGGACAAAAGGGGGGGGUCUUUAGUCCCGGGUAUUUUAACCGGGAGUAAAGGACCCCCUUUAGUCCCGGUUGGUGUCACCAACCGGGACUAAAGGGCCUGCCACGCCAGGCGCGGGACAGGCCCUUUAGUCCCGGUUGGUGACACCAACCGGGACUAAAGGGGGUCCCUUUAGUCCCGGUUGGAUUUCCCAACCGGGACUAAAGGGGUCCCCUUUAGUCCCGGCUCAAUUCCAACCGGGACUAAAUUGCGCUUGCAUGGCACUGGUGACGCCUGAAUUUUUCAUGCAUGCAUCACGUAUACGUAUAGUAGUACCGCGGCCCUUUUAAUUUGUUAACCUUGUAGUUGAGAUUUUUUUAGAAUGAAUUAAAUCAACUAGUAUUUAAACGAAUGGGAUUUGUAAUUACACAACUACUAUAUAUAUACACAAUCCUUAUACACAAUUCAUAUACACAAUUCAACUAGCUUAAUUAGUACAAAUCGAUCAUAUAUACAAAUAAAUCAAAGUAUCUUCCUACGAUCUUCCCGUCGUGGUGUUGCUGAGAGGAGUGUCUAAUUGUCGUCCAUCGUAAUAAAAUUCUCCUCUUGGAUUUACCACCUCGUCCAUUAUGAAUCCAAUGAGACCUUCACAUAUUGCCGCUACUCUUUCUUCCUUCAAGAGUCCUUGUUGAAUAUUUAACAUCUAUAAUUUGGAAAUUUGUGAAUGUUACAUGAACAAAUACAUAUAAGGAGCUAGAAAAUAAUUAACUAGUAAUAUAUUUAUUUUACGUACUUUAAAGUUGUGCGGCGUCAUCUUCGGUCCCUUGGGUCCCAAAAAACUGUGCAUGUGCUCACAGAUGUAGUAGCCACAUAGGUUAUUCCCGGGUUCCUGUCUUAAGCACUUCAGUGCGGAAAAAAAAUAAGUUAUGAAAUAUUCGUGUUAUACAAUGUAAUAAAUGUGCAGACUUCAUACGUACCGGGAAGUCUGUGUUCCAUGUAAGAUCUUCUUUGAAUGGACCUUUGUGUGUCCUUAUGAAUUGUUUCCAUACGCUGCGGAUUAGAAUAAUGAAUGACAUAGUGUAACAGGGAUAAAAUUUAGGAAAUAAAUUUUUGCAUAGAGAUAAAGGUCCAGAAUUAUUACAAGCCUAGCAUGUCUUGCAAUUCUUGGUAGUCCACCGGAUCUUUCCGUAACGAAUCAAAGACAGUGACGUGGCUUCUUUCAGGCUCAAUUAUAAUAAGGAUCCAGUGGAAGCUGCGUGCGUAAAAUGUUCAUGCAUAUUAGAGCUAACUAACAUGUAGAGAUAAGGAAAAAGACAUCGAAAGUAGACGGUAUACACACACUUACUUGAAGUUGUAUGGAAGUAGUAUGAAAUCCUUGAAUGUUUGUUUGUGUAGGAAAUUGUAUAUUUCGGCAAAGGUUUUUUCCGGCGCUAAUUGUAUCUGUUGUUGGUUAACUACAGAUGGAUCCAUGAAGCCUACAUGUAGGUACGCCUCUCGGCGGCAUGUCUGAAUUAGCAUCCUACAUGAAAUGGAAGAUGAAGUUAGUACGGUGACGCACGCCAAAAUUUACAUGUAGAGAUAAUAAACGGACACUUACAGAAUCCAAGCGCUGAUCAGAGAGACGUCCAGGGCAUCAUGAUGGUACACUUCGUAUAUAUCCUUGAAGUCUAGCCACAGCACUUUCUCCCCUUCACCGUGAAAAUCUAUCGGUUUUACCUUCAUGCCGAUCAUCUCCCUCGAUUUGGCGGAUGCCGUCAUGUACCAUUGAUGGAAUUCGUACAUCUUUGUUGACAGCUUCCGUACCAUUGCCGGCUUCACUAGAGGCUUGCCUAGCUCAUAAGGCCAUCUCGGCUCAGGGGGCGGUGCAGUUGGCGUCUCGACUUGCCCUAUGCAUUCUUCAAGUCCCAGACCUGUUUCUUCCAUGAACUUCAAUAUAUUUUCUUGUUGAUCCAAGGGCAUUGCUUUUACCCGUUGAGCAUCUUUCUUUGAUAAAUGGCUGAGGUCGGGGACUGAACCGCUGGAGGAUGAUUUUCCUUUUCUUUUAUCCUUUUCAUCAGCCUUUACUAGAGCCCGUUCAUAGUUUGACAAGAGUGGUAUCCUUUUCUUGGCUCCUUCCUCCAUCCUGAUAAAAAAGUUUAAAUCCCGCCGACUUACUGGCGGUGGCUCCAUCUCCCUUGCCCUUUUUAAUUCGGCUUGUUUCUUGAACCACUCACUGGCCUCUCGUUGGAUUUCUGCCCACUGUUCCGCAUGAGACAUUGCCUCAAAGCGUUCCUUGCGAGCCACUUCAGGGUCGACCUUUGUUUUCUUCUUUCGAGGCUGUCUUUGCUUGGGAGGCGGUGCUCGUGACUUCUUGAGUGGUGCUGCAGGUUCCUUCGAGGGGGCCGCUCUUGGUGCCAGCGACGGUGAUCGGGGAGGGGUGUUGUUAUUGUCGUCGUCGCUCCCAGCACCAGGAUGUGGUGGAGAUGGAGACCUUGAUAUAGAUGGAAGCGACGGUCCUGGAGCAGGAGAUGCCGGUCUCGAGGUAUGAGGAGAAGGUCGCUGCUCGGGAUCUACGGGGAGCGGUCUUGAGGUCUGAGGAGAUGGCUCCGUGCGGGAAAUAAUGAUGUAGCGUUUCUUCCAUAGAAUGAUCCCAUGAAGCGCAUCUGCCAAUGUCUUUUCCCCGUCGCCUCCCGGGAAGUCGAGCUCUAGACCUUCAUACUGGGCAUCUACUAUUUGCUCGACGCAGACGCUGGCGUAGCCUGUUGGAAUGUCCAUGCCAUGACUGCUCUGCCCUGCCAGCGUUGGUAACGCACUCCCAUACGCUACCUGUACAUAUAGCAGAAGUAAACAAGUUGAACUCCGAUCUCGAGGCCUGGAUCAAUUGACAAGAUUGCAUAAAUAUUAUGUAUAAGUAUACCUUAAUAGUGAGGUUGCCGACCGGUGCAUGCAGCUCACAUGAGGUCCGUUGCGUGAUGGCAUCCACGGGGAACCGUUGCUCCUCCACGGGUAACCUGGGCGUCUGCGCAUCGGGGACCCCUGUAGAAGCACAACUGCUCCCGAGGCGUUGAGAAGGGCUGGCGGUGUGAGGAUUCGGCAGUGCUCCAGAUUGCGCCAACUCCGCAACUGCGUCGGCCACCCGCCGAUUGAUUUCAUCCAUCAUUCGUUGUUCUAGCAUCUGCCGCCAGCUCUCCUCCAUCUGUUCCUUUCUUCGCUUCCGGCUUCUGUAAGAGGCGCUGUCGCCUCGGAAAGCGAACUUCCACGGAACCACCCCGAACCCCCGGCAACGUCCUGGGUGCUCUGGAUUACCGAGGGCCAAUGUGAGCUCAUCAUUUUCUCGGUCCACCCUCAACCUCCCAGCCUUGGAAUCUUCAAUGUUCUUCAUGAGAUGUUCGGCCUUCUCACGUAUUCUGUCAUUGAAAAUCAGCGUCCCAUCCUCUUGGCUUAGGGAGCCUCCAUGAGCGUAGUACCAGUUCUUUGAUCGUUCGGGCCAUUCAAUAGUUGCAGGUAUGAUUCCCCGUUCGAUCAGAUCUUGUUCCAUCUUUCUCCACUUGGGAAUUGCUGAGCCAUACCCACCUCGCCCCAAAUGAUGGUGGUAGCCCUUCUGACUAGCAUUUGCAACGUUGGUCGUGAUCUUUUUCACACCUUCUUCACUCCUCUUGUAUUCAACAAAUGCAUCCCAGUGGUCCCUCAACUUGGGCCACGCGUUGAAGUCUGGAGUUUUGCCCUUCUUGAUGUAGUGGGUGUCCAGCAUCUUCUUGAAUGUCUGGAAUUGAGUAGCCAUCUUCUUAAGUGUCCACGCUUUGACAUCCUUCUCGCUAUAAUCUUCGGGGAAUGUGAAAUGCCUCUUCACGUCUUCCCACAGCAUAUUCUUUUCUGUCUCUGGAAGGGCGUACGGAUUAUCGCUUCUGCCCUUCCAUUCUCUGAUGCUGAUAGGCACGUUGUCCCGGACAAUUGCCCCGAUUUGACUAACGUACUUCUUUGCGACUUUCUCGGGAGCAACCGGCCUGCCCUCAUCUGUAACUUCGGUGAUGACAAGCCUCCCUUCCAUCACCUUUGUACGACCUCGGGUCUUCUGCCCUUGUGUCGAUCCGGAGGGCUAACAGUUUAAGAUUCGUUAAUUAGUACGUACUAGUAGCGGUGGCGUGAAACAAUACAAGAAUGGUUGUAUAUACCUCGCCGGAACCUUCCGCCACGGCAAGUUGUUGCUGCGGCUGUUGCUCUUCAUUCACAUCGGCAGACAUGUUGAGGAACAUGUCCGCCUGGGUGCCCUCUUCAUCCGUGUAUGAUAGUGGAACGUUGUCGCCACUAUCAUCACCAGCGAUUAUCUGCUCCAUGAUAUACCUUGCGGUCUCAUCGUCUGCCAUUUCAACUAUUGCUGCAAACAUACAUGGAAUCAUACAUGACAGUCAUAGAAAUCGUCUUAAUACAAAUUUGUAUAUAAUCACAGUUCGGAAUCAUACAUGUAUAUAAUGAAAUCAUAAAAUAACAUGAAUCGUACAAAGUCCGGAAUCUUUAUACAAAUUUCUAUGAAUUUAUACAAAUUUCUAUGAAUUUAUACAAAUUUCUAUGAAUUUCUAUGAAUUUCUAUGAAUUUCUAUGAAUUUCUAUGAAUUUCUAUGAAUUUAUACAAAUUUCUACGAAUUUCUAUGAAUUUCUAUGAAUUUCUAUGAAUUUAUACAAAUUUCUACGAAUUUCUAUGAAUUUCUACAAAUUUCUACGAUUUUCUAUGAAUUUCUACAAAUUUCUACGAAUUCCUACGAAUUUUGACGAAUUUCUACGAAUUUUGACGAAUUUCUACGAAUUUCUACGACGGCGAUAAGGGCGGCGAAGGCGGGACGGCGGCGGUCAGGGCGGCGGAGGCGGGACGGCGGCGGUCAGGGCGGCGGAGGCGGUUCACCGGAACCACGGGCGGUGCCUAAGCUACUACGUUGUGAUGGGCGGCAGGACGGCGGCGAUCACGGCGGCUACUCGGCGGCGAUCACGACGGCUACAAGGCGACUGUCACGGUAGCUACUCGGCGGGACGGCGGCGAUCACGACGGCGGGACGGUAGUUAACAACCUAACUACAAAUCUAACUUAACAAACUAACUAGAAAUCUAAAAAUCUAACUUAACAAAAUUAGAAAUCUAAAAAUCUAACUUAACAAAAUUACAAUUCCAUCUAAAAAAACAAAAUUAAAAAUUAAAAGAAAACGGCCAGCUCUCCCGGCGCACCGGCCGGCGCGGCAGACCUCUCGCGCGCGGGGCGGCGGCCGGGGCGGCGGGACGGCGGCGGCCGGGGCGGCCUGACGGCGGCGGCUGGGGCGGCGACGAGGACGAAGACGACGACGGCGGGAUGACGGCGGCCGAGGCGAAGACGACGACGGCGGCCGGCGAGGGGCGACGAGGAUGGAGCUGGCGACGAGGGGCGAUGCAGCCGGCGAGGGAGGCGGACGGGCGGCGACGGGCGGAGAGGGAGGCGGACGGGCGGCGACGGGCGAGGGAGGCGGACGGGCGACGACGACGGCGCAAUGCGGGACUUCGACGGCGCAAUGGGGGACGACGACGGCGGCGGCCGGCGAGGGAGGCGGACGGGCGGCGACGGGCGGAGAGCGCGGGACUUGCGAAAAUUUCGCUAAGUGUGGAACUGGCGGGGGGUAGAAGGGAGUACAGUGCUUUUAACCCCCCCCCCCUUUUAUCCCGGUUCGUAAUGGCACCCGGGACAAAAAGGGCCUUUUGUCCCGGGUCCUGUCACCAACCGGGACAAAAGGCCCCCCCUUUUAUCCCGGUUGGUGACGGGACCCGGGAUAAAAGGGUGCGCUCCCAGCCCCACCUGGCGGGGGCACCCUUUUAUCUCGGGUCCCGUUACCAACCGGGACAAAAGGCCCCCCCUUUUAUCCCGGUUGGUAACGGGACCCGGGACAAAAGGGUGCCCCCGCCAGGUGGGGCUGGGAGCGCACCCUUUUAUCCCGGGUCCCGUCACCAACCGGGAUAAAAGGGGGGGGCCUUUUAUCCCUGUUGCAAAUGGCAACCGGGAUAAAAGGGUACGUUCGGGCGGGAGACGAAACGUACCCUUUUAUCCCGGUUGCCGUUUGCAACCAGGAUAAAAGGGGGGCCUUUUAUCCCGGUUGCUGUUAGCACCCGGGACAAAAGGUCCUUUUUCCUAUUUUUCUUCUCCCGCCUGUUUUUUGGAAAUGGAUUUUAUUUAACCUUUUCACUGCAUUCCAGGAUGAAAAACAAAACCUUCUCAGAUUUUGUACAUGCAAAAAUAUAUUUAAUUAACGAGUAAAUUGACAAUAAGUAUGAAGUAAUCAUUAUUUCUAUACCAACUCAUAUAGCCUGUAAAAUAUUUAUUUUACUGCAUUGCUGUGAUCAAUAAAUUAUUCAAUUAAAUUUUUUGAAUGCGCAGAAAAAUCCAUGUUAGUAUGUGGUUAACAAUGUUCAUGUAUAUCUAAAAAAUCUUCACCUAACAAAUUUAAUUACAAAUUUUAUCAAUUAAUACACAAAGGUCAUGCACAUUUAACGCAUUACAAUACAACGUUGUAAAAUUUCUUCUUCACGAAAGUUCCUUGAUCAUGAUCGCGGCGUAAGUACGGAGCCUCUUCUUUGGACAGCAGGAUGCUUGGAUCAACUUCAACGUCGAAUGGAGGCAUGCCAUCAAACUGAUCAUAAUCAUCUGAUUGGUCUGUUUUAUCCUCGACUCCCACGAUUUUUCUUUUACCUAGAAGAACUAUGUGGCACUUUGGCUCCCAUGUCUCUUCUGGAUUCCUCUUGGGUUUGCUGCACAUGUCCUUCACAUAGAACACCUGAUGCACAUCAUUGGCAAGUACGAAUGGGUCAUCACUGUAUCCAGUCUUGCUCAGAUCUACUAUUGUCAUUCCGUACUGAUCUUUGGUGACGGCAGUUAGCUUCACCCAAUUGCAAAGAAAUAGAGGGAUGUACAGCGGUCCGUAUUCGAGUUCCCAUAUCUCCUGUAUGAAACCAUAAUACGACUCCUUGCUAUUAUUUCUGUCCAUGGCAUCUAUGCGGACACCACUAUUCUGGUUCGUGCUUUUCUGGUCCUGGGCUCUCGUGUAAAAUGUGUAACCAUUUAUCUCAUAGCCUUGGAAUUUGACGAUUGUGGUAGCAGGUCCCCUGGCUAACCAAGCAAGCUGUGGGUGAAUCUCAGAGUUACCCAUAAGUUGUUGGCGCAACCAGGAGGGAAAAGUUUCCAUGUGAUGACGGGUAAGCCAAGCAUCGGAUUUGGUCGGGUUUUUGGAAGCUACCAUCUGCCUGUGCUGCUCGAUAUACGGAGACACAAAGGAUGACUGUUGUAGAACAGUGUAGUGUGCCUUGUCGAACAAAUUAGUAUCAUUGCUCAAACUUGAUUUCCUUCCAAGGGUGCCCAUUCCUCGGAGCCUCCCCUCGUGGCGUGAAGUUGGAACCCCAAUCGAGUCAAUUGAAUCAAUAAAAUCAACACAAAACUCGAUCACCUCCUCUGUUCCAUAUCCCCUGGCGAUGCUUCCUUCUGGACGAGCACGAUUACGAACAUAGUUUUUUAGGACUGCCAUGAACCUCUCGAAAGGCCACAUAUUGUGCAGGUAUACAGGUCCGAGAAUACCAAUCUCUUUUACUAGGUGAACCAGUAAGUGCGUCAUAUUAUUGAAGAAGGAUGGUGGAAAUAACAACUCAAAACUGACAAGACAUUGCACCACAUCGUUCUGUAGCUUUGAUAGCUUGGAUGGAUCGAUUGCCUUCUGCGAAAUCGCAUUGAGAAACGCGCAUAGCUUUACGAGCGGCAACCGGACAUUUUCGGGUAGAACACCCCUCAGUGCAACCGGAAGCAACUGGGUCAUCAACAUGUGGCAGUCAUGAGCCUUGAGAUUUGUAAACUUCUUUUGUUUCAUAUUUAUUAUUCCCUUUAUAUUCGAGGAGUACCCAGACGGGACCUUCAUACUAUUCAAGCAUUCAAACAUACUAUCCUUCUCCUCCUUGCUGAGAGUGUAACUGGCAGGACGUAAGUAGUGCUGUCCAUUAUCUCUCUUUUCCGGAUGUAGGUCAUCUCGUUGCCCCAUGGCUUUCAGGUCCUGUCUUGCUUCCAAUGUAUCUUUUGAGGUUCCAUAAACACCCAUGAAGCCUAGCACGUUCACGCAAAGAUUCUUCGUCAGGUGCAUCACGUCUAUUGCGUUGCGAACCUCUAGGAUUUCCCAAUAAGGUAGCUCCCAAAAUAUUGACUUUUUCUUCCACAUGGGUGCAUGUCCGUUAUCAUCGUUCGGAAUAGGUUGGCUACCAAGUCCCUUUCCAAAGACUACAUGUACAUCCUUCAUCAUCUCGAACACACGCUUUCCAUUACGGUGUGCAGGUUUUUUACGAUGGUCUGGCGUCCCUUUGAAAUGCAUCCCGCUCUUUCUCAGCUGGUGGUGAGCAGGGAGAAAUCGACGAUGACCCAUAUAGACGACCUUCUUACAGUGCUUCAAGUACAUGCUAUCUGUGUCAUCUAAACAGUGGGUGCAUGCCCGAUAUCCCUUAUUUGUCUAUCCUGAAAGGUUACUCAAUGCAGGCCAAUCGUUGAUGGUUACGAACAACAGUGCUCGUAGAUUAAAGAUCUCUUGUCUAUCCUCAUCCCACACACGUACACCUUCUUCCUUCCAGAGCUGUAAAAGGUCAUCAACCAACGGCCUUAGGUACACGUCAAUGUCGUUGCCGGGUUGUUUUAGGCCUUGGAUAAGCGCCGGCAUCAUAAUGAACUUCCGCUUCAUGCACAGCCAAGGAGGAAGGUUGAACAUACAAAGGGUCACAGGCCAAGUACUAUGACCACUACUCAACUCACCGAAUGGAUUGAAUCCAUCAGUGCUUAAACCAAACCUUAUGUUCCUUGCUUCACUUUCAAAGUCUGGGAAUGUUCUAUCAAUUGAUCUCCACUGUGCCCCAUCUGCGGGGUGUCUCAGCAUCUCAUCUUCCUUACGGUCUUCUUUGUGCCAUCGCAUCAACUUAGCAUUCGCCUUGUUCCUGAACAAGCGCUUCAAGCGUGGUAUUAUAGGGAAAUACCACAUCACCUUCACGGGAACUCUCUUCUUGGGAGACUGCCCCUCGACAUCACCAGGAUCAUCUCGCCUGAUCUUAUACCGCAGGGCUUCGCAGACGGGACAAGCAUCCAAUUCCUCGUAUUCAUCACCACGAUAGAGGAUACAGUCAUUAGGGCAUGCGUGUAUCUUCUGAACAUCCAAUCCGAGAGGGCAAAUAAUCUGUUUAGCUUCAUAUGUUGUGGACGGUAAUUCAUUAUUCUCGGGGAGAAUCUUCUUGACAAUUCUCAACAUCCCCUGAAAUGCCUUAUCGGACACACCAUUUUUUGCCUUCCAUUGCACAAAUUCUAGUGUCGUACCUAGUUUUUUAUGGCCCUGCUGGCAACCUGGGUACAACAAUUUUUGGUGAUCAUCUAUCAUGCGCUGCAACUUUGCUGCUUCCUUCUCAGUUUCGCAAUCUCUGUAUGCAUCUCGUAUCACCUGACCAAGGUCAUCAGUAGGGUCAUUUUCUGCAAACUCAUCUUCAUCAGCCUCGCCCAUUGUAGUACCUGCAAAAGCUUGGCCUGCAACCCAGUCCGGAAUGGUGUCAUCUUCCUCCUCCUCCUCGCCAUCUUCCAUUACAACCCCUAGUUCACCGUGCUUGGUCCAAACCAAAUAGUUAGGCAUGAAACCGUAUUUAAACAAGUGGCUGUGAAUAGUCCCCCAGGAAUUCUUUGAAUACUCCUUCCUGUUAUUGCAUUGGAAGCAUGGACAACAUACGAACCCAUUCUCUGGCUUGUUCGCUUUUGCCACUUCGAGAAAAUAAUGCAAGCCAUCAAUAAACACCUUGCUCCGCCUGUCUGCAUUAUACAUCCAAUGCCGGUCCAUCUGCAUCGUAUUACGCACGAAAAUGGAUUACACUUGACAAUGGAUUACGCGUGAAAAUCGAUUAAAGAUCCAAACAACAUGGUACAAUACAACAACAUGAAGAUCCAAAUACACAUAUUUAAAUUAAAGUCCCAAACACUGCAUAAGUUGUUCAACUUGAAGACCGUGAUCAUCUCGUGAGGAUGUCCUCAACUGGGCGGCACCGCACUUCGUCAUUAAAGAGGUUAGAUGCUACGGAAAAGGGGACACGGUCACAAUGUCCGUAUCCACUCUUUCUCGUAGAAUCGAACCUCCUUCUUGACAUACGUUGCUGCUCGGCGGAGAACAUCCUCGGCGAGAUGAACACGGUAUGCAAGUUCAACAAGUAGCAGAAGUCAUCUAUGUACAAAAAUUCUUUCCUUACCACUACAGAAGUUGUUGAACUUGAAGACCGUGUUCAUUUCGCGAGGAUGUCCUCAGCUAGGCGGCACCGCACUUCGUCAUGAAAGAGGUUAGAUGCUACGGAAAAGGGGACACGGUCACGAUGUCCGUAUCCACUCUUUCUCGUAGAAUCGAACCUCCUUCUUGACAUACGUUGCUGCUCGGCGGAGAACAUUCUCGCCGAAAUGAACACGGUAUGCAAGUUCAACAAGUAUAUGGAUUUAAAAAACCAUAUUGAAUUUGAUAAGAUAAACCGUCUAGACAAGGUAGCAUCAUUUUUAAACCACUGAAAUAAUGCAUACUAUAUAUGACACAUCAAUCUCCCUCACAUUCUAGCUCAAAAUACCUCUCCAUUUUUCUACUUCAUCAUCACAUUGUAGCAAAUAAUCUUUCCAUCUCCAAAGCAUAAAUCAAAGCAUAACACGAGGAUGAAGUAGCAAACCUUCGCAGCACUUGUUGGCUGAGUCAAAUUCCCACGAAAAUGAGGGAAAAAAGUUCGGGCAGCACCUCCCUUGCUUGGGCACCACCGGAGAGUAGGUGAAGCUCAGCUCUCUAUCAAUGUGCUGGACUGCUCGGGCUGGAGGAAGAAGAAAGUCUCUGUCUCGGGGUAUAGUGGGGGAUGAGUUUUAAUCCCGGUUAAAAACUCCAACCGAGACAAAAGGAAACACCUUUUGUCCCGGUUGGAAAGUUAGUCCCGGUUGGAGGAUCCAACCGGGAUAAAAGGGACACCCUUUUAUCCCGGUUGGAGGCACCAACCGGGACUAACCCUUUUAUCCCGGUUGGUGCCUCCAACCGGGAUAAAAGGGUGUCCCUUUUAUCCCGGUUGGAUCCUCCAACCGGGAUAAAAGGGUCCCGCCACCGACGGCCCCCGCUAGCCGUUGCAACCGGGACUAAAGGGGGGCCUUUAGUCCCGGUUGCAAUUACCAACCGGGACUAAUGCUCCCCUCCAAAUUCCCGCACCCCGGCGCACCCCCUUUUGUCCCGGGCCACUUUUAAACCGGGAUAAAAGGGGGUUGAUCGAAAGUCAGUUCUCUACUAGUGAUCGGUGACUCCGCUCGAGGAGAAUUGUUUAUAUCAAGCAUAGAAAUGACAACGUUGGAAGUGGAGGAUAUAUUUUGCUCUGUUGAUUUAAUUGCCGCGAGAGUGGCGGACAAGUUCUAAUGAUUGAAGAUCAGAAGCGUCUCGUGGAGAAUUUUUCAGAAGCUAUAUUUGGAAUUAUUAUAUUAUCUCAGGAGCAGAUUAAAUAUAACGCCACCACUGAAAGCCGAUGAGAUGUAUCUAUCGGCUACAUGCUAUUCAGAUGAAUUUGAUGACAGAUUAAUUACGGAGGAGACCGACCGAUACAACAUUAUGGUUUCUUACUGCUGAUCUGUUAUGAAAGAGGAUGUGAGAAGCUGAUAAUCAAGCAACAAUAAAAUGAUAUACACGCAGGGCAUUAAAUAUUGAGUUAAUGAUUGGGAGUACUACCAUUAUCUUAUGAAAAGUCCAUCGGCUAACCAAACAGCGUCAGCCGAUGGAAGCAAAUAGUGUCAGCCGAUAGAAUGAUGUUAUAUAAGUAUAUAUAUCGGCCUCCGAGCCAAUGGGAAGUAGGAACUAUCAGCCGAUGCACACAUCCAUGGACAUAGCCGAUAAGACAUUGUAUCGGCUGCUUGGCAAAUAAAAAUAGCAUCGGCUGACCGCUUGUUAAAAUAUUAUCGGCCGAUUGCUUGGCAAAAUAGUAUUGGCUGACUGCUUGGCAAAUAAAAAAAUAAUAGGUUGACCAAAAAAGGAUAGCAUUGCCUGAUUGCUUGGCAAAUAAAAAAAAUUACGUCGGCUGAUUGGUUCCAGCAAAAUAGUAUCGGCUGCUUGUUGAUCAGAAAAAGCCGAUACUGUUACAGCUCCCGCAACUGUGCUUUGCUGUCAUCGGCUGGGUUGUUCGUGCUCCAUCUGCAAAUAUUUGUCCCGGCUAGAAAGUAUCGUACGUGCAUUGGGAUUCGGCAGUACAAAUCACGUACACGCGUAUGGUCUGCUCAGAAGCUGUCUGUUCGACGAAGUUCCAGGCCAAUGGUGGAGACUUGAUGACCAUGGUGACCUGCAUUAAUCAACAUGAAGUAUGUAUCGGCUGUUCGGUGAUUGGUAGCAAAUCAGCUUUCUCAUAGCCGGUGACAUAUGGGGCAAGAAAUAUCAGGCUUAAAAAAGGACAGUACGAUCAAUGUCGAAAGUUGUAGCCGACGGUUCUAUUAUUGUGCAGUCGAUGGAACAUAGAAGAUGCAUCUGAAUGAGCAAAAGGAAGGGAGCCGAUAGAAGGGAAUUUAAGUUGCAUGAGAUCCAAUUAAAUUAAGAUGACGAGAGGUGUUGACAUCGAAUCAUCGGACUUCUACGAAGUCUUCAUACUCCGAAACUAGGGAGUCUGUGUUAACACCAAAAUUUAGAAAUAUGCUGAUGCAAAAAAAUAAUGAAAUCUCCUAAAUAAGGCUCAAGAAAGAAAAAGCAAGAAAAGAAAAUCAAUCGCACGCGGCAAGAAUUGAAUAAAAUAUUCUAGAGGUAGAGUUGGUUAGGAUAAGCUUAAUUAGGGAUAGAGUUGGAUUAGUUAGAGAUAGUAUUUUGAUUAGAAAAGAUUGUGUACAUGACUUGUACGUGGUGCGUCAGAGGCCAUCCGCCCUAUAAAUAUAAGGGGUCGUGGCCAUUGUAAUUAUCAUCACACGAUCAAUAUACAACAUAUUUAUCUUUUACCUUUUCGGCUUCACGCCAUUGUAUUAGGAGUAGGAGUAAUGUAGCUUCCUGACGAGUUCCUUCUAGCAAGCUGUGCUGCAUUGACCUUGAUCUCUGGCGAGCUGCAAAGUUCCGUCACCAGGUGUUCUAGGCUUUAACCACCGGGCGCAUCGCUUGUGGUUUCGUCUAGUUUCAUCUACAAGGUAUCGAAUAUCAUGGAUCUUUAACUUACGCAUCGCUUCUGUCUUGAUCUACGGUAUUCACCAGUUAUCCUGCCUUGGUUAAGUCUGCAUCGGCUGAUAUUUAUCUGUUCUAUCAUCUUGCCGUUCAGUUUGCUUUAAUUAGCUUUAGAUCGGUUCAUUAUAGAUGAUAGAUCGCUUAAUAGCCUGUUGCAUCUUAAUCUUGGUUACCCCUUCAAGUGCUGUUGGGAUUAAGUUUCGUUAUGAUUGGAUUCAUCGGCUGGUGGGGUUGGUGGGGUUCAGAUUAACAUCGUGCUAAAUAUUUCUAGACUGCAACUACUGGACGCAUCGCUGUGGUUUCAUCUAGAGAUAUUGGUAGAGAGUUUAGUUUAGAUCUCAUCGGUUCGUGGCUCUAGCUAUGGUGGAGCGGCAGCUGAAUAGCAUCCUGUUUUCUAUCGGUCGCCUGGCCGAUAGUUAUUGCAAAAUAUAUUAAAUCGCCUGGAUGGCCGAUGGAUCACUCACGCUCGUCAAGGAUCAUAUCGGCCUGAUCGGCCAGUUGCCUCGGACUUCAAAGGAUUAUUUUCACCUUGUCAGUUGAAUGGUCAAACUGGCUGGCACGCCCGCGCACACCAUGCGCGCCGAUUUGGAUUUUGCACUGGAGUUAAGUAGAUCUUCCAGGUCCUCAUGUGGUGACGAAGGAUCCACCACCAUCAGGAUUUUGCGUCAACACAUUUUGGCACGCCCAGUGGGACACGGUUAUAAGGUUCAUAUUUUUAUUCAUAUAAAAAAGCAUCUUCGGCAUCAUCGGCCAAAUGAGUGUUCAUCGGCUUGUUAGAAUUAAUUCAAUAUAAUAUUUCAGCAAAAGCAGCCGAUGUAGCGAUUGGAGAUAAGGCCAAGUCAAGUCUGCGUGUAUACGCAUGUUCCGGUGGGAUCAUCUUCAUAAAUGCCAAUGACGAUUAGAGAUGAAGCUUCCUGCAAAAUGAUUGGCUACUCUAUCCGGGAAGAAUUGCUUUUUUAUGAGGCAUAUAUAGAGACCCAUGUUGCAAUUAGGGGGCGUAUUCGUGCAUUGGCUGAAAUAAAAAAAUGCAUCGGCAUAUUGAAAAUUGCAUCGGCCGAUUGACAGUCGUAUCAGCUGAUUGGAAAAAUAAAAAGGGAUCAGGGAUCCGCCGAUUGAAAAUUGCAUCAGCUGAUGGAAAAUGAGAGCAACAGUUACAAUAUUUUUUUUAAAAGAAAGCAAGUAUCGGCAAGCAGUAGCCGAUGGAUUUGUAUUUCAGCCAAUGGGGUUUUUGUUUCAGCUGAUAGUACUACUGGCUGAUGGCAAGUCCAAUGGAGUUAAAAUUGCAUUGACUGAUUGAAAUAAAAAUUAAGUAUCGGCUAAUUUAUGGCCAAGUAGCAUCUGCUGAUUUGUUGCAAAGUAGUUUCGGCUGAUUUAUGGCAAAAUAGAAUCGGCCGAUUUAUGGCAAAGAAGCCAAUAGACAAAAGCAUCGGCUGGUAGAGAAGCCGAUUGAGCAAGCAUCUGUUGAUGAGCUAUGUAUGGGAAAAAGUAUUGGCUGCUUAAACAAUUGACAAAAGCCAAUUGGUCAGACUGAGAAGCCAACUGGGAAAGCAUCGAUCGAUGGAUUGCGUAUGGGAGAGAGUAUCGGUUGAAGUCUUUAGUAUUGACUGCUAGAUAUUUGAGCAAGCGUCGGCCGAUUGACUGCUUGGUAAAAAAAACAUCGGGCUGAUUGCUUGGUUAAUAAAAAAAUUGCAUCGUUCAAGCAAAGAUUGCAUGGGCUGAUUGGUUCAAGCAGAAUAGUAUCGGUUGCUUAUAGAAUAUAUCGGAUAUUAAUUUCGAAGCAUGAAAAUAUUCAUACUCCGAAACUGGGGGGCCUGUGUUGACAACAAAAGCUUGCUGGUUACUGCAUCAAGUUUUGGUGUCAACAUACUUGAUCUUUUGUUUCCAUUGCCAGCGGAUUCAUCGGCUCAGAGUGGGAUCAAGACAUCAAGCUGAUGGAGUUCUUUAUAUUUCAAGAGGAGUCAUGGAGUUCUUUAUAUUUCAAGAGUAGUCGAUGGUGCUUUGAAUAUUGCAACCAGACGUCAUUGGCUCUAAAGAUACCGAAUCAUCGGACUUCUAUGAUCAGUUUCGGAACAUGAAGCCUUCAUACUACGAAACUGGGGGCCUGUGUUGACACCGAAUCAUCGGACUUCUAUAAUUAGUUUUGGAACAUGAAGCCUUCAUACUUCGAAACUGGGGGGCCUAUGUUAACACCAAAAUUUAGAAAUGUGCUCUGAAAGGAAGGUAUCGGCCGAUGAUGCAAAAAAAUAAUGAAAUCUCCUAAAUAAGGCUGAAGAAAGAAAAGCAAGAAAAGGAAAUCAACGCACACGGCAAGAAUUGAAUAAAAUAUUCUGGAGAUAGAGUUGGUUAGGAUAAGCUUGAUUAGAGAUAGAGUUGGAUUAUUUAGAGAUAGUAUUUUGAUUAGAAAAAAUUGUGUACAUGACUUGCCUUGUACGUGGUGCGUCAGAGGCCAUCCGCCCUAUAAAUAUAAGGGGUCGUGGCCAUUGUAAUUAUCAUCACACGAUCAAUAUACAACAUAUUUAUCUUUUACCUUUUCGGCUUCACGCCAUUGCAUUAGGAGUAGGAGUAAUGUAGCUUCUCGACGAGUUCCUUCUAGCAAGCUGGGCUGCAUCGACUUCGAUCUUCGGUGAGCUGCAAGUUCCGUCACCAGGUGUUCUAGGCUUUAACCACUGGGCGCAUCGCUGUGGUUUCGUCUAGUUUCUUCUACCAGUUACCGAGUAUCUUGGAUCUUUGACUUAUGGCACAUCGCUUCUGUCUCGAUCUACGGUAUUCACCAGUUAUCCCGCCUUGAUUAAGCUUGCAUCGGCUGAUAUGUAUCUGUUCUUUCAUCUUGCCGUUCAAUUUGCUUUAGUUAGCUUUAGAUCGGUUCAUCAUAGACAAUAGAUCAUUUAAUAGCAUGUUGCAUCUUGAUCUUAGCUAUCCUUCGAGUGUUGUUGGGAGUAAGUUCCGUUGUGAUUGGAUCCAUCAGCUAGCAGGGUUUAGAUUAACAUCCUGCUAAAUAUUUCUAGACUGCAACUACCGGGCACAUUGUUGUGGUUUCACCUAGAGAUAUUGGUGGUGACGUUAGUUUAGAUCUCAUCGGCUUGUGGCUCUAGCUAUGGCGGGGCAACAACUCAACAACAUCCUGUUUUCAAUCGACCGUCUAACUGAUAGCUAUUGUAAAUUAUAUUAAAUCGGCUGGAUGACGAUGAAUCACUCACAUUCAUCAAGGUACUGGAAUCGGCUUCACAGCCGAUAUAUUUGUCAUGAUUUAUUUUGUUGCACCAUUAUCGCUACUGUGCUAGGAUUAUAUCGGCCUAAUCGGCCAGUUUCCUCGGACUUCACAACGACUAUCAUCUCCUUGUCAGUUGAAUGGUCAAACUGACUGGCAUGCCCGCGCACACCACACGUGCCGAUUUGGAUUCUGCACUGGAAUUAAGCAGAUCUCCCAGGUUCUCAUGUGCUGAUGCAGGGUCCACCACCGCCAGGAUUUUGUGUCAACACCUUGUAAUCUUCCUUUGAUUUCCUCAAUGAUUCGAAGACAAUAACCUUGCUUGUAUAAAUGAUAAUUAUAAGGAGAACCUAGUGGAAACUGUGUAUUCAUAUUAGAACUACCUAUGGUUAAUUAGGUUAGGAAAGGAAAUCGAAAAUAGACCGUACCCACACUUACUUAAAGUUGUUGGGCAGUAGUAUGUAAUGCUUGUAAUUCUGUUACUCCAAGAAUUUGUAUAUGUGGUCCAAUGUAGACUUUGGUUGAUCCCAUAUCUGUUGUUGGUUAAAUAAGUGUUUCUGGCCAUUUCUAGCCGUUAGAACCGGAACUAAAGGGGGCUCUUUAGUACGGGUUGAUAUUACUAACCGGGACUGAAGAGCCCCCAUUACAGUUGGUUUUUGGACGCGGAACUAACAACUCCUUUAGUCCCGAGUCCAAAAACGACUGAGAUAGAAGAUCCUUUCUCUACCGUGAAUAUUGCCAGAAAGAAUUGAAAGAGACCGCUUGCUAAAAAUAUGUCAUAGAUGUAGACCAAGCUACCAAGGAGGUAGACCAAACAUGAUACACACCAUGCGUACCUUGCUGUGCAGACUAUGCAUAGACAAGACACCCGACCACAUGUUGGCCUCGGUCACAUCAAAAGAAUCAUGUAGGCCACCAAUAAACUACUUGAAGCGUCAUUCCGUAUCGUAUAUGCAUUGCCGGUUCAUCUGCAUUACAUUACAUAAAGUAGUAUUAACUAUUUGAAUAAAAUGAACCAAUUUAAAAGUAAUGUGUUGUACUCUACUAUAGAAAGCCCUAUCACUGUCGGAUCCAGAAACAUCAUUGUUGAUGGUCGUUAAGUACCAAGACGGUCAAUAUUCUCAAGAAUAAUGGAGAAUUGGCAUUUCUUACACACAUAUUUGGUUUUGAACAAUGUAGUCCCACAUGUCCUUGGAGAUUAUUUGGGUGUGGGUGAAAUAAUACAAAAAGAAGGAGAAAACACACUCCCAUGGUGAAGAAACAAAACUCCGACCAAUGAGAGAUAGCCACAGGGGCAGCACACGGAUCCAUGGGCCCACAAACCGCAUCAAACUGUCUUACCAAGGCGGGUAGCACCCACAACCAUGAUUAGGACCCACCUGGAUGUCUACCAAGAAGAAGGUUGUGAGUGGGGCCAGGAGGGGUUCGGCUGAAUCAUCUCUAGCUCCCCUCAUCCCCAGCUGGUGCAUGGCGGUGGUUAAUGGUGUCCCUACAUCGGUUAGAGGAGAUUCCCCCAAAUAUUCCUCCUGUAAACCACCUGUAUGGACCUAUACAUAGAGGGGUGUGCUCUCCAAUCCAACACACACCACAAGUUUAAUCACUCUCUCCCUCUUUAAUUUCCAUGUUUAUGGAGUUAGCCUAGAGUAGCUCUGCUCAAGGUUCCAAGUCCACUUGGAGUUAAGCAUAUGUCUCUUGUAUCGUUAUUUCCCAGAUUGACUUUAUGCUUAGUUCUUAUAUGCAUGAGUUAGUCUAAUAGCCUUGCUCUAUUGAUAUGCUCGGCUUAUAUGCUCGUAUGCUAGUCAUAUACCCUUGCUGCCGUAGUAUAGGCUUAUAUGCUCUCAUGUGUGCCUUUAGACCUUGCUACAAUAUAUACUUGUUGUGUAUACAUACCAUGUAUAGGCUAGUCGAUCUAUACCAUGGCAUUGGUUCAAUAGCCAUGUUUUUGGUGGCUCCAACCCUAGUCAGAAUAGCUCGGGACAGCUAGAGUGUUGUUAAAAAUGCAAGAGUGAUGGUUGGGUUGUUUAGCAUCGUUGGAUAUGGGUUUUCCCCACGGGUUUCUAAGAGUAGGCGGCAGCUAGUGACAGCCCUGUCCGUCCUUCGUAAUCCCCCCACAUUCAAGUACGCCAUAGAAGUUCAUAAAUUAGCAGUAACUACACCGGCAGACCGGUAGGGUAUUGUCUCCCUAUAGUACCUUGGUGCAUAGAACUAGGUCAUAUACACUGUGUGUCUAUGUUUACGCUGAUAUGAUCUGUGCAGUAUAUAGCAUGUAUAUAUGAACCUAGAGCUAACUCCUAGUCCAUUCUCCGUAGCUUAGUUAUCUUGAGAUGAUUCUUCUGUGUGUGUAACACUACCCAUCUUAUCAUUAUCCUUAAUCCUGUCUUGUGUAAUAUAUCUACUCAUCCUAUGAUAUACUCAUAUGCAUAGUAAACUAUUUUGACCUACCCGCCUUCCUUUGGGAAAUACGAUACCCUGGAAUAAUCCUAGGUGAAAUGCUACAACGGUAUAUCCAUGUGCUUACGGAAUUAUUCCUGACCAUUAAAUAUACCAACAAUCAUCACUAUCUAUUUUGGGCAUCGUUAGUGAAGGGUCGGCAGUGAUGGGCAUCCCCUUCACCAAUGGAGCUGGAACUGGCGGUGAUGGCCAUUAAAAAAAAUGGGACCCCACCCAGCGUACCCCGCAACCCGGCCGGCUGCGCCUCCCAUCAUCCCCGCCGGUCGCCCUUCCUCUUUGCCGGCCGAGCAUGGUUCCGGCCCUCGUCCCUACCGCCUCGCCUCCAUCGCGACCCCCUGCCGAUGCCCUCAUGCCUGGCCCCCCUCGUCUGGCCGGCCACCCUCCCGAUGCAUCCACCGGGGCCCUCGCACCACCAACCACCCUAGCCUAGAGAGAGAGAGGAGGAGGGAGGUGAGGCCACGCACCUCGUCCUACAACGCCGCUGUUGCUCCUCGGCCCACCGCGCCUCACCCCACACCACAGCCGCACCUCGCCAUCUUACCGGCCGCGACGCCCCAUCUCACCGGCCACCGUUCCUCACCCCCACAUCGGUCAUCGCUGCUCCUUGCCCUACUGCUGCUCUUUGCAGCCGCGAAUGAGGGGCGAGUGGAGGGGGAGGGGCGGGGCAGGAGGAGGGCAAGAUCCGGGAGGAAGGGAGAGAUUUUGGGAGGUGGAGAUGGAAGGAUAUGGCGGAAGGUAGAGAUCUAGAGGGAGAGAGCGGGGGGGAGAGGGGGGCAUGUGGGGAGAGAGCGCAUGUGGGGUGGGGCCGGGCUGGUGGGAUGGAAGGUAGAGGGGCCGGAGGGCGCAGUGCAUUCAACUGGAUUAAGUAAAUAUUUCGGAUUCGAGACCCCAGCUUUAUUAUCACCGCUGGUCCGUAGUACCAUUCGGUGCCGGCUCAUAAUUUAAUUUGAACCGGUGGUGAUGUUUUAUUAUCACUGCUGGUUUCAAUUUUCACCAUCGGAUCAUAUAAAAAUCCGGCGGUUAAAAAUCCGCUGGUUUCGAUGAAAACCGACAGUGAUAGGACGACUGUGAUAGUCUCUUCUCUAGUAGUAGUAUAUUAGUACCGGCUGCCGGAUGGUGUUGCCGACGAGUACUUCUCCAGGGGCGAUUCAGUACUGAUGUUAGCAAAGCUUGUUCUCUAUGAAUUUGGGGAUGGAAAGCUAGUUCUCUAGUUGUGAUUUGUUACAUAUAUCUCUAUGAUAGUCUAGAAAUUGCAUGUCCUUCGUUGACAUAGUUGAAGCUGCUUCAAGAAUUUACUUCGUGCAGUCGUGCAGCAUAUUGGAUUAUCACCUAGACAGGAUACAUAGGUGAAGCAUUGCAUGUGAUUGUGGCUGAUAAUUAUGCAGGACGCUGUUGCAAUCAACCAUCAAGAAGACUGGAGCGAUGGGGUUGCCUCAUCAACAAUUUUUAUAUAUGGCUGCAGUAUUAUUAAGCCCACGUCAAUAAUUUUUUCUCCGCAGCAUAUAUAUGGUUACUCAGUUCGCUGGAGUAUCGCUGUGGAAAAACAUACGUACUGCGCCUCGGAACUAACUGGCAUUCAGGCCAUCAACGACCAGAUAUUUGGGACAACCAACAAAUAGUAGGUGGUUCCUAAGUUGUAGUCGUAUGUACUAAUGCGCCUCGAUGGGGUUUUCUUCAGAUAUUUUAUUGCCGUUCAAUGAACAAGCAGAUACAUAACCUGUGCAGAAAAUUCCAUCUCCACGCAUGCCACUGCACCAACAAGAUCCUCAGUCGACGAUGAUGGCUCAGCCUGUUCCUUCUGCCACCAAAUCCUCAAUCUUCCCUCCAGCAACGGAGAAUGCACCUUUAGUACCUUCAGUAUCAGAUGUUGCAAUCGGUACCGUGAAACCGAGACUAAAAUCCUUACUUUGCAGGGGGCAAAACAAUCUUGCAAAUAUAUAUUUUGAAUUCCAACAAAAUUUAAGAAAUGUUAAAGAUGACUAGCUGAGAGUCAACAGACAAGAUAUGAUAUUAGGAAUGUGGGAGGAUGAAUGCAUUUGUACAGGGGUCAUACUAUUUCCAGACUCUUCUAUAUUUCCAUAUGACUACCUACUUCAAUGUCACGCGAGCCAUUCAAAAAGAUACAUGGUACACUUGUAUGUCUAAUCCAUUAUUGAUUAUUUCCUCUUGUCAUCUCUUACAAGUAUUUCUCCAUACUAUAGAAACGUGCAACACAUUUUUAGGAUAUGGACACGCAUGAUUAAUAUGCUUGGACUAGUAUACAGGUCAUCUUUGGAUGAGUACAUAUGAAUGCCAGGGAGGGACUGAUGGAUAUAAGGAAAAGGGACCAUGCAUAAAUAAUGACAUAUGUAACAUGGCAAUCUUCAUUGCCAUGCAACUCCUAUCAACAAUCAUGGAAUACAUACUACUGCUCCAGAAGGGUGGUGUGCAAAUUUAUUUUACCUCGCGGUGAAAAUCUCCAGAGCAGGCCUGAAGUUAAAAUAAGAGGCAGUCACUAUCGAUCAUGACAGUCUCGAAACUGUACAGCACUAUGCUAGUCCUAGUCCUCAUGUCGUUCGUGCUGUCGUGUAGCAUGAUGGAUUAUUAACUGGGCAGGACACGGAGAUGGCUAGCGAUGACAGAGGAUGACGUACAUGAUAUUCACCUCUGAAAUGAAGCGUAGGCUAAUGAAGCACAAUUGCAUGUGAGUGUGGCAGAUAUUUAUACAGGACAGUGAUUGCAAUAAUCGACCAUCGAGAUCGAAGACAGGGGCGAUGGGGUUGCCUCAUCAAUAAUUCGCGCAACCAGACAAGCUGCAGACUCAAUAUGGUACGAAGCUAUUUGGUCAGCCCACAUGCUCUGAUAUAACAUUGGCAUCUGCUGAUCUACAGUAUAUAUGACCAGAAAUAUUGUGCCACCUCAAUAAUUUUCCGAAGUAUCGUUGGGGAAGCACCUACAUACUAUGCCUCGGAACUAACUGACAUGUUGGCCUAGGCGGUCCAGGCCGAUUGGACAGGCUCUUCCUUAUGGCUCCUCACGUCCCCUUCGUUUCCGAGUAAUCUCAGGUGUUCUGAAGUUUUCUUUUCACUUGCAUGUGGACCUUAUAUAUCAAUAGCUUCGGGAUAAGAAUGCCUCUUGAUAACCUUCCAAAUCGUCGCUUGAUUCACUUUGAUUCCAAAAUCAUCUUGCCAUAUCUUUUGAGACUUAGGCCCUAAGGCAUCAUGGAGGAUUGCUCGCCAAGAAUGAGCACCAUUGGGCUCCUGAGGACCCUAGGCCGAUCAGCCUGGGCUCUAUAGGUUGAUUGGCCCAGGCCCUCUCUGGGCCCAUUGGCCUUCAUCUUUCUCUGAGUCGACGCUUAUUGAGGGCUUUGUCCAAUUAUAGUCCAUUAUAGUCUAAUUUCCAAAAAAAUAGAAUAUCCUCCAAAAUACAAUACAUUUGUGAAAACAGCCCAAUUAUUAGGUAUGAUCAAUAGUCUAGGUAUUAAAUUAAUGUUAUUAUUUAAGAUAAAUAGGGAUAAAGGGUGUCAUUAAUAACGAGCACCAACCAGCGUACCAGCUGUUAACACUAACCGAUGCUAAUAUGUACCCUUUAGUACCGGCUAUUUCACCCGGUACUAAACGAGACAAGAGCACCCUAACAGAGGUUAAUACCAUCCAUUUCAUGAGUAAAAUACUAUGAUUCAAAAAUAAUUCAAAUCCCUUAAGACAAUACCUAUCAAAUGAGUAGAUUGUAAAUAGAGUAAAACAAUGUCCUAAUGAAACGGAACACUUCUGGUUCGUGUAGAGCACAAUAUAGAAAACAGUAGGGUAGCUGUACGAUUGACACGUGGUCCAUUAAUUAUUGAGCCAUCACUAUGGACAUGUCUUCAUGAGUAGUGUACUAGUCAUGACACAUGGUAUGUAGUAGGUGGAGGUAUUGAGUUAGCCAUGCCAUGAGCACUUAGUUACAACAAACACUUUGCCAUUAUCGAGCAUCCCAAAUCACUACAAAAUCCAUAGUUUACCAUAUACUACAAAAUCUGAGUUAAAAUAAGAGCAUACACGGAAGAGUCCGAAUGCACCGGUUUAGGACCAGGCACAUUGAAUUACUAGAAAAAGUUAUCGGACAAGGUUUUGGGUAACCGCAUGAAAAAUGUUGGAUUUUACUGAACACUUAGUUACAAUUACCAUGCCGUGAGCACUUAGUCACCACAAACAUUUAACCACUUUAGAUCAUCCUGAAUCCCUAUAAAUUCUGUACCUUACACCGUACCAUGAAAACGACAAGAACAGAGACAGAUGCAGUGAAAAUCUCCAGAGCAGGCCUGAAAUUAAAAUAAGAGGAGGCAGUCUCUAUCGAUCAGGACACGGAGAUUGCUAGCCAUGACAGAGGAAGACAUGAUAUGAUAUUCACCUCUGAAAUGCAGCGUAGACUAAUGAAGCACAAUUGCAUGUGAGUGUGGCAGAUAAUGGACCAUCGAGACCAUCGAAUGGUAUGAAGCAUGAUUAUCACCUAGACAUGAUAUCCUAGACAGGACGGUGAAUUGUAAAAAGAGUAAUCUUGAUCAAAGAAUGUCCUAAUGAAACGGAACAUUUUUGGUACGUGUAGAGCACAAUAUAGAAAACAGUAGAGUAGUUGUACGAUUGAAACUGCAUCCAUCCACGUGGUCCAUGAAUUGUUGAGCCAACACUGUGGACAUGUCUUCAUGAACACCAUCUAGUGAGGACAGGAUGCAGAAAAAUAUAAAAACAUGUCAUAGGGAGGCAGACCAAUCUUGCAAGGAGGUAAACGAAACGUGAUACACGAUCUGCCUACCUUGUCGUGGAUACCCCAAGAGAAGAUGUCAUAGAGGUGCAGACCAAGCUAGCAAGGAGGUAGAUGAAACGUGAUACACGGCCUGCCUACCUUGCCGUGGAUAUUAGCCCUGAUAUCAUUCUAUUGUUCAAGGAAUAACACUCAAUGCUGCUGCUGCUGCUGACCUGGCUCCAUAAAGUUGUAUUCCUCUAGCCGCUUGCACUAACUUUAUCUGAAGUAUUAUUCUCUCUGCCCUGAUAUCUGAAGUAUUAUUCUCUCUGCUGACUUUGCUGAAGAACCUACAUAAUAUGUCUUGGAACUAACUGACAUUGAUUCACAGACAAACUCUACAAGGUGCUGUUGUUGCCAUAUUUUAGAGCAUCCCAAAGGACUAUAAAUAAUAUAGUUUACCAUAUACCGUAUACCAUUAUAUGUUAGCUAAAAUAAGAGCAUAACAUGUCGCAGGAGUCCAAAAGCACCGGUUGAGGACCAGGUACAUUGAAUUACUAGAAAAAGACAGGGGGCAAUGUUUAGGUAGCCACAUGAAAAACAUUUGAAUUUACUGUUCCAUGAACACUUAGUUACCAUGCCGGGAGCACCUAGUUAACACUAAAAUUUAGCCACUUUAGAUCAUCCCGAAACACCCUCAAUAGCGACAAAUUUUGAUUUAAAUGCCGUCACCAAUGAUCCUCAAUAGCGACGUGUUUAGGUUUAAAUCCCGUCACUAAUAACCCUUGGUAGUGACGUGUUUUGGUUUAAAUCUCAUCCCACUGAUCCUCAAUAGUGACGUGUUUUUAGCAACACACGCUAUGAAUGACUUGUCAUUGGUGACAUGUUAAAUGCGUUAUCUCAAUGGCAAAUCAUUGGUGACGUGUUUUAAAAAAACAUGUCACUGUGAGAGUUAUUGGUGAAGGGUAAUUAAAAUGCAUCACUAAUUUUGUAGCAUUAGUUAUGAUAUAAUUUAGUAACGCAAAAAUCUACCAUCAGUAAUGAGGUUUAGAGCCGUCGCUAAUGUGGGUUUCUUACGAGUGAUGCAAGCUCUACAAGGUGCUGUUGUUGCCAUUUUAAAGCAUCCCAAGUGACUACAAGUUAAUAGCAUAGUUUACCAUAUACCAUAAAAAUAUUAGUUACAAUAAGCACAUCCGCAUGUGGAAGAGUCCGAAUGCACCAGUUGAGGACUAAACACAUUGAAUUACUAGAACCAAAUGUAAGACAAAGAAAGGGGUCAAGGUUUGGGUAACCGCAUUAAAAACAUUGGAUUUUACUGUACCAUGAACACUUAGUUACCAUUACCAUACCUUGAGCAUCUAGUUACCACAAACAAUAAUUUAGCCACUUUAGAGGUUCCAGAAUCACUAUAAAUAAUAUACCAACACCGUACCAUGAAAACAUCAAGAAGAGAGACGGGUACAUGGACCACCAUCAAGUGAGUAGUGACAGCACGCACAAGAAUACCCGGAACCUGUUAGCUUGUCUGUAGUGAUCUGUUUUCUUCCCCAUAAAAUCCAUGAGUAUUGCCACAAAUAAUGAAAGAGGCUGACCAAGCUAACAAGGAGGUAGAGAAAACGUGAUACACGUAGGUUUCAUUCAAGACAUCCAUGUAAGAUUCAUUCAAAACAUUCAUGGAAAUUUCUUGUAAGUUUUCAUGUAAAUUUCAUUCAAGACAUUUGUUAGAGGUGUUGUAUAUAUAUACCUUAACGUACAUAUAUCUAUGAUUUCAUGGUUGUUAGUGAUGGCAGAUGAGGAGCAUGCAAGGUAUUUAAUGGAGCAGAUUAUUGCUAGUGGUAGUGGCUCCAACCUGCCCGUAACGUACACCAACGAAGAGAGCAGCCAGGCGGACAUGUUCCUCAACAUAUCCGGUGAUGGCAAUGAAGAGCCCGAGCAAAACCUUGCCGUGACGGAAGGUUCCAGUGAGGUAUAUAUCAUUUCCAUUGUUUUACCCCAUCUAUAAUUUCAUAUUCAUUAUUACUAUGUACUAAUUAAUGGAUCUUGAACCAUUAGCCCUCUAGAUCAACGAACCGAAAUAAGCCCCGAGGUCUUACAAAGAUAAUGCAGGGAAGGCAUCACAUCACGGAAGUCACAGAAGAGGGCACAUCAGUUGCUCCCGAACAUGUGGCAAGAAAGUACGUGAGUCAAACCGGGCAAUGUGCCCAUCAGCAUUAGGGAAUGAAAGGGCAAUAGAAAUGAUCUAUACACGCCCCCGGAUACACAAAAGGAUAUGCUGUGGGCAAAUAUCAAGAAACACUUCACAUUUCCCAAAGGAUAUGUUGAAAAAGAUGUGAAAGCGUGGAUGCUGAAGAAGAUGGUCACCGAAUUCCAGACAUUCAAGAAGAUGUUGGAUGUCAACUUCAUCAAGAAGGGUCGAACUCCGGGUUUCGAUGAGUGGCCAAAGUUAAGGGACCACUGGGAGUCAUUUGUCAAAUACAAGACGAGUGAAGGUGGUGCGAGUAAGGUUCGCAUCAAUGUUGCCAAUGCUAGCAAGGAGUACCAUCAUCAUCUAGGGCGACGUGGUUACAGCACUGCAAUUCCCAGAUGGCGCAAGAUGGAACAAGACCUGAUCGAUCGGGGUAUCGUACCAGCAACUCCUGACUGGCCUGAUCGAUUGAAAAAUUGGUAUUAUGCUCAUGAAGGCAAUCUGAGCCAACAGGAUGCGACAUUGGUCUUCAAUAAAACAAUACGUCAGAAGGCCGGAAGGCUUAUUAGGAACAUUGAAAAUGCUAAAUCUGGGAGGUUCAAGGUGGAUAGAGAGAAUGAUGAGCUCACAUUGGCCCUUGGGACUAUCAUCUCUAGCAUUUCCAGCUCCAGGACUGUCGUCACCACCGGGACCGUCGCUUCUUGCUCGAUCACAGUCUCCAUCUCCAGCACAUCCUGGUGGUGCGAACGAUGACGACAACAACACCCCUCCCUGCCCACCAUCGCCGGGACUAAGACCCGCAUCGAGUAAGGAACCUGCAGCACCACUGAAGAAGUCGCGACCACCGCCUUCCAAGCCAAGUCAGCAAAAGAAGAAAGCAGAGAAGCCUAAGCCCACUGAGAAGCCAACAACCGAUAUGACCGAUGCGGAAAGAUGGAAGGCACUCAAAGAAGAAUGCAGGGAGUGGUUCUGUAAAAAGAACCAAAGAAAGAAAAGGAAAGCAGAUGGAGCCACCGCCAGUAGAUCCAAGAAAAUUAUAAUUUUUUAUUAAGAUGUCAAAAGGAGCCAAGAAGAUGAUUCCACAACUAUCAAACUACGACCGGGCGUUAGUCAAGGCUGAUGAGAGUUAAAAAAGGAAAGGAAAGUCAUCUUCAAGUGGUACUGUCCCCCACCUCGAGGAUCUACCAGAAAAAGACGCUAAAAAGAUAGUAGCAAUGCUCUUGGAUCAACAAACACAUAUAUCAUGAGAUUCAUGCAAGAAACAGGUAUGUGCCUUGCUGAAUGUCUAGGGCAAGUUGAUAUGCUAGCUCUAGAGCCAUUUGUACCGAAAUGGACCUUUGAGCUAGGCAAGCCUCUAGUAAGGCCUGAGCUGGUACAGAAGCUAUCCACAUAGCUAUAUGAAUACCAUGAAUGGUACAUGAAGCAGUCUGCCAAUGAGAGGAAAAUGUUCGGUCUCAGGGAAAAACUGAUAUUUUUUUUCGGCGAAGGCGAGAAAGUCUUGUGAUGGAAUUCAAGGAUAUAUAUGAAGUGUACCAUCAGGAUGCCCUUGAUGUCUCUCUCAUCAGCGCCUAGGUUAUGUAAGUGUAUGUUUAUCUAUACGUAAUUUUUGUCUCAUAUCAUUAUUUCUUUUGCGUGCGUCACCCUACUAACUUCGUCUUCCAUUUUAUGUAGGAUGCUAAUUCAGAUGUGCCGCAUAGAAGCGCACUUCCAUGUUGGCUUCAUGGAUCCAUCCCUAGUUAACCAAAAGCAGAUACGGAAGUAGCUAGAGAAAAUGUUGGAGGUGGUAUACAACUUCCUGGACAAACAAAACUAUAGAAUAGGGGCAAUAUGUGAAGGUCUUGUAGGAUUCCUAGUGGACAAGGUGAUAAAUCCAUAAGGAGAAUAUCAUUACAACGGACGAGCAUUAGACACACUGAGCAACACCUAGACGGGAGGAUCCUAGGAAUGACCUAGACAGAUUUUGGUAUAAAUAGUAAUUGUGUAAAUACUAGUUUGAUUUGUAUAGGAAUAUACUAAGAAUUGUAUAUAUAGUAAUUGUACAAAUACUAGUUUGAUUUGUAUAAAUACUAGAUUGAUUUUAUUAUAAAAAAGUUUUAAGUCGUACGUGCAUGCGCCUACAAAGGCGCGUAUGCCCUUUAAUCCCGGUUGGAAAAACAAACCGGUACUAAAGGGGCUCGUGCCGCACCUGGCAUGACCGCCCCUUUAGUCCCGGUUGAACGACCCAGGACCAAAGAUCUGCCCCGUCUCAUAAAUUUUAUCCUGGAUGCUUUUUAGAGAGAUUUGAGGCCUAUCAACCAAGACUAAUAUCGAGUUUUCUACCAGUGGAACUAACUAACGUUCACAUGCUUCUGACAUUCACCUGCCAUUUGGUGUAGACAAGGGCACCCUAACAUAUGGUUAAUAUUAUUCAUGAAAGAAAAUCCUUUGAUUCAAAAAUACUUCAAACCUAAUAAUACAAUACUUCUCACAUCUGAAAAAUAUGAGAUGGCCCGACAGUAUUCUAACCGACGCAAUAAUAUUUUGAGGGCAGCACUACUACAGCGACCCUCAUUCGUGCCGGUGCUGGAACCCCUAUCACGACCCUGAUACAAAUGAGGGUACAUUAUUGUUGCCAGUGCUAGAAUAGCCACGAAUAACUUGCUAAACAUGCUGUUACACUCACUACUAGAAAAAUAACCUCUCGUCCUGAGGCUUAGUACCGGUCACUUUUUUGCCCAGUACUAAUGUUAGUAUUAGUACCGGAUCCAAAUUUGGGAUCCCCCAGAGACCCUUUAGUACCAGGUGGAGUCUCCACCCGAUACUAAAGGCUUUGUUACCGGGUGAAGGAUCCUCCCGGUACUAAUGGGGGAUUUUUAGUACCGGGUGGGAACCCCACCCGAAACUAAAAUCUCCCAUGCGGACCCCUCCCCCCCCCACGCGUUGCCUCUGUCCUCCCUCCUCCUCCUCUGAGUAGUUAUCCCUUCCUCAUCCCUCCUCCUCCUCCCACACGUGGGGUGAGGUGAGGUGGCAGUAGCAACGACAGGUGGUGUGGCGGGUCACGGCGGGCCGGAUGCGGAGCCGCAACGGUGGUCGGCGGGAUGGGGUGGGGCAGAGCGGCAUGGCAGGGCGGAGCGGUGGGACGGGGCCGAGGUGGAGGUGCCGGGCGGAGGUGGAGUGGCAGGACAGAGGCGGAGGCGGAGCGGCGGGUCGGCGAGCGGGUGGAGGGUGGCGACGAUGGGGCGGGCAGAGGCAGAGGGGUGGGUGGAGGGGCGGCGUGGUCCACCGGCGGGGGGGGGGGGGGGAGAGGGAGGCGUGGGGGGUGCGGUUGGUGAUUUCAAUUUUCUUUUAAUUUUUUAACACCCUUCAGUACCAGUUAUUUUAACCGGGUCUAAAGGGAUCCCCUCUUGUACCGAAUUGCUAGUACAGGAUGCACAACCGGUACUAGAGGGAGGUUCCCAACCGGUACUAGAGCCACUUUCCCCGGUAGUGACUUUUUCACCGAUUAGAAUAUGUUAUUAUUCUAAUCAGCUUUUGUUGAUCUCCUGUAUAAUUUAGUACCUAAUUCUACUAGCAAUUGUUAACGCCGACACGUAUUGGGUAUAGUCCUAACAGUGUCUAACUAGGGCACUACAUUUGUUAACCUAUAACUACUGGUAUCGAUUAGCCCUGGUUAGAAUACUGUCAAGGCAGCCAGAAAAAAUUGUUUGCCAAUUCUGCUAUCCAUCAGAACCAUGACUAGUACCGUAUUGUAAUAAACGAAUUACACAAAUAACUGAUGCACACAAAGGAAUAUGCACUCGCAUGUGCUAGACGUUCGUAGCAACAACAAAUUACUCUCAUCAUCAAUUAAACAUAAUAGAUUAAACAUUAACUGAACAUAGUUCAACACGUACAUCAACAAGACAAAGCAGUUUAAACAUCAACUGAACAGAACUGAAAACAUACAUCAACUGAUGAUAAACUUCGACAUGAACACAACACAUAAACAUCAACUUCAAUAGAACUUAAUAGAGCAUAUUAAACAACAACAUCGACAAAACAUAUAAACCCAGCUCAGUAGCUCAAGCAUCAACUAAAACUGCUGAAUUAAAAUAACAUAACAUAGUGUAGUUCAUCAUGAUGAUAACUAACAGAACCGAAAAGCCUAACUGGGUAAAAGAGCAAUUCAUUCAUAAUGCUUCAGCACUUACAUCACCGGAGUAUGCAACUGGCGGCGUCGCUUACGUCACUAUCACCGCGCUUGGCGAGUAAAGGAGGAGGAGGUGGCAUAGUAAUCGAAGAGGAGGCCGCUGUCGGCGGGUUUAGACUACGUGGAGGUGUGGGUAGGGUUAAGGUGGCUCUGUGGACGAGUAUAUAUAAGAGGUCUGGGCUUGUUAGAAUAAGAUAACAUUCUAACUGGCCAAAUUCGGAUCCGGUUAGAAUAAAUUGUUCUAACCAGCCUUAAUUCGAGGUGGUAAGGAUAAGUUAACAUUCUAAUCAGCUCUAUUUGGAGCCCGAUUGAAUGUUCUUGUUAUUCAAAAAAAGAUCAAGUUCAUCAAUUUUUUUCUAGAAAAACAUCAAGAUAAUUUAAACACGAUAUAUAACAAGAUUAAUACAUUUAAAAAUUGUUUUCUCCAAUAAUUAACGAUAUUUAACAAAUUCAAAAAAAAUCCAAAUUAACAGAACAUAAUAACCAAUUGUUCGAAAAAAUCAAAAUAGUCCACACAGUAUCAUAUUACAAAUUCAGAAAAAUAUCAAAAUAAUCCCUGAUCCACUCGAUACCGUCGUAGAACUUUGAAAUACUGAGCUUCUUGAUUCAUCUGAGGUCCACGUACUCGUCUCAGUAACACUAGUGGUGGCCAUGCAUCUUGUAGAUGUCUUCUAAUGAAUUAAGCUUGACAUACAAGGUCGUGCCUUCCACUCCUUGAGGAUUGCUUAUGACGUUUCUGCAAAUAACGAAGCAUUGCUUUCUCCAACAUGAUUAUUUUCUUCGGCUUAUCCCAAGGGACAACUAUGGUUUUCCCCUUGCCGGAAGAGGAACGAUGAUCGCCCCCACCAUCGCCACUUCCUCCAGUAGCAGAAGCCAUCUAUGUACAAAAAUUCAUACCUUAGCACUACAGAACUUGUUGAACUUGAAGACUGUGAUCAUUAGGCGAGCAUGUUCUCAACUAGGUGGCACCGCACUUCGUCAUGGAAGAGCUUCGAUUUUACAAAAAAGGGGACAUGAUCUUCCAUGAUGUCCGUAUCCGCUCUUUCUCGUAGAAUCAGAGCUCCUCCUUGAUAUACGAUGCUGCUCGGCGGAGAACAUGCUCACCGAGAUGAACACGGUAUGCAAGUUCAACAAGUAUGGAUUUGAAAAACCAUAUUGAAUUUGACAAGACAAACUAUCUAGAUAAGCGUAGCAUCAUUCUUAAACCACUGCAAGGAUACGUACUAUAUAUGACACAUCAAUCUCCCUCACAUUCUAGCUCAAAAUACCUCUCCAUUUUCUACUUCACAUUCUAGCAAAUAAACUAUCUAUCUCCAUUCUACACAUCAAGUUGUUUUAACUAAUACAAAUCGUAUAUAACAAGCAAAAUAUCCAUCACAUUCUAGCUCAAAAACAUGUAUAAAUACAAAUCCUCUUCAUUCUCCCUUUUUCUAACAAACAAACUCAUUUUUCUCCCUCUCCAAAGCAUAAAUUAAAGCGUAACAUGAGGAUGAGGUAGCAAACCUUCACAACACAUUGGAUGAGUGAAAUUCCCACGAAAAUGAGGGAAAAAAAUUCGGGCAGCACCUCCCUUGCUUCGGCACCUCUAGAGAGUAGGUGAAGCUCAGUUCUCUAUUUUUGUGGUGGACUAGCUUGGGCUGGAGGAGGAAGAAAGGCCUCUGUCUUGGUAUAUAAUGGGGGAUGAGUUUUUAUCCCAGUUAAAAGCUCCAACUGAGACAAAACGGCCAAUCUUUUGUCCCGGUUGGAGCCUCCAACCGGGACAAAAGGGGCACGCCAUCGACGCACGGGAGCUAGCCGUUACAACCGGGACUAAAGGGGGGCCUUUAGUCCCGGUUGCAAAUACCAACUGGGAUUAAAUCUCCCCUCCAUUUUUGCCUACCGUGGUGCGCCCCCUUUUAUCCCGGGUCAACUUUAAACCGGGACAAAAGGGGGCGUCGAAGAUCAGUUCUCUACUAGUGACCCCUCCCCACCUAUCUCUCUCCCUCCAUGCUCCUCGAUCUGUGCCUCCCCUCCCCUCCCCUUCCACUCGCCCCUCACCGACGGUAAGGAGCAGCGGCGGGGCGAGGUGAGGUGGCAGCAGCAAUGGCAGGUGGUGGGUCGCAGCGGAGCGGCUACGGUAGGCAGCCGGACGGGGCAGAGCGGCGGGGCGGGGUGGAGGCGGAGGUGGCGGGUAGAGGCGGAGCGGCGAGGCGGAGGCGGAGGUGGAGGCGGAGUGGUGGGACGGCAGGGCCGGGCGACUAGUAUAGGUGGGCGGGCGGAGGGCGGCGACGGCGGAGCGGGCGGAGGCAGAGGGGCAGCGGGGGCCGCCGGCGGGGGGUGUGAUCGGGGAUUUCAAUUUUUUUUAAAUUUUUUAACACCUUUUAGUCCAACUGGUUCUAAAGGGACCCCUCUAGUAUCAAAAUUGCUAGUACCGGUUGCACAACCGGUACCAGAAGUGGUUCCUAACUGGUACUAGAGCCACUUUCCCUGGUAGAGACUUUUUUACCAGUUAGAAUAUGUUAUUAUUUUAAUCAGCUUUCGCUGAUCGCCAGUAUGAUUUAGUACCUAAUUUUACUGGCGAUUGUUACCGCUGACACGGAUUGGGUAUAGUCCUAACAGUGUAUAACUACGGCACUACAUUUGUUAACCUAUAACUACUUGUAUCGAUUAGCCCUGGUUAGAAUACUGUCAAGGCAGCCAGAAUUUUUUUUUUUUGCCAAUUCUGCUAUCCAUGAGAUCCAUGACUAGUACCGCAAUGUAAUGAAUGAACUGCACAAAUAACUGAUGCACACAAAAGAAUAUGCACUUGCACGCUAGACGUUCGUAACAACAAAUUACUCUCAUCACCAAUUGAACAUAAUAGAUUAAACAUUAACUGAACAGAAUUCAACACGUACAUCAACACGACAAAGCAGUUUAAACAUCAACUGAACUGAACUGAACACAUACAUCAACUGAUGAUAAUUAUCGACAUCAACAGAACACAUGAACAUCAACAUCAAUAGAACUUAAUAGAGCAUAUUAAACAACAACAUCGACAAAACAUAUAAACCCAGCUUAGUAGCUCAGGCAUCAACUAAAAUUGCUGAAUUAAAACAACACAACGUAGUGUAGUUCAUAAUGCUUCGGCGCUUACACCACUGGCGGGUCGCUUACGUCGGCAUCACCGCGCUGGCUGAACCUCCGACACCCCCACCACGGCAAACGGAGGUGAUGGCGGAAGGUGAGGCAACGACAGUAGCUGGUGAGCUCCCGCUCCAAUGUCUCGCGAGUAAAGGAGGAGGAGGUGGCAUGGGAAUCGAAGAGGACACUAGUAGAGAAACGACUUUCCAUCCACCCCCUUUUGUCCCGGUUUAAAGUUGGCCCGGGACAAAAGGUUCACCAACCGGGAUUAAAACUCGGUCACUGGUGGGGGGCUCACCAACCGGGACCUUUUAUCCCGGUUGCAAAGGCUAGUGGGAAAAAAUUACUCUGAGAGGCCUUUUAUCCCGGUUUGAAACACCAACCGGGAUAAAAGACCCCCCCUUUUAUCCCGGUUGGUAACACCAACCGAGAUAAAAGGGUCAAGAGCCUUUUAUCCCGGUUGGAAACACCAACCGGGAUAAAAGGGGGUCUUUUAUCCCGGUUGGUGUUUCCAACCGGGAUAAAAGGGUCCCCCACGAGUUAAUACAAAAGGAUAGUAUCCCCUACAUAGUCAGAUGUGGUGUGUAGGUGGGAUGGUAAGGAAGCUACGCGCGAGGCUGGAGGUUGUGGGUUCGAAUCCCACGAACCGCGCACGCGCAUAUUUCGCGUGAAAAAUCGCGUGACUUGCGACUUGCGCGUGUGGGGGGGCCUCCUGGGAGCUCGGGAAUUUUUUUUUUUUGCAGCGCCGGCCGUGGGUGAACCCUUUUAUCCCGGUUGGUAUUACCAACCGGGAUAAAAGGGGGUCUUUUGUCCCGGUUGAGUGACCCGGGAUAAAAGACCCCCCCUUUUGUCCCGGUUGGUUUAUCCCGGAUGCAUUUUCGAGAUCUUUGCACCCUACCAACCGGGAUAAUAGGUGAGUUCUCCACCAGUGGGAGGCCGCCGCUGGCGGGUUUAGACUACGUGGAUGUGUGGGUAGGGUUAAGGUGACGGUGUGGACUAGUAUAUAUAAGAUGUCUGGGCUUGUUAGAAUAAGAUAACAUUCUAACCGGCCAAAUUCGGACCCGGUUAGAUUAAAUUGAUAUUCUAACCGGUCCUAUUUCUAGGUGGUAAGAAUAAGUUAACAUUGUAAUUGGCUUUAUUUGGAACCCGAUUGAAUCUUCUUGUUAUUCAAAAAAACAUCAAGUUCAUCAAUUUUAAUCCAGGAAAACAUCAAGAUAAUUUAAGCACGAUAUAUAACAAGAUUAAUACAUUUAAAAAUUGUUUGAUUCACAAAUUAACGAUAUUUAACAAAUUCAAAAAAUCCAAAUUAACAGAACACAAUAACCAAUUGUUCGAAAAAAUCAAAAUAAUCCACACACAUUAAUAUAUUACAAAUUCAGAAAUAUAUCAAAAUAAUCCCCGAUCCACUCGAUACCGUCAUAGGACUUUUAAAUACUGAGCUUCUUGAUUCGUCUGAGGUCCACCUACUCGUCUCAGUAACACUAGUGAUGGCCAUGCAUCUUGUAGAUGUCUUCUAACGAAUCAAGCUUGACGUACAAGGUCAUGCCUUCCGCUCCUUGAGGAUAACCAUCUUUGGUGAUCUUGAAAUGGCAGACGGUGGAUGUGCCAAAGGUACGUGACGAUCCUUCUAAAUGUAUGCCACCACAACUUCCGUCUGAUCGCCAUGGGUGACACCAAGAAGAGCUACCAUGCGGCAAGGGACGAACAAUUUAUCAAUUAGUGCCGCUGUCCAUCGCCAUCAUCUAAUCCAGCCAUAUCUUGUUGUAUAUUUAAGUAUAGAAAUUAAGAUUUAAAAAUAAACAGAAUAAAUUGAGAUCGAUUAUGUAUGUAUAUCAGAACAUUAGCUUUUGGAAAAAGGGCUUCGAUGGAAGAGAGGCACGGGGCAUAGAGACAACAACGAGUGACAAUAUGUCAGAAGAAUACCCGAUCACAAUUAUUGGCACACACAGCCGAUAUUUACAGUAGUCAAUACCCCUGGUAAAUAACCACACCAUCAAGAGUAAAUAGUGACAAUAUGCAGUAUAUACACGACAUAGCCUUGGCUGCCGUGGAAGCACCAGAAGGGAGACAAAUAACAGGGACCACUACAUCAAGUAGAUAGUGACAAUAUGCAAAAGAAUACCCGCGCCUGUUAGCAUGUGUGAACUGACCACACCACGAAACGUGAUACACGGCAAGCGUACCAAGGCCUUGCUGUGCAGACUAUGCAUGGACAACACAUGGUACCUGACCGCUUUUGGCCUCAGACACAUCAAAAACUGCAUCGUUCCACGUUGUACAUCCAUUGCUAGUUUAUCUAUAUUACAUAAUAUAUUAUUAGCUAUUUGAAUAGAAUGAACCAAUUAAAAAAUUACGUUGUAUUUUAGUACCGGCUGCAGGAUGGUGUUACCAACCAGUACUAAUUGGCCUGUAGGAGUGAUGGUUAUUAGACUUGGUACUGUUGUUAGCAUCAUUAACCUAAUUGUGCGCCGUAUGAAUUUGGGGAUGCAAAGCUAGCUCUCUAUGAAUGUGAGGGAUGGAAAGCUAGUUCUCUAGUAGUAAUUAUAUAUAUGACAGUCAGGAAAUCGAACACUAUGCUGCUACGAGUCACCAUCAUUUCCUUCAUUGACAAUCUGACAUAGGUGAAGCUGCUUCAAUAAUUUCCUUCGCGCAGUCGUGGAGCUUAUUGGAUUAUCACCAGGACGGGACACGGAAAUGGCCAGCAAUGAAGCUGAUUGCCGUCUGAGGAAGACUACAUACUUACCUAUGAAAUGAAGCGAUUGCAUAGACUAAUGAAGCAUUGCAUAUUUGCAUGUGAGUGUGGCAGAUAAUUCUGCAGGACAUGAUUGCAAUCCACGCACCAUCGAGAAGACUGGGGCGAUGGGGUUGCCUCAUCAAUAAUCACGUGGAUGCAUGCAUGCAUGUUCCCUCAACCGGACAAGGGUCUGAUAUAUGGCUAUAGUAUUACUGAGCCCACAUCAAUAAUUUCCGCUGGUGUAUCGUGUGGGAAGAAUCAACAUACUACACCUCUGAGUUCUUGGAACUAACUGACGUUCACAUGCAACCUCCACAAGGUGCUGUAUGCUUUUGACAUUCACCUGCCAGUUCGUGUAGAGGACACCCUAACGUAUGGUUAAUAUUAUCCAUUUCAUGAGUAAAAUACUGUGAUUCAAAAAUACUUCAAAUCCCUUGAGACAAUACUUCUCACUUGACUAACCACUAACCAACCCCGAAACCCUAACUCAACUCCGAACCCUAACCCCUAACGGCAUAACCACUCCGUUUUGCCGGCGAGAUGGAGGAACUGGCUGGAAGGUAGAGAGGGCAGCGGUCCAGGGUUGAAAACGACGGGCGAGCGCAGUAACAUGUGGAGGAGGAAGUGCCACGUAUUCGUUCACCGCUAUUGGGCAGCGACACACGACACGCCCAAUAAGAUCUUCGCACGGUAGAAGGACGUCAUGUAUUCAAUAAUGUUAUUGGUCCCCCAUGUGCAGAAGGGCGCGCGCGUAUGGAAUAACAAGUAGGGACACUGCAACUAAUCUACUCUGCUCGUCCAGUCCCUAGCCUAUAAAUAGAUGCCAUGCUAGCUCUUGUUGUGCUCACAAUUAAUCCGAUUACACACGAGCUUCUCUCCCUGGCCAAGACACAACCAUAGUAUGAUGAAGAACAUGGCACUAGCCGGCAAUGGUAUGAAGAAGUUAAUCCUCGCUGUUCUCUUACUGUGUCUAGUUAUAGGGCAGAUACAAGUGGAAGCUAAGAGCUGCUGCCCAUCCACCACUGCAAGAAAUGUCUACAAUACCUGCCGUUUCACGGGUACAUCCCGUCCAACGUGUGCAAAACUGUCAGGCUGCAAAAUUAUCAGCGGGAACAAAUGCAAGCCCCCUAACGACCACCUCACCCUUGACCCGGACACUGGUAAAUAAUAAAUUUAUCUCACUUGAUUUCUUCGUGAUUUGAGUCGUUAAUGUAUUUUCCAUCUGAUGAAACGUAUUGGUUUUGCAUUGAAGAGGAAGUUAAUGUGCUUAACUUCUGCAAGUUGGGGUGUGCGUCGUCUGUGUGCAACAACAUCAACGCUGGUAAGCAACUUUUGCUCAGACAGAGAAAACAAUAAUCAUUAAUUAGCGGCAGCUAGAAUCCUAUAAUCUAAUAUAUAUAUAUAUAUAUAAUUUUAUCAGCUCUGGGAAAUGAAGAGGCGAACGAUGCCGUUGAGAGUUGCGACCAAGCCUGCUCUAGCUUCUGCAGCGUGCAUGUUGGCAGCGCCACCGUGGUUGCUUAAGCAAAUGCAUCCAACUAGAUCGUCCUUGUGCUGAAUAAUUGGAUAUCGUAUCCACUUAAAGCUGCCUUGUGUAGUACGUCUUUGUGUCUCUCUUUAUAUUCCAAUAAGGUCGGUGAUCUUGAUGCCACACACUCAGAUGUGUGUUCAUCUCCAGAUACUACUCCAUGCUACCUGCCCUUUGUGUUUUGUUCAAUAACUGGGUAUCAUAUCCCAGCCAGUAUGCCGUCUGUUUUGUGUUUGUUUCCUUCUAGUUCCAAAGGGGUCAUCAUGAUGUUACCUUCUUUCAAUAUGGUGCUUUGCAUGACUACUGUUGUAUGGUACCAUCUUGUGGCCAAUAAGUACAUCUUAUCCUAUGACCUUUGCUAUGACCCUUUGCAAAUAAGUAGAAGAUUGUUAUAAGCGUCAAUACUCCGUAUAAAUUGAUCGCUGCUGUGAGUUCCCUUUCAGCUUAUCGUAGGCAUACAUUAUUGCUAGCACGGUAAAGCCAACCAACACGAAUGAUGAAGUAAACGUAGCGGUACUUCUGUAUACCAACACCCUUACUUAAAUGUACCGGUGUCAUUCCCUACUGGCACAUAUAUUCUUAUAUGCUAGCCAGCUUGUAAAAUUAACCAAUUAAAAUAAUUAUUUCAAGAUAGAAAUAACUUAUCGGUUUCUGGAAGCAUGUGUAAUGUGAAUUCAAGGACUCGACGGAAGUUGAAUCACUUCAUCUAUAUUGCUUUCAGUAUUUUGGGUAACUAAAUUUAACAUUUGCACAUACAAAUGUUAAAGUACAAAUGUUAAAUCUAGUUACCCAAGCAGAAUAUGAAGAUAGUUUAUAGUAUAUAUAUACUAUAUAAAUCUAGUUAACAUUUAGUCUAAAUGUUAAAUCUAGUUACCUAAAAUCCUGAAAGCAAAAUGUAUAAAUAUAUAUCUUUUAAGGCAGUAUAAGCUUCGAUUCCUAUUGCUGCUCUGUUAAAUCUCAUCUUUCGUUGUGGCCCAACACUCUAGUAUGCAUGUUGCACCAAGCUUCUUUGAGCCGCUCUGCCCUCUGAUUUUGCUGCGUAGGGGAAUCUUUAUCAGGUUGGGCUACUUCCAGUUGUGCGAUGUAAAGAUUCGUAUUUUCUAGAAGGUAGACAAAAAACUCGCGUUCUCUUAAGGCAACAACCGGAAGAUUCUGCAGCGCACAGGGCAUACCAUUAUUGUAGAAACGACCUUUAGUACCGAUCUCCAACCCCCUUUAAAACUGGUUUUGCAACCGGUACCGUUAUGUCGGUCCUUUAGUACCAGAUCAAAUAAGUACCGGUUGGUAACCAGUAUCAACUUGUUUUGCGGCCAAAAAAAUAAAGAAAAAAACAGUCAGAAGGCUCGCGCACACGCGCAUCACAUGAAAUAUGCGUGUGCGGGGUCCAUGGGAUUCGAACCCAUGAAAUCAAGCUGCGCGCGACCCUUCGUUACCAUCUCACCUACAUAGCGCAUAUGCUUUCCUGAAGUAACCCGUGGAGGAGGCUUUAGUACCGGGUCAUAACACCACCCGGUACUAAAAAUGACUCUUCAGUACCGGGUCAUAACACCACCCGAUACUAGUAUCGGAUGGUGUAAUGACCCGAUACUAAAAGGCCUCUAGGGACCCUCAAAUUUGAACCCGGUACUAAUGCUAAUAUUAGUAGCGGGUCAAAGUGCAGCCAGAACUAAAGCAUGGGAUGAAAGGUCAUAUUUCUAGUAGUGUAUAGUUGUUGUGAAGGACUGACUUGGCUGUCCUCUCUCUUCUCCAUCCCCUUGGUCUUACGCCGCCGCUCGCACGCGAGCCGGUGCCCAACCAGAGGAGUGAGAGCUAGGGGCAGGUUGGGAGGUGGGGAUAGUGACUGGUGGCCAGGGUGAUGGUUGAUCCUGGUGGGGUUAGGGUUUUAGGGUUUUCGAGCUUCCUAUGGUCGGCGAACCUAGAGGAGGAGCUCAACAUCAGCUGCAACCCGCGAUGGUGGUGGUUUGGCCGGCGCCCGAGGCGAGGCAGCGCGGGAGUGCUGCCGGUGGGUUGGUGUUGGCACUCAUUAUUGACAACUAUUUUGUUCAUAAAAUAACACUCAAACUUGCUGCUGCUGCUGCUGCUGCCAUCGCCACCCUAGCCAUAAUAUAAAGGCAAAAUUUGCUAAAGGACAUGCAAAAUGAUGCUAGUUUGCUGGCGGGCAUCGUUGACCUUGUAAUAUGCUACAAGACACUCUAGUUGUGUAUCAAUUUGCUGAAAGACAUUGCUAUGACUAAAAUAAUGUUUCUGGACUGAGUUGGAGAGAGAGAUGGAGUGAAAUGUCUGUUUUGCCCAUGACCCCACUGGUCAGAUCCUUCUUCUUCCACCCUCCUUUGUUCUUUCUUCAACCAUUACCCAGCUCCAGCGUGUUGCAGAUCUACGAGGGUGGCGGCCUGGGGCGAGGGGCAUCGCUCGCCCUUGGAGGAGCGCUGCGAGCGACGGCGCGGGGGCGGCAACAGCGCGUCAGAACCUGACUGUUCGUUAGCUCCUCUCGCUGCUGGGGAAGGAGGGGGAUGGGCCAUGGACGGGGUUCCCUUGAAAACCUCAGCGUCGAGCUCGGGCGGCUACGCGCAGGCAGCACUAGGCUGCUUCACGGGGAGGGGGCGCGGCCAAUCAUUGGCACCCCACUGGUCCAAUGCUGAUGAAGAUGGUGCCAGCGUCGUGUGAGGACAUCUCAUCUCCUCGAGUUCCAUGGCCAGCACAGGUGAGCUGCCGCUACCACAAAACAGAGGUUUCGUGAGAGUCAAAAAACCUUAUGAAAAUAGCUAAAACCAUCAUGAAAAUAAUCCGUGACAUGACACUCUCACGAAAAUCCUCUCACAAAUAUGGUGCCAUGAAAAUACCAUUUUCAUGAGAGUGAACUGUCAUGAUUUUAUUUCGUGAGAGUAUUUCCUAUCAAUGACCUCCACGAAAUACUUUGUGCCACCAGGUCUUCAAGAUCAUUUUCAUGAGAGCUGAACAUCAGGAAAAGUCCGCCACAAAUGUUUUUCUUGGAGCCCCUAACUCUCAUGAAAAUCAUGCGGGCCGCCACGAAAAACAGCAUGACCAAAUGACAAAUUUCAUUUUCAUGUGUUCAUACCGCCAUGAAAAUGGUCAUUUUCAUGAGAGUUGAUGAAACAAAAAAUAGUGCCAUUUUCAUGAGAGUUCAAGCAACCAGGAAAAGACACUAAUAAACAUCCAGAUCCCAUCCAGCACACAUCCAUGCACAUAUAUAACCCACAUAUUGCUCCAGCACACAUCCAUGCAUAUACAAGAUCCAAAUGUUAAUAUAGUAGACAUCCAUGCCUGAACUAGUCUGCCACACAAGUCAUUGAUGCUACAAAUCCUACAAUCGCAGCAUGUGCAUACAAGUCACAGAAUGAGACAAUGUACCCAAAACUAAAAGGUUAGCAUCAACUGUGCUUCAACCAAAGUUGUCAUCCCAACUCUCCUCUUCAUCCAUGCCAUUCUUGUCGUGGCCGUCACUGUCAGUCCCCAUGGCAUUGCCAAUGCUGUGCAUGUCUUGGUAGGAACCUACAUGUGAUGAACUAGUAACCUGCAAAAAGAGCUCAAAGGAUCUUGUUCUCAUAUUGUAGCUGUGAAAUUCUUACAAGUAGUGUUGCAAUCAGUUCACUUUGAACCAAAAGAGCUCAAAGGAUCUUGUCCUAAAAGUUCCUCAUAAAGCUUAUGGGUUUGCUGGUGGAACUGGAAGGGCUUGAUGCAGCAGAUGCCAUUCUGCAAUAGAGAAAAAUUUAGAGAGCAGUACUAGUUAAAAUUGGAUGCAGAAGAUACACAUGAAACUAGUAUUUAUACAAGUCUAUACAAUUAAAAUCUAAGGAGACUUAUCAUCGUUUUCAUGUGUUGUGAAUUAAAAUAAUGAAGGAUACACUGUUAGGUGAAAAUUCAAGAAACAAAAUUUUGCAUAGAGAUAAAGGUCCAACAUUAUUACAAGUUAAGGUAGUUUUAAAUAUCCUUGUAAUCUUCCUUUGGUUUCCUCAACGAUUCGAAGACAAUAACCUUGCUUCUAUCAAUGAUAAUUAUAAGGAGAAUCCAGUGGAAACUGUGUAUUCGUAUUAGAACUACCUAAGGUUAAUUAGGUUAGGAAAGGAAAUUGAAAAUAGAUGGUACCCACACUUACUUAAAGUUGUCGGGCAAUAGUAUGUAAUGCUUGUAAUUCCGUUGCUCCAAGAAUUUGUAUAUGUGGUCCAAUGUAGACUUUGGUUGAUCCCGUAUCUGCUGUUGGUUAAAUAAGUGUUUCUAGCCAUUUCUAGCCAUUAGAACCGGGACUAAAGGGGGCUCUUUAGUACGGGUUGAUAUUACUAACCGGGAUUAAAGAGCCCCCAUUAGAGUUGGUUUUUGGAUGCGGAACUAACAACUCCUUUAGUCCUGAGUACGAAAACAACUGACAUAUUUGUUGCUGGAUGGAAGGUCCUUUCUCUACCGUGAAUAUUGCCAGAAAGAAUUGAAAGAGACUGCUUGCUAAAAAUAUGUCAUAGAUGUAGACCAAGCUACCAAGGAGGUAGACCAAACAUGAUACACACCAUGCGUACCUUGCUGUGCAGACUAUGCAUUGACAAGAUACCCGACCACAUGUUGGCCUCGGUCACAUCAAAAGAAUCAUGUAGGCCACCAAUAAACUACUUGAAGCGGCAUUCCGUAUCGUAUAUGCAUUGCCGGUUCAUCUGCAUUACAUUACAUAAAGCACUAUUAACUAUUUGAAUAAAAUGAACCAAUUUAAAAGUAAUGUGUUGUACUCUACUAUAGAAAGCCCUAUCACUGCCGGAUCCAAAAACAUCAUUGUUAAUGGUGGUUAAGUACCAAAUAUGACGGUCAAUAUUCUCAAGAAUAAUGGAGAAUUAGCAUUUCUUAGACACAUAUUUGGUUUUGAACAAUGUAGUUCCACAUGUCUUUGGAGAUUAUUUGGGUGUGGGUGAAAUAAUACAAAAAUAAGGAGAAAACACACUCCCAUGGCGAAGAAACACAACUCCAACCAAUGAGAGAUAGCCACAGGGGCAGCACACGGAUCCAUGGGCCCACUAACCGCAUCAAACCAUCUUACCAAGGCAGGUAGCACCCACAACCGUCAUUAGGACCCACCUGGAAGUCUACCAAGAAGAAGGUUGCGAGUGGGGCCAGGAGGGGUUCGGUUGAAUCAUCUCUAGCUAGCUCCCCUCAUCCCCAGCUGGUGGGUGGUGGUGGUUGAUGGUGUCCCUACAUCAGUUAGAGGAGAUUCCCCCAAAUAUUCCUCCUGUAAACCACCUCUAUGGACCUAUACAUAGAGGGGUGUGCUCUCCAUUCCAACACACACCACAAGUUGAAUCACUCUCUCCCUCUUUAGUUUCCAAGUUUAUGGAGUUAGGCUAGAGUAGCUCUGCUCAAGGUUCCAAGUCCACUUGGAGUUAAGCAUAUGUCUCUUGUAUCGUUAUUUCCUAAAUUGACUUUAUGCUUAGUUCUUAUAUGCAUGAGUUAGUCUAAUACCCUUGCUAUAUUGAUAUGCUCGGCUUAUAUGCUCGUAUGCUAGUCAUAUACCCUUGCUGUCGUAGUAUAGGCUUAUAUGCUCUCAUGUGUGCCUGUAGACCUUGCUAUAGUAUAUACUUGUUGUGCAUACAUACCAUGUAUAGGCUAGUCGAUCUAUACCAUGGCAUUGGUUCAAUAGCCAUGUUUUUGGUGGCUCCAACCCUAGUCACAAUAGCUCGGGACAGCUGGAGUGUUGUUAAAAAUGCAAGAGUGGUGCUUGGGUUGUUUAGCAUCGUUGGAUAUGGGUUUGCCCCACGGGUUUCUAACGGUAGGCGGCAGCUAGUGACAUCCCUGUCCGUCCUUCGUAAUCCCCCCACAUUCAGGUACGCCAUAAAUGUUCGUAAAUUAGCAGUAACUACGCCGGUACACCUGUAGGGUAUUGUCUCCCUGUAGUACCUUGGUGCAUAGAACUAAGUCCUAUACACUGUGUGUGUAUGUUUACGCUGAUAUGAUCUGUGCAGUAUAUAGGAUGUAUAUAUGAACCUAGAGCUAACUCCUAGUCCGUUCUCCAUAGCUUAGUUAUCUUGAGAUGAUUCUUCUGUAUGUGUAACACUACCCAUCUUAUCAUUAUCCUUGAUCCUGUCUUGUGUAAUAUAUCUACUCAUCCUAUGAUAUACUCAUAUGCAUAGUAAACUAUUUUGACCUACCCGCCUUCCUUUGGGAAAUAUGAUACCUUGGAAUAAUCCUAGGUGAAAUCCUACAACGGUAUAUCCAUGUAAAUGCGGAUUUAUUCAUGACCAUUAAAUAUACCAACAAUCAUCACUGUGAGUUUUGGGCGUCGUUAGUGAAGGGUUGGUAGUGAUGGGCAUCCCCUUCACCAAUGGACCUGGAACCGGCGGUGAUGGCUAUUAUAAAAAAGGGGACACCACCCAGCGUACCCCACGACCCGGCCGGCCGCACCUCCCAUCAUCCCCGCCAGCCGCCCUUCCUUUUCGCCGGCCGAGCAUGGUCCCGGCCUUUGUCCCUACCACCUCGCCUCCACCGCGACCCCCCGCCGAUGCCCUCGUGCCUGGCCCCCCUCAUCUUGCCGGCCACCCUCCCGAUGCGUCCACUGGGGCCCUCGCACCACCAACCGCCCUUGCUUAGAGAGGGAGAGAGAGGAGGGAGGUGAGGCCACGCACCUCGUCCUACACCGCCGCUGUUUCUCCUCGGCCCACCGCGCCUCACCCCACACCACAGCCGCGCCUUGCCAUCUUACCGGCUGUGACGCCUCAUCUCACCGGCCACCGUUCCUCACCCCCACUUCGGUCGUCGCCGCUCCUUGCCCUACCGCUGCUCUUUGCCGCUGCGAAUGAGCGCCGAGUGGAGGAGGAGGGAUGGGGCAGGAGGAGGGCAAGAUCCGGGAGGAAGGGAGAGAUCUCGGGAGGUGGAGAUGGAAGGAUAUGGCGGAAGGGAGAGAUCCAGAGGGAGAGAGCAGGGGAGAGAGGGGGGCGUGUGGGGAGAGAGCGCGUGUGGGGUGGGGCCGGGCUGGUGGGAUGGAAGGGAGAGGGGCUAGACGGGCGCAGUGCAUUCAACUGGAUGAAGUAAAUAUUUUGGAUUCGAGACCCCAGCUUUAUUAUCACCGCUGGUCCGUAGUACCAUCCGGUGCCUGCUCGUAAUUUAAUUUGAAUCUGCGGUGAUGUUUUAUUAUCACCAUCGGAUCAUAUAAAAAUCCGGCGGUUAAAAAUCCGCUGGUUUCGAUGAAAACCGACGGUGAUAGGAUGACUGUGAUAGUCUCUUCUCUAGUAGUGGUAUAUUAGUACCGGCUGCCGGAUGGUGUUGCCGACCAGUACUUCUCCGGGGGCGAUUCAGUACUGCUGUUAGCAAAGCUUGUUCUCUAUGAAUUUGGGGAUGGAAAGCUAGUUCUCUAGUUGUGAUUUGUUACAUAUAUAUCUAUGAUAGUCUAGAAAUUGCAUGUCCUUCGUUGACAUAGUUGAAGCUGCUUCAAGAAUUUACUUCGUGCAGUCGUGCAGCAUAUUGGAUUAUCACCUAGACAGGAUACAUAGGUGAAGCAUUGGAUGUGAUUGUGGCCGAUAAUUAUGCAGGACGCUGUUGCAAUCAACCACCAAGAAGUCUGGAGUGAUGGGGUUGCCUCAUCAAUAAUUUUUAUAUAUGGCUGCAGUAUUAUUAAGCCCACGUCAAUAAUUUUUUGUCCGCACCAUAUAUCGAUGGGGUUGCCUCAUCAAUAAUUCGCGCAACCAGACAAGCUGCAGACUCAAUAUGGUACGAAGCUAGUUGCUCAGCCCACAUGCUCUGAUAUAACAUUGACAUCUGCUGAUCUACAGUAUAUAUGACCAGAAAUAUUGUGCCCACCUCAAUAACUUUCUGAAGUAUCGUGGGGAAGAACCUACGCGUACUAUGCCUCGGAACUAACUGACAUAUCGGCCCAGGCGGUCUAGGCCGAUUGGACUGGCUCUUCCUUGUGGCUUCUCACAUCCCCUUCGUCCCCAAGUAAUUUCAGGUGUUCUGUAGUUUUCUUUUCACUUGCAUCUGAGCCUCCUAUAUCAAUAGCUUCGGGAUAAGAAUGCCUCUUGAUAACCUUCCAAAUCCUCGCUUGAUUCACAUUGAUUCCGAAAUCAUCUUGCCAUAUCUUCAGAGACUUAGGUCCUAAGGCAUCAUGGAGGAUUGCUCGCCAAGAAUGAGCACCAUUGGGCUCCUGAGGACCCUAGGCCGAUCAGCCCGGGCUCUAUAGGUCGAUUGGCCCAGGCCCUCUCUGGGCCUGUUGGCCUUCAUCUUUCUUUGAGUCGACGCUUAUUCAGGGCUUUGUCCAAUUAUAGUCCAUUAUAGUCUAAUUUCCUAAAAAACAGAAUGUCCUCCAAAAUACAAUGCAUAUGUGAAAACAACCCAAUUAUUAGGUAUGAUCAAUAGUUUAGGUAUUAAAUUAAUAUUAUUAUUUAAGAUAAACAGGGGUAAAGGGUGUCAUUAAUAACAAGCGCCAACAAGCGUCCUAGCUGUUCAAUAAAUUUUUUCUAGUACCGAUUGGUAACACUAACCGGUGCUAAUAUGUACCCUUUAUUACCGGUUAUUUUACCAGGUACUAAAGGAGACAAGAGCAUCCUAACAUAAGGUUAAUAUCAUCCAUUUCAUGAGUAAAAUACUAUGAUUCAAAAAUAAUUCAAAUCCCUUAAGACAAUACCUAUCAAAUGAGUAAAUUGUAAAUAGAGUAAUCUUGAUCAAACAAUGUCCUAAUGAAACGGAACACUUCUGGUUCGUGUAGAGCACAAUAUAGAAAACAGUAGGGUAGCUGUAUGAUUGACACGUGGUCCAUUAAUUAUUGAGCCAACACUAUGGACAUGUCUUCAUGAGUAGUGUACUAGUCAUAAUACAUGGUAUGCAGUAGGUGGAGGUAUUGACUUAGCCAUGCUAUGAGCACUUAGUUACAACAAACACUUUGCCAUUAUCGAGCAUCCCAAAUCACUACAAAAUCCAUAGUUUACCAUAUACUACAAAAUCUGAGUUAAAAUAAGAGCAUACACGGAAGAGUCCGAAUGCACGGCACAUUGAAUUACUAGACAAAAUUUAUGGGACAAGGUUUUGGGUAACCGCAUGAAAAAUAUUGGAUUUUACUGAACACUUAGUUACAAUUACCAUGCCCGUGAGCACUUAGUCACCACAAACAUUUAACCACUUUAGAUCAUCCUGAAUCCCUAUAAAUUCUAUACCUUACACCGUACCAUGAAAACGACAAGAACAGAGACAGAUGCGGUGAAAAUCUCCAGAGCAAGCCUGAAAUUAAAAUAAGAGGAGGCAGUCACUAUCGACAGGACACGGAGAUUGCUAGCCAUGACAGAGGAAGACAUGAUAUGAUAUUCACCUCUGAAAUGCAGCGUAGACUAAAUGAAGCACAAUUGCAAGUGAGUGUGGCAGAUAAUGGACCAUCGAGACCAUCGAAUGGUAUGAAGCAUGAUUAUCACCUAGACAUGAUAUCCUAGACAGGACGGUGAAUUGUAAAAAGAGUAAUCUUGAUCAAAGAAUGUCCUAAUGAAACGGAACAUUUUUGGUACGUGUAGAGCAAAAUAUAGAAAACAGUAGAGUAGUUGUACGAUUGAAACUGCAUCCAUCGACGUGGUGCAUGAAUUGUUGAGCCAACACUGUGGACAUGUCUUCAUGAACACCAUCUAGUGAGGACAGCAUGCAGAAAAAUAUAAAAACAUGUCAUAGGGAGGCAGACCAAUCUUGCGAGGUAGACGAAACGUGAUACACGAUCUGCCUACCUUGUCGUGUGGAUACCCCAAGUGAAGAUGUCAUAGAGGUGCAGACCAAGCUAGCAAGGAGGUAGAUGAAACGUGAUACACGGCCUGCCUACCUUGCCGUGGAUAUUAGUCCUGAUAUCAUUCUAUUGUUCAAGGAAUAACACUCAAUGCUGCUGCUGCUGCUGACCUGGCUCCAUAAAGUUAUAUUCCUCUAGCCGCUUGCACUAACUUUAUCUGAAGUAUUAUUCUCUCUGCACUGUAUAUAUGGUUACGGAGUUUGCUGGAGUAUCCGGGGGGAAGAACCUACAUAAUAUGUCUUGGAACUAACUGACAUUGAUUCACAGACAAGGUGCUGUUGUUGACAUGGUACAGUAAAUAAUAUAGUUUACCAUAUACCGUAUACCAUUAUAUGUUAGCUAAAAUAAGAGCAUAACAUGUCGCAGGAGUCCAAAAGCACCGGUUGAGGACCAGGUACAUUAAAUUACUAGAAAACAAAAGGGGACAAGGUUUAGGUAGCCACAUGAAAAACAUUUGAAUUUACUGUACCAUGAACACUUAGUUACCAUGCCGGGAGCACCUAGUUAACACUAACAUUUAGCCACUUUAGAUCAUCCCGAAACACCAAUGACCCUCAAUAGCGACAAAUUUUGGUUUAAAUGCCGUCACCAAUGAUCCUCAAUAGUGACGUGUUUAGGUUUAAAUCCCAUCACUAAUAACCCUUGGUAGUGACGUGUUUUGGUUUAAAUCUCAUCACCACUGAUCCUCACUAGUGACGUGUUUUUAGCAACACACGUUAUGAAUGACUUGUCAUUGGUGACAUGUUAAACGCGUUAUCUCAAUGGCAAAUCAAUGGUGACGUGUUUAAAAAAACAUGUCACUGUGAGAGUUAUUGGUGAAGGGUAAUUAAAAUGCAUCACUAAUUUUGUAGCAUUAGUUAUGAUAUAAUUUUGUAACGCAAAAAUCUACCAUAGUAAUGAGGUUUAGAGCCAUCACUAAUGUGGGUUUCUUAUCGUAGUGAUGCAAGCUCUACAAGGUGCUGUUGUUGCCAUUUUAAAGCAUCCCAAAUGACUACAAGAGUCCGGUUGAGGACUAAACAAAUUGAAUUACUAGAACCAAAUGUAUGUCCAGAACAAAGAAAGGGGUCAAGGUUUGGGUAACCGCAUUAAAAACAUUGAAUUUUACUGUACCAUGAACACUUAGUUACCAUUACCAUGCCUUGAGCACCUAGUUACCACAAACAUUAAUUUAGCCACUUUAGAGGUUCCACAAUCACUAUAAAUAAUAUACCAACACCGUACCAUGAAAACAUCAAGAAGAGAGACGGGUACAUGGACCACCAUCAAGUGAGUAGUGACAGCACGCACAAGAAUACCCGGAACCUUUUAGCUUGUCUGUAGUGAUCUGUUUUCUUCGCCACAAAUAAUGAAAGAGGCUGACCAAGCUAGCAACGAGGUAGAGCAAACGUGAUACACGUAGGUUUCAUUCAAGACAUCCAUGUAAGAUUCAUUCAAAACAUUCAUGGAAAUUUCUUGUAAGUUUUCAUGUAAAUUUCAUUCAAGACAUUUGUUAGAGGUGUUGUAUAUACACUUAACGUACAUAUAUCUAUGAUUUCAUGGUUGUUAGUGAUGGCAGAUGAGGAGCAUGCAAGGUGUUUAAUGGAGCAGAUUAUUGCUAGUGGUAGUGGCUCCAACCUGCCCGUAACGUACACCGACGAAGAGGGCAGCCAGGCGGACAUGUUCCUCAACAUGUCCGGUGAUGGCAAUGAAGAGCCCGAGCAAAACCUUGCCGUGACGGAAGGUUCCAUCGAGGUAUAUAUCAUUUCCAUUAUUUUACCCCAUCUAUAAUUUCAUAUUCAUUAUUACUAUGUGCUAAUUAAUGAAUCUUGAACCGUUAGUCCUCUAGAUCAACGAACCGAAAUAAGCCCCGAGGUCUUACAAAGAUAAUGCAGGGAAGGCUUCACAUCAUGGAAGUCACAGAAGAGGGCACAUCGGUUGCUCCCGAACAUGUGGCAAGAAAGUACGUGAGUCAAACCGGGGCAAUCGUAAGGGACAACAUGCCCAUCAGCAUCAGGGAAUGAAAGAGCAAUAGAAAUGAUCUAUACGCACCCCCGGAUACACAAAAGGAUAUGUUGUGGGCAAAUAUCAAGAAACACUUCACAUUUCCCAAAGGAUAUGUUGAAAAAUAUGUGAAAGCGUGGAUGUUGAAGAAGAUGGCCACCCAAUUCCAGACAUUCAAGAAGAUGUUGGAUGCCAACUUCAUCAAGAAGGGUCGAACUCCGGGUUUCAAUGAGUGGCCAAAGUUAAGGGACCACUGGGAGUCGUUUGUCGAAUACAAGACGAGCGAAGGUGGUGCGAGUAAGGUUCACAUCAAUGUUGCCAAUGCUAGCAAGGAGUACCAUCAUCAUCUAGGGCGACGUGGUUACAGCUCUGCAAUUCCCAGAUGGCGCAAGAUGGAACAAGACCUGAUCGAUCGGGGUAUCGUACCAGCAACUCUUGACUGGAUCGAUUGAAAAAUUGGUAUUAUGCUCAUGAAGGCAAUCUGAGCCAAGAGGAUCCGACAUUGGUCUUCAAUAAAACAAUACGUCAGAAGGUCGGAAGGCUUAUUAGGAACAUUGAAGAUGCUAAAGCUGGGAGGUUCAAGGUGGAUAGAGAGAAUGAUGAACUCACAUUGGCCCUCGGGACUGUCAUCUCUAGCACUUCCAGCUCCAGGACUAUCGUCACCACCGGGACCGUCGCUUCCUGCUCGAUCACAGUCUCCAUCUCCAGCACAUCCUGGUGGUGCGAGCGACGACGACAACAACACCCCUCCCUGCCCACCAUUGCCGGGACUAAGACCCGCAUUGAGUAAGGAACCUGCAACACCACUGAAGAAGUCGCGACCACCACCUUCAAGGCAAGUCAGCAAAAGAAGAAAGCAGAGAAGCCUAAACCCACUGAGAAGCCAGCGACUGAUAUGACCGAUGCGGAAAGAUGGAAGGCACUCAAAGAAGAAUGCAGGGAGUGGUUCAGCGAAGGCGAAGGUGAGAAAGUCGUAUGAAUCGAAUUCAAGGAUAUAUAUGAAGUGAACCAUCAGGAUGCCCUUGAUGUCUCUCUCAUCAGCGCCUAGGUUCUGUAAGUGUAUGUUUAUCUAUAAGUAAAUUUUGGCUCAUAUCAUUAUUUUUUUUGCGUGCGUCACCCUACUAACUUCGUCUUCCAUUUUAUGUAGGAUGCUAAUUCAGACGUGCCGCAUAGAAGCGUACUUCCAUGUUGGAUUCAUGGAUCCAUCCCUAGUUAACCAAAAGCCGAUACGGAAGUAGCUAGAGAAAACGUUGGAGGUGGUGUACAACCUCCUGGACAAACUAAACUACAGAAUAGGGGCAAUAUGUGAGGGUCUUGUAGGAUUCCUAGUGGACGAGGUGAUAAAUCCAUAAGGAGAAUAUCAUUCCAACGGACGAGCAUUAGACACACUGAGCAACACCUAGAUGGGAGGAUCCUAGGAAUGACCUCGACAGAUUUUGGUAUAAAUAGUAAUUGUGUAAAUACUAGUUUGAUUUGUAUAGGAAUAUACUAAGAAUUGUAUAUAUAGUAAUUGUACAAAUACUAGUUUGAUUUGUAUGAAUACUAGAUUGAUUUUAUUAUAAAAAAGUUUUAAGUCGUACGUGCAUGCGCCUACAAAGGCGCGGAUGCCUUUUAAUCCCAGUCGGAAAAACAAACUGGUACUAAAGGGGCUCGUGCCGCACCUGGCAUGACCACCCCUUUAGUCCCGGUUGAACGACCCAGGACUAAAGAUCUCCGCGUCUCAAAAAUUUUAUCUCGGAUGCUUUUUAGAGAGAUUUGAGGCCUAUCAACCAAGACUAAUAUCGAGUUUUCUACCAGUGAAACUAACUAACGUUCACAUGGUUUUGACAUUCACCUGCCAUUUGGUGUAGACAAGGGCACCCUAACAUAUGGUUAAUAUUAUUCUUGAAAGAAAAUCCUUUGAUUCAAAAUACUUCAAACCUAAUAAUACAAUACUUCUCACAUCUGAAAAAUAUGAGACGGCCCGACAGUAUUCUAAUCGACGCAAUAAUAUUUUGAGGGCAGCACUACUACAGCGACCCUCAUUCGUGCCGGUGCUGGGACUCCUAUCACGACCCUGAUACAAAUGAGGGUACAUUAUUGGUGCCAGUGCUAGAACAGCCACGAAUAACUUGCUAAACGUGCUGUUACACUCACUACAGGGACCAAGAAGGUAGAUAAAUUACACGACAUAGCCUUGGUUGCCGUGGAAGCGCCAAGAAGGGAGACAAAUUACAGGGACCACACCAUCAAGUAGAUAGUGACAAUAUGCAAAAGAAUACCCGCGCCUGUUAGCAUGUGAACUGACCACACCACGAAACGUGAUACACGGCAAGCGUACCAAGGCCUUGCUGUGCAGACUAUGCAUGGACAACACAUGGUACCUGACCGCUUUUGGCCUCAGACACAUCGAAAAACUGCAUCGUUCCACGUUGUACAUCCAUUGCUAGUUUAUCUAUAUUACAUAAUAUAUUAUUAGCUAUUUGAAUAGAAUGAACCAAUUAAAAAAUUGCGUUGUAUUUUUAGUACCGGCUGCAGGAUGGUGUUACCAACCAGUACUAAUUGGCCUGUAGGAGUGAUGGUUAUUAGACUUGGUACUGUUGUUAGCAUCAUUAACCUAAUUGUGCGCCGUAUGAAUUUGGGGAUGCAAAGCUAGCUCUCUAUGAAUGUGAGGGAUGGAAAGCUAGUUCUCUAGUAGUAAUUAUAUAUAUGACAGUCAAGAAAUCGAACACUAUGCUGCUACGAGUCACCAUCAUUUCCUUCAUUGACAAUCUGACAUAGGUGAAGCUGCUUCAAUAAUUUCCUUCGCGCAGUCGUGGAGCUUAUUGGAUUAUCACCAGGACGGGACACGGAAAUGGCCAGCAAUGAAGCUGAUUGCCGUCUGAGGAAGACUACAUACUUACCUAUGAAAUGAAGCGAUUGCAUAGACUAAUGAAGCAUUGCAUAUUUGCAUGUGAGUGUGGCAGAUAAUUCUGCAGGACAUGAUUGCAAUCCACGCACCAUCGAGAAGACUGGGGCGAUGGGGUUGCCUCAUCAAUAAUCACGUGGAUGCAUGCAUGCAUGUUCCCGCAACCGGACAAGGGUCUGAUAUAUGGCUAUAGUAUUACUGAGCCCACAUCAAUAAUUUCCACUGGUGUAUCGUGUGGGAAGAAUCAACAUACUACACCUCGAGUUCUUGGAACUAACUGACGUUCACAUGCAACCUCCACAAGGUGCUGUAUGCUUUUGACAUUCACCUGCCAGUUCGUGUAGAGAAGGACACCCUAACGUAUAGUUAAUAUUAUCCAUUUCAUGAGUAAAAUACUGUGAUUCAAAAAUACUUCAAAUCCCUUGAGACAAUACUUCUCACUUGACUAACCACUAACCAACCCCGAAACCCUAACUCAACUCCGAACCCUAACCCCUAACGGCAUAACCACUCCGUUUUGCCGGCGAGAUGGAGGAACUGGCUGGAAGGUAGAGAGGGCAGCGGUCCAGGGUUGAAAACGACGGGCGAGCGCAGUAACAUGUGGAGGAGGAAGUGCCACGUAUUCGUUCACCGCUAUUGGGCAGCGACACACGACACGCCCAAUAAGAUCUUCGCACGGUAGAAGGACGUCAUGUAUUCAAUAAUGUUAUUGGUCCCCCAUGUGCAGAAGGGCGCGCGCGUAUGGAAUAACAAGUAGGGACACUGCAACUAAUCUACUCUGCUCGUCCAGUCCCUAGCCUAUAAAUAGAUGCCAUGCUAGCUCUUGUUGUGCUCACAAUUAAUCCGAUUACACACGAGCUUCUCUCCCUGGCCAAGACACAACCAUAGUAUGAUGAAGAACAUGGCACUAGCCGGCAAUGGUAUGAAGAAGUUAAUCCUCGCUGUUCUCUUACUGUGUCUAGUUAUAGGGCAGAUACAAGUGGAAGCUAAGAGCUGCUGCCCAUCCACCACUGCAAGAAAUGUCUACAAUACCUGCCGUUUCACGGGUACAUCCCGUCCAACGUGUGCAAAACUGUCAGGCUGCAAAAUUAUCAGCGGGAACAAAUGCAAGCCCCCUAACGACCACCUCACCCUUGACCCGGACACUGGUAAAUAAUAAAUUUAUCUCACUUGAUUUCUUCGUGAUUUGAGUCGUUAAUGUAUUUUCCAUCUGAUGAAACGUAUUGGUUUUGCAUUGAAGAGGAAGUUAAUGUGCUUAACUUCUGCAAGUUGGGGUGUGCGUCGUCUGUGUGCAACAACAUCAACGCUGGUAAGCAACUUUUGCUCAGACAGAGAAAACAAUAAUCAUUAAUUAGCGGCAGCUAGAAUCCUAUAAUCUAAUAUAUAUAUAUAUAUAUAAUUUUAUCAGCUCUGGGAAAUGAAGAGGCGAACGAUGCCGUUGAGAGUUGCGACCAAGCCUGCUCUAGCUUCUGCAGCGUGCAUGUUGGCAGCGCCACCGUGGUUGCUUAAGCAAAUGCAUCCAACUAGAUCGUCCUUGUGCUGAAUAAUUGGAUAUCGUAUCCACUUAAAGCUGCCUUGUGUAGUACGUCUUUGUGUCUCUCUUUAUAUUCCAAUAAGGUCGGUGAUCUUGAUGCCACACACUCAGAUGUGUGUUCAUCUCCAGAUACUACUCCAUGCUACCUGCCCUUUGUGUUUUGUUCAAUAACUGGGUAUCAUAUCCCAGCCAGUAUGCCGUCUGUUUUGUGUUUGUUUCCUUCUAGUUCCAAAGGGGUCAUCAUGAUGUUACCUUCUUUCAAUAUGGUGCUUUGCAUGACUACUGUUGUAUGGUACCAUCUUGUGGCCAAUAAGUACAUCUUAUCCUAUGACCUUUGCUAUGACCCUUUGCAAAUAAGUAGAAGAUUGUUAUAAGCGUCAAUACUCCGUAUAAAUUGAUCGCUGCUGUGAGUUCCCUUUCAGCUUAUCGUAGGCAUACAUUAUUGCUAGCACGGUAAAGCCAACCAACACGAAUGAUGAAGUAAACGUAGCGGUACUUCUGUAUACCAACACCCUUACUUAAAUGUACCGGUGUCAUUCCCUACUGGCACAUAUAUUCUUAUAUGCUAGCCAGCUUGUAAAAUUAACCAAUUAAAAUAAUUAUUUCAAGAUAGAAAUAACUUAUCGGUUUCUGGAAGCAUGUGUAAUGUGAAUUCAAGGACUCGACGGAAGUUGAAUCACUUCAUCUAUAUUGCUUUCAGUAUUUUGGGUAACUAAAUUUAACAUUUGCACAUACAAAUGUUAAAGUACAAAUGUUAAAUCUAGUUACCCAAGCAGAAUAUGAAGAUAGUUUAUAGUAUAUAUAUACUAUAUAAAUCUAGUUAACAUUUAGUCUAAAUGUUAAAUCUAGUUACCUAAAAUCCUGAAAGCAAAAUGUAUAAAUAUAUAUCUUUUAAGGCAGUAUAAGCUUCGAUUCCUAUUGCUGCUCUGUUAAAUCUCAUCUUUCGUUGUGGCCCAACACUCUAGUAUGCAUGUUGCACCAAGCUUCUUUGAGCCGCUCUGCCCUCUGAUUUUGCUGCGUAGGGGAAUCUUUAUCAGGUUGGGCUACUUCCAGUUGUGCGAUGUAAAGAUUCGUAUUUUCUAGAAGGUAGACAAAAAACUCGCGUUCUCUUAAGGCAACAACCGGAAGAUUCUGCAGCGCACAGGGCAUACCAUUAUUGUAGAAACGACCUUUAGUACCGAUCUCCAACCCCCUUUAAAACUGGUUUUGCAACCGGUACCGUUAUGUCGGUCCUUUAGUACCAGAUCAAAUAAGUACCGGUUGGUAACCAGUAUCAACUUGUUUUGCGGCCAAAAAAAUAAAGAAAAAAACAGUCAGAAGGCUCGCACACACGCGCAUCACAUGAAAUAUGCGUGUGCGGGGUCCAUGGGAUUCGAACCCAUGAAAUCAAGCUGCACGCGACCCUUCGUUACCAUCUCACCUACAUAGCGCAUAUGCUUUCCUGAAGUAACCCGUGGAGGAGGCUUUAGUACCGGGUCAUAACACCACCCGGUACUAAAAAUGACUCUUCAGUACCGGGUCAUAACACCACCUGAUACUAGUAUCGGAUGGUGUAAUGACCCGAUACUAAAAGGCCUCUAGGGACCCUCAAAUUUGAACCCGGUACUAAUGCUAAUAUUAGUAGCGGGUCAAAGUGCAGCCAGAACUAAAGCAUGGGAUGAAAGGUCAUAUUUCUAGUAGUGUAUAGUUGUUGUGAAGGACUGACUUGGCUGUCCUCUCUCUUCUCCAUCCCCUUGGUCUUACGCCGCCGCUCGCACGCGAGCCGGUGCCCAACCAGAGGAGUGAGAGCUAGGGGCAGGUUGGGAGGUGGGGAUAGUGACUGGUGGCCAGGGUGAUGGUUGAUCCUGGUGGGGUUAGGGUUUCAGGGUUUUCGAGCUUCCUAUGGUCGGCGAACCUAGAGGAGAAGCUCAACAUCAGCUGCAACCCGCGAUGGUGGUGGUUUGGCCGGCGCCCGAGGCGAGGCAGCGCGGGAGUGCUGCCGGUGGGUUGGUGUUGGCACUCAUUAUUGACAACUAUUUUGUUCAUAAAAUAACACUCAAACUUGCUGCUGCUGCUGCUGCCAUCGCCACCCUAGCCAUAAUAUAAAGGCAAAAUUUGCUAAAGGACAUGCAAAAUGAUGCUAGUUUGCUGGCGGGCAUCGUUGACCUUGUAAUAUGCUACAAGACACUCUAGUUGUGUAUCAAUUUGCUGAAAGACAUUGCUAUGACUAAAAUAAUGUUUCUGGACUGAGUUGGAGAGAGAGAUGGAGUGAAAUGUCUGUUUUGCCCAUGACCCCACUGGUCAGAUCCUUCUUCUUCCACCCUCCUUUGUUCUUUCUUCAACCAUUACCCAGCUCCAGCGUGUUGCAGAUCUACGAGGGUGGCGGCCUGGGGCGAGGGGCAUCGCUCGCCCUUGGAGGAGCGCUGCGAGCGACGGCGCGGGGGCGGCAACAGCGCGUCAGAACCUGACUGUUCGUUAGCUCCUCUCGCUGCUGGGGAAGAAGGAGGGGGAUGGGCCAUGGACGGGGUUCCCUUGAAAACCUCAGCGUCGAGCUCGGGCGGCUACGCGCAGGCAGCACUAGGCUGCUUCACGGGGAGGGGGCGCGGCCAAUCAUUGGCACCCCACUGGUCCAAUGCUGAUGAAGAUGGUGCCAGCGUCGUGUGAGGACAUCUCAUCUCCUCGAGUUCCAUGGCCAGCACAGGUGAGCUGCCGCUACCACAAAACAGAGGUUUCGUGAGAGUCAAAAAACCUUAUGAAAAUAGCUAAAACCAUCAUGAAAAUAAUCCGUGACAUGACACUCUCACGAAAAUCCUCUCACAAAUAUGGUGCCAUGAAAAUACCAUUUUCAUGAGAGUGAACUGUCAUGAUUUUAUAAGCGUCAAUACUCGGUAUAAAUUGACUACUGCUGUGAGUUCCCUUUCAGCUUAUCGUAGGCAUACAUUAUUGCUAGCACGGUAAAGAGAACCAACACGAAUGAUGAAGUAAACGUAGCGGAACUUUUGUAUACCAACACCCUUACGUACCGGUGUCAUUCCCCACUGCCACAUAUAUUCUUAUAUGCUAACCAGCUUUGAAAAUUAAGCGAUUAAAAUAAUUAUUUCAAGAUAGAAAUAACUUAUCGGCUUCUCGAAGCUUGUGUAAUGUGAAUUCAAGGACUCGAUGGAAGUUGAAUCGCUUCAUCUAGAUUGCUUUCAGGAUUUUGGGUAACUAAAUUUAACAUUUGCACACACAAAUGUUAAUGUACAAAUGUUAAAUCUAGUUACCCAAGCAGAAUAUGAAGAUACUCUAUAGUAUAUAUGUACUAUAUAAAUCUAGUAAACAUUUAGUCUAAAUGUUAAAUCUAGUUACCUAAAAUCCUAAAAGCAAAAUGUAUAAAUAUAUAUCUUUUAAGGCAGUAUAAGCUUCAAUUCUCUGUUAAAUCUCAUCUUUCGUUGUGGCCCAACACUCUAGUAUGCAUGUUGCACCAAGCUUCUUUGAGCCGCUCUGCCCUCUGAUUUUGCUGCGUAGGGGAAUCUUUAUCAGGUUGGGCUACUUCCAGUUGUGCGAUGUAAAGCUUCGUAUCUUUUAGAAGGUAGACAAAAUACCCGCGUUCUGGAAGAUUCUGCAACGUGCACGUUGGCGCUGCCACCGUGGUUGCUUAAGCAAAUGCAUCCAACUGAAUCGUCCUUAAGCUGAAUAAUUGGAUAUGGUAUCCACUGCUUAAAGCUGCCAUGUUUAGUACGUCUUUGUUUUUCUCUCUUUAUAUUCCAAUAAGGUCGGUGAUCUUGAUGCCACACACUCAGAUGUGUGUUUAUCUCCAGAUACUACUCCAUGCUACCUACCCUUUGUGUUUUGUUCAAUAACUGGGUAUCAUAUCCUAGCCAGUGUGCCAUCUGUUUUGUGUUUGUUUCCUUCUAGUUCCAAAGGGGUCAUCAUGAUGUUACCUUCUUUUGAGGUGUCUAUGAUGACUUCGUUAAUAUCAAUAUUAACCAAUUCAAUCUGUCUUAACUAUUUGUAAGGGGUAUGAUGUAUGCAUGAUUAUAACAAUGAUUGCGCAUACAAUCGCCGCCAAAGAAACGGUCAAUACCAUUAAGACAUAUUACAGACAAUUCUCAUAAUCUAUAAUGAAUAUACAUAUUCACUACUGCAGAAGACUGUCAUUUGUAUCGGCUCAUACGUGCCAGGGCAAAGGUCACCCUUGCAUUAAGUACAUUUGCACGGUAAAGACAACCAACACGAAUAAUGAAGUAAACAUGCCGGUGCUUUUGUACACCAACACGCUUACUUAAAUGUACUGGUGUCAUUCCUCACCGGUAGCCGGCUUGAAAAUUAACCAAUUAGAACAAUUAUUUAUUGUAUCGGUGUGAUUUUUGACCUAUUGGAAUAUGAAUUUGACCGUUACUGCAUUCGUCAAGACUCAAGAGAGAAAUAACUGAUCGGCUUCUUAGAGCGUGUGCAAUGUGAAAUCAAGGACUGGAUGGAAGUUGAAGCGCUAGCACUAGUAGAGAAACGACUUUCCAUCCACCCCCUUUUGUCCCGGUUUAAAGUUGGCUCGGGAUAAAAGGUUCACCAACCGGGACUAAAACUCAGUCACUGGUGGGAGGCUCACCAACCGGAACCUUUUAUCCCGGUUGCAAAGGCUAAUGGGAAAAAAAGACUCUGAGAGGCCUUUUAUCCCGGUUUGAAACACCAACCGGGAUAAAAGACCCCCCUUUUAUCCCGGUUGGUAACACCAACCGAGAUAAAAGGGUCAAGAGCCUUUUAUCCCGGUUGGAAACACCAACCGGGAUAAAAGACCCCCUUUUAUCCCGGUUGGUGUUUCAAACCGGGAUAAAAGGGCCCCCACGAGGUGACUGGAAGGUGACUGGAAGGGGAUUAAAUCGUGGGGGACCCUUUUAUCCCGGUUGGAAACACCAACCGGGAUAAAAGGGGGUCUUUUAUCCCGGUUGGUGUUUCCAACCGGGAUAAAAGGGUCCCCCACGAGUUAAUACAAAAGGAUAGUAUCCCCUACAUAGUCAGAUGUGGUGUGUAGGUGGGAUGGUAAGGAAGCUACGCGCGAGCUCCGGAAUUUUUUUUUUUUUUUUUUGCAGCGUCGGCGCUCUCUACCCUUUUAUCCCGGUUGGUAUUACCAACCGGGAUAAAAGGGGGUCUUUUGUCCCGGUUGAGUGACCCGGGAUAAAAGACCCCCCCUUUUUUCCCCGGUUAGUUUAUCCCGGAUGCAUUUUCGGGAUAAAAGCACCCUACCAACCGGGAUUAAAGCUCACUUCUCUACCAGUGUAGCUUCAUCUUCCGCUGCAAGUUAAUUGCUUGGAUAAGAAGUUGUAGCCGCUGCAAGUUAUAAAUAGUCCCGCUGAUGCUGUGCUCCGAAGUCUAUACUAUAUAUGCGGAAACUAGAUUGCUUUCAGGAUUUUGGGUAACUAAAUUUAACAUUUGUACAUAAAAAUGUUAGUUUACGAAUGUUAAAUCUAGUUACCCAAGCAGAACAAGAAGAUAGUAUAUAGUAUAUACUAUAUAAAUCAAGUUAACAAUUAGUCUAAAUGUUAUAUCUACUUACCCAAAAUAUUGAAAGCAAAGAAAGAAUAAGUAUAUAUCUUUUGUUGGAAAAUUGGUCCACGGAGAGGCCCAUUUAGGCCUCGUUCGUUUCACCGGGAUGGGAUUCCAGUCAGGAUUACUUCCAAGUUCGGUUUGAGUGAUUCCACCCGUGUCACUCAAUCCGGCUAGGAUUCAUUCUAUGGGUGAGGAGGUAUGGUUUCAAUCCAGGCCAUCUAAUGUAGAAGGAUUCCAAUCCAGGCCGGUUUUCGUUCCAGGCCAGACUAAAACGAACAACACUUUCAAUGCAAGUCUGGUUUCAAACCGGGCCAUUUCAAACCACCCGGAAUGGACCUCGUUCCAGGCCAAUCCGGUGAAAACAAAUGAGGCCUUAAUGGAAUCCCAAAGCAAGAGUUCAGUGGCAUUCUAUAGUCCCAUGCUGCUAGUUUGAGUUGGUCGAAGCCAACUUAAAUAGGAGAGCUCUCUCACUUCUCUAAAUACGUAACUGAAGGAGAGAAGGGGGCUUGGGUUACACAACGCACGCACGCACGCAUAUUUGCGUUCUUUUCGCGUAACCAACCGCGUGACUUGAAACUUGCGACGUAGCGUGCUGCUAAGUCAAGUUGAUAUAACCUUUUUGCCGUUUGCAUGUAAUCUUUUGACAACGGUCAUUGGAGGUGAUAAGCACGCAGUCAAUACCUUAAUCUUGAGUUAAUAGGGUGGUUACUACUGCCAAUUAGUGGGGCAAUUUUGUAGGGGAAACGGUUAGCAGAGGGCUACCGUCUUCUCUAUAAGAAGUUCUGGAGACGUCCAGGAACACACAUGUACAUGUGAGAGACCCACAAAUUCCUUCCCUUCUCCCUUUUCCAUGUGGUGAAGUGUGCUGUGGUACUGAGCUGCUUGAUCUCGCCGCUCUUCUCCUUGGCAUGCACCGAGGAGGAGGGUGAGCGGUAUCUCCGAGCUAUUGCCGUCAGGAAGCCUGCACGAGGGACAACAAAAAGUUUUUGGGUAGCGCAACUGCCAGCACAACUCUCCCUCCGCCUCUUCUUCACGGUUGAUGGCCACCACAAGCAUAAACCUCGCCUUCGCAUCCACGCAAAAGGGUCGCUGGGGUGCCUUCUUGCAUCGCUUCUCAGCCUCCUUGACUUGCGGCCAGCCAAGAACUGCGCCACCACCUCGGGUGCACGCCACCACUCCAGGGCUGCUACCCCAUGCCUGCGGCCGCCGCCGGCCACCACGCGUGUGCAACCGCGUCGCACCGCUUCCUUGCUUUGUGCCACCACUGCUGCUGUACCACCAGCUCCACCACCUUGGGCUGGUCGCCAGAGUGACUGAUAACUUAUUAUCUGUAACUACUAUUAACUCAGGGAUACAUGCGUCUUUUGCUUCUCCUACUAAUAUGUCCUAAAAUAUCUAGGAUGCCUUAUAUUUCUGGACAGAGGAAGUAUUUGAAUAAAAUGAACCAAUUUAAAAAAAUGUGUUGUACACUACUACAGAAAGACCUAUCAGUGUCAAACCCAAAAAUGUUGUCACCGCCAGUUUUGGGCAUCAUUGGUGAAAGGUUGGCGGUGAUGGGCUUUCCCUUCAACAACGGCACUGGAGCCGACGGUGAUUGACAUUAGAAAACAAAAAAGGGGACCCUACCUAGCCACCCCUGCAACCCGGCCGGCCGUGCCUCCCCUCAUCCCCACCACCUCGCCUCCCCAUGACCCCCCGCCGGCGCCCUUGCGCCUAGCCCCCUCAACUGCCCAGCCGGCCACCCUCAUCACGAGAGAGAGGUGCAUGUUGUAUAAUUGCGUGAAUUUUUUAAUGUUUAAUUUCAUGUAAGUUCCGUGUAAUAAAUUGUACAAGUUUUAUUGUAUAUAUGAAUUCCAUAUAUAUAUAUAUAUAUUUAUAAUUUAAUGUAUGGUUUCAUGUGUAUAUUUCAAUCAUGUGUAUAUUUAGUAGAUUGCCGAUUUUCUUUUUCUACUAGACAAGGGUUGAUGUAUAAUUACGUGUAUAUGUUUAUUGUACGGGCAAUUAGGACAAGUUUUGUAUAAAUUUCUUUUAUUUGAUGGUUGUUGUAUGGUUUCAUGUAUAUACAUUUAUUGUACUACUUUAGACAAUUUUUAAUUUAAUGUUUCUAUGAUUAGAUGUGUGUAUAACUAAUUGUAUUAUUAGUUAAGAUGGGAGCUAAAGAGGAUGAAAGGUAUAUAAUGGAGCAGAUUAUUGCUAGCUCAAACGUUGCAAGAACCUACACCGAGGGUGAGGGUAGCUAGGUGGACAUGUACCUCAACAUGUCCAGUGAUGGCAAUGACGAUGAGGAGCACGAGCAUGACAUCUAUGAUAAUGCGGAACAAGACAUUGCAGAAUUGGAAGGUUCUAAUGAGGUGUGCUUCAUGUUGACAAUCUAGUUGGCUUUUUUUCGUUGGUCACACCUUAGUUACCAUAGAACUUCGUCUCGGGAGAAGAUUGGUGGUGGUAUGGUGAUUGGAAUUUUAUUUCCACGAAAUCUGAUUUCCAUCGAAUCAUAUCCCUUGUAUUUAUCUUCUUUUUAUUUGUGAGAGCAUCUUCUUUAUGCUUGCAAAACAAUUCAAGUGCACAUACUACCCCUAGGGUGACGAUUGGGAGUAGAAAUAAUUGCCAACAAAACAACACCACAUCCUAAGAUUCUUAACUUGUGGCAUAAUUAGUCUAGUAAAAAGAAAGAUAAAAACCUAAUGGGUGUAUGUGAGUGCAAUGUGUAUAUGCAUAUGAGUGGAAGGCAUAUAAGCAAAGACAAUAUUUACACAUAGUUCUAAACACCAUGUUUACAGCUAGGUUGCUGAAUUUCUCCAUAGCCAUAGAGAUUAAUUAACCAAGGUCAAAACACGAUGUCUAUCCCAAGAUCAGUAAUUAUUUAUAGCACAAGAAAAAGAAAGCGCAUUGCAAAGUUUAUAAACCAACCAAUACAGCAUGAAAACAAGAUGAAUAGCUAGCAAGGUUUAUUAAACUGAAUGAUGACGGUCUGUAAGCAAGUUUAAACACCAUCUUUACACAAGAUUGCAAAUGGAAAAUGCCCAUAUGAAGCACUAACAUGGAUAUGAAAUCAUUCAUCAUAAAGCGUAAAGAACAACCAAGCCAACCAUAUGCAAAGCAUGAAUGGAAUGCAAUGAAGGUGCAAGAGAACAUUUUUGGAUGAACACAUUAUGAUGAUGGCAAAAUGCAAUGCAUGCAGAAAAAAUAAAUAUGAACAUGAAUAUGAUGAUCAGGGGCGGACCCACUAUUGUGGCCUGGGUAUUCCUCGGCAUACCCAAUAUUUUUGGGAAAAUGUUUAGUAGUUUUUAAUGGCAUAUACAUGUAUAAUAUAGUUUAGGUGUUAAAAUUGAUAUUCACAGCUAUUUUGGGCUCCAAUUCGCGUCCAAACCAACCUGGCCCACAGACCGCACCCGGCCGCCCGGCCCAUCGGCCCAUCUUGUCACUGAUCCUCCCACCACCACACUCAGCCCGUCAGUUAGUCAGGUCCCGAGCUCCUGCCUGACCUAGUCCGCUACCACCGCCAGGCGCCAGGCACAGCUGUACACGCCGCCCCCGUCCACCCACGUCCGCCGCACGGCCGCGUCGCGCCCCCCCCCGGCGCCCGCUGCUGCCAGAACCCAUUAGGCCUCCACCGGCAAGUCCACCCACAGUCCCGCGCGACGCGGCAGCCUCUUGGCUCUCGGCGCUCGCGGCGCGCCAAUGCCUGCGCAGCCCCAGCAGGCGACUGCCCCCCCCCCCCCCGCAUCGGGCCUCGGCCCCUCCCCAGCUCCCCCUCCCCCCUCCACCAGGACUGCCUGCUGGCCCCCACCGCGAGGUAAUCGAAAUGGACUGCUCAAUCUCUCAAUCUGUUGACAUGAUGCACACGGUUGCAAAAAUAGAUGUGUCAAAAUAGAUGUAUUGCCAAUUGCUAUAGAUGCAUAUGGUUGACAUGAAGAAGUCAAAAAUGACAUUUGGUUCCUUGUAGGCAGUCAAAAAUGAAGAAGUCAAACAAUAUUGAUCUGAAAUCAAUGCGGGAAAGGGCUACGAAGACACACGGGUAGAUUCCCUUGUGAACUUUUUAUGUCGUUCGUCUAAAUAUAUUUUUGCAAUGGGCAUACCCUACUCUGAAAUCCUGGGUCCGCCACUGAUGAUGAUGGUCUAAACAUAAAACAAGCCUAGAUUAAUUAGCUACAACUGAAAUUAAGCAAAGGUUAAUGUCAUUGACCCUAGCUCUAUCCUAGCUUUUACUAAAGUCCCGGCACAUAUAGUGGUUGGGCCCACUCUCUCUACUUCCCUCUCUGCUGCAUGCACACACACGAGCAACUGGAGGCCCAACAAAGCCCAGAAGGGUUCGGCCGAACCCGUCCGAUCCAGUCUGAGCGCCGCUCCCUCCCAGCCUUCGCGCAGAUGCUCCUCCAACGUUCCUUGACCCCUCCCUCAGUGUCCCAUUGGGUUUAACAUUGUAGGAGAGGAGUCCCUUUUUUAAAAUCUCAACCACCUCCUCUCCUCAUUCACUCCACUCUCAUCUCCAUCAAACUCACCAAGAUCCACAUCGGAAAUACCUGCUUACCACCAUGGCUGGCAAAGCCCUCGUCCCUUUCACCAACUUGGGCUUGACCAUUGAUCUCGAUGGGAAAAUCACUCCAGCAAAUGUCAUUGUCCCUGUCGGCGAUCUGGCGAUGGAGGAGGUCCAGGCACUAGAGGUCGAGCCCCUAGCCAUCAUACCGCCCAAGGGGUAAAGCAGGAGCAUGACAGGCGCUGCUAGGGGUUCAGCCGAACUCCCAGUUCAGCCAAACGAGGACGGCGUCGCCUCGGCCUCCCGCUCGACUGCAUGCUUCCCCUUGCCAAGGAGGACUCCAGAACAGCGGGCGCGUGCGUCAAGUCCCUACAAAAGGCUGAAAUACAAUGAAUAUCCAGGGUCACCCUUGAAGAUGGGUGAACGCUACGCCGGGUCCUUGUUUGACUAGUACGGCGAUGCAUUCUGCCACCGCUAUGUCGUUGUCGAGAUUAGCGGAUCAAGACUUAGACUAGUAAAUUUCUUUUAUGCGCGUAAGGCUUCAGAUGGUGGCGUGGGAGACAUGGGUUUUAUACUAGUUCGGGCAAUGGAAUACCCUACGUCCAGUGUCUGGAGCUGCUUGUGUUGCCCACGCGGGGUUCUGUAGUAGGGGUUACAGGUGUGCGAGAGAGGGAGCUAAUCCCAGGUCUCUUAGGCGUGUUCCGGUCCUCUAGAUGGGAGAAGUGUGUUCUGUUUGCUUGGGAGUAUCGGUUGUGUCUGAGUUGUCUCCGGAGCCUCCUCCCGUCUCAGGUCCCCGAUUCUCCUUUCAUAGCACAAGGAGACCAUCGGGGUUACAGACGAGACCGAGCGUGGGGAGGAGUAAAGAGAUAAACAUAGCUAGGUAAAAAUACAACAAGAAAGGGGGGAACCAAGUUUCUAGGUCACCGGCGUCCUCGCCGGCCUUCGACUUCCGCCGGCGCAUUUGUCGGAGGAGGGUGGCCGCCAUCGCGUUCUGUCGAUGGCUUCCUCGGUGACUGUAGCCACCGGGCGUGAUGAUGGCAUUUCGUCGUGACCCUUUGUCUGUUGGGGGAGGCGGCGGAUCCUGCCAUUCUGCUGACGGCUCGCGGAGUGCGAACGUCGCAUCCCUGCCGCUGGGCACGCGGGGCGCGAGAACGUGCGAGGCUUCCCCCUACCCCAGGCGGCGCAGGCCAUGAGUGCCCUGUGGCAAAUCGGAGGAGGCCGCAGCUACUGUAGCUUGUACUGUGCAGCCACGUAUGGGUACUUGUGGCAGGUUGCGUGGUGGAUGCGGAUAUCCUUCUCCCUGACAGAUCUGCGGCGCAUUUAUGGCGAGAUCGACAUGGGGACCCACAAGACCCGCGCCCAAGGCGGAUACUUGUCUGGAGGGCCCGGGUUAGCCUGACCCCCUACGCUUGGGGUCGGGCGAGGCGGAGACUUGCGGCGGGGCGUCGGACGCUCCCGACACUAGACCUGCGGUCGCGCAAGGCGGAGCUUGGUCUUCCGGGGGUCGGGGGUGCCGGACCCCAGGAUGCGGGGUCGGGCGAGGUGGAGCGUAAUUCUUGCCUCCCAUGUUGGGCCGAUGGCAGUCUUUGUUACCUCUAGUGGGCUUGGGCCUUUAUGUUUUGUUGUUUCCAUGGGCUUCGAGAGGUCGUUAAUAUUUCCCCCCAACAGUAGCCCCCGAGCCUGUGGUGGAGUGGGGGCGCUCCUCCGGAGGCUACUAUCAUCGCCCCUAGGGAAUCCUCGCAGUUGAUCCGGGAUAGGAGGUGUUGUUUGCACGGCUUGACCGAGGGGGUCGAUUAGGCGACGCAUCCUGUGAGCGACUCGGUGCGGGAGGGUUUCUUGUUGUUCCCUUCUGUCUGAGAGCCUUAAGUCGAGACCACCUGCGUGGCCUUUGGUUGCAAGGCCAGCCCCCGAGCCCCCGCACGUUGCAGGGGACCGGUCGGAGGCUAGGUCGACUUUUGUUCAUUACCCUCAAGCGUCUGUUCGCUAGGACGGAGGGGGCGAGCCGUGCCAUGCUAUCCUCAUCGGACGAACCAUGGUGCUCAUUGAGUUACUAACGGGUUGAUUCGAGUGGGAUCCCGGUCCCCGUUCGGGGGGGGUCCGGCUUGGGCCAAGCUGGUGGCGUACCCCAGGCUCCGGUCGGCCAGUUCAUAUAGUUCCUGAGUCCGUUCGGUCGGACCGGGGGCUCAUUGCCUUUCUUCGGGGAAAAACCAUGAACUUUGAUGCCGGUCCAGACUCGAAUGUGAGAUUGAGACGCCCGGGGCUGUCGCGUGCCCGGGUGAUGGCCGCUAGCGGACCCGUCUCCUCUCACCCCUCACUCGGGGGUAUCCUGAGGCGGCUGUCGAACCCGUGGCGGGCCAGCCUUCGAACCUCUGGAUCGUAAUGGGCCGUAGGGGCGUUUUCAGCCCCGUAUCCCUUUUUACCUUUUGGUGGGCCUUGGGCCGAAUCAUGGAGGAGGUCGGGCCUUGGGCCGGAUGCGGAGGAUGUCGUGCCUUGGGCCGGAUGUGGGGGACGUCGUGCGUGUCUUCCGGGAGACGAAGUGGUGGAGGGUGCCAACCCGCGAAUCGAGGGAGGAGGGGAUGUUUCUACUGCAGGUCAUGCGCACGGUUUCCGAAAAGGCAGCGGGCGUGACGGGACGUACCUCGCGCCGCAUUUAUUGCGAUGGGGGCGUCUGUUCUGCUUCCCUCGUGCCUUCCCUAUAAAACGAGGACUUCGCCUCGCCGGUUCCGCCCGCCAUCUACCUUCAAGCCUUUUCGCCUCCUCGCGCGCCCUUAGCUUUCCUGUGCCCGCUUCGUCUUCCUCCGCCCAGUGCCGCGCCCUUUCUCCCCAUCCGCCGUCGAGUUCUUCUCCCUCCGGCGAUGGGAUCCUGGGCGCGUUCCCACUUCGGCCCCUCACGCGCCGAAGGCCUAGUGAGGAAAGGCCUCCUUUGCGAGAGGACGGAGACGGAUGAGUGGGGGUUCCCUGAGAUGGAAGAGGUGCCGACUCCGCCCACCGGCUACGUCGUUUCCUUUGCCCACUUCCACGAGAGGGGGUUUGCGACUCCGCCGAGCCUCUUCUUCCGCGGGCUUUUGUAUUACUACGGGCUUGAGCUGCAGCACCUCAACCCCAACGGGAUUCAGCACGUCGCGGCGUUCGUUGCGGUGUGCGAGGGGUUCCUGGGCAUUGAGCCCAACUUCUCGCUGUGGAAGUACUUCUUCACGGUCAGCCUAUACCAGAAGGCCGAGAAGAGGGGAAGCCAGCAGCGGUCGACCCCGGUGCCGAUAGGGUGCGUCGGAAUCCACCUCUGCCAUACUCGCGCCAAGGAGUAUAUCGCGAUGAAGACCGCGGCAUCCCACAAGGGGUGGCACCAGCAAUGGUUCUACGUGAAGAACUACUCCAACCCCCCCUGCCGGAGUUCACCGGCCGCAUUAUUGAAGCGGCGCCGGAGGUGUGGGUGUACGGCCCGGUGGAGAAGGAGAAGAAGCGGAUCACCGGCCUGCUGCAGGCCAUCGAGCACCUGAAGGAGAGGGGACUGACCGGAGCCGGAGUCAUCGGGGCGUACCACGCCCGGCGGGUGGCGCCGCUGAUGCUCCGGGUCCGCUCGCUCGCCGACAUGACCCCCGGUGCUCUCACCGAUGGCACUGUCCUCGCGACGGGUGCUCUCGCUGCCUCCGAGAUCCGGCAGCGGAUCCGGGAGGCGCUGGAGGACAAGGACGCCGAUUACCCGGUGCCCGGCCACCCUCCGAUGCGCCCGGACGAGAAUUUCAUUGAUCUGGUAAGGAUUUUGCGCGCCAGUUUCCCUCUCUUGCGUUUCUUGGUAUGCCGUUCUGACGCGAGGCCCUCUGUGUUUGCAGGGUAGCAUGACCCGGGUCGUCGACUUGCGUCCGCCAGUGUCGGAGGACGCCGAGUGGCGGUAGCAGAACCGUCUCCUUGCCGAGAAGCAAAAGUGACGCAAGGACAAGAGACAGCGAAGAAGAAGAAGAGGGCCGCCAAGGAGUUCCAGCGGCGGCGGUGGGGAUAGGUCGUGUCGGAUGACGAUGACGAUGAGAAGGAGGAGGAGGAUGACGAGGAGGAGGAGGAGUUUAUCCUGUCCCCCCGGUCAGGGGCGCUUGUUAUCCGGGAGCCGCGCUCCCAAGCGGCCAUGGGGGACAAGGCGGGCGAGCUGCCUGCCCGGACCCGAUCCUGCGAAGCUUUGGGGGCGCGCCCCAGGGGUCGGCGCAGAGCGCCCCCCGGGGGUCGACGGAGCCGACCCCCAUCCCUACACCUGCAGCCCAGGAGCAGAGGAGCAGCGACAAGCGGCCGUUGCCAGAUGCCCCGGGGUCGGCGUCCAGCUCAGAGGCGAAGCGCGCGCGCCGCCCUUGCGCUGGGGGAACGUGAGUUGAAUUUCCUUGCGAAUCUCGUUCCUUUCCAUGCAUUGUGUUUGUUUCCGCUGAUGCUGUUUGUUGUCUCACAGCACCGCCCCUCAAGGCCUUGUCCCGCCGUUGGCGCCAAAGAAGGCGUUGCGGUGUUGUCGCCUCUGCGGGGCGGACCGCGGCUCCGCCGGCGGCGAGUGGCGGGGUCACUGGUGAGACCGCGGGUCCUACCGCGGAGGUGGCCCCUGCGGCGGCAACCGGUGGAGUGGUGCCACCGCCGGGCAUGGGACAGGGUCUGGACCCCGCUCCGUCCUCCGCCUCUUCGGCCGACCCCGCGGUGCAGAGUAUCGCUCCUGGGGGCCCUCAGGCCGGGGAGGUGAUUGACCUCGACGCCGACGAGGUGGAGGAGACGGCGGCGGUGGAGACGGGGGCGGUUGCCCCAGCGGCCAUGACGGGGACGACGACGGCGACGGGGGAAGGAGAGUCUACCCCCGCGGCCACGGCGGGGACAGUGGCGACAGAGGAGGCGGGGACGCCCGCCCCGGCGGCUGCGACGGAGGAGGCGGCGGUGACGGAGACGGGGGCUUCCGCCCGGGAAGCCACAGCCGAGGUGGCAGCGGCGACGGAGGUGAAAGUGCCUGUUCUGGAGGCCACGGUGGGGGUGGGGACGCCUGCCUCGUGGCCACGACGGAGGGCGAGGCGGCCCCAGGGACACUUGCUCCGGCACCCGCGUUGGAGGCGGUGGCGCCGACGGGUUGGCCCGUGGCGGCCUCGACGGGGGCGGGGGUGCGUGCGCCGGGACCGUCGGUGAGGCCGGCGACUUCCGGGAUGGUGGUGCCCGUCUUGACGGCGGCGGCGGCGCGGUCGGCCCCCGCCCUUGCCUCUACCACUCCCAUUCCCAAGGCGUGGAGCGGAUCCGUCCUGCGUUGGUCGUCUCGUGACGACCCGCAGAGGCCCCUCUUCACGUUGGAUGAUGCCACAGAAUGGGGCAAGUGGCAGGCGCUGCAGGGCGGACUCGCUAACGUCCGCGCCGCUCUAUCUUCGGCGUUGGGGGAGCUGGACGGCGUCAUCUUCCCCGGUGGCCGGGUAUGGUGCUUUCUCCGUUGGUUAUUUUCUUCCCGUUACUUCGUCCCUGAUGGCACAUUGUUCUGCAGGCCCUCCAAGAAUGUAGCCGGGGAAAAUCUGAUUUCCUUUGGCUCGAGCAGGGGCUCUGGGAGCGCUUCAACUUGGAGUUGCAGCGGACCGGGGAGCUGACCAUGCAAGUCGCCACCGUCUAGCAUGUCAUCGACGAUCUGCGAAGGCACGAGCAGGCGGCACAGGAGGACGCGCGGCGGGCGGAGGCCAAGUUCCAGGUCGUUGCCGAAAGGGCUCGCUGCGACCGCGAGGAGUUCCAGGCCGUUGCCGAAAAGGCCCGCCACGACGCUGAGGAGCUCGCACGGCUGAAGGUGCAGCAUGAAGCUCUUCAGAAGAGCGGCAGAGGGCCUGGCAGGACCGGGACGCCGAGAAGGUCCGGAAGGAGGAGGCUGAGAAGGUGGCGGCCAACCUUGGGGCUGAGGUCAGCCAGCUCCAAGUGCAAGCGCGAGAGCUUCAGGCCUCCGUGGCCCAGGGGCUCGACCAGGAGCGCCAGCUGAAGGCCUAAUCCGAGGGUAUGACUCUGUUUAUUUCUUUGUCUUUGUGAUGUUGCGGUGAUAUUUUAUUUGGCGGGUUCUUCUGGAUGAUCCUUGCAGAUGAGCUCAACUGGCUGAGGGAGGUGCUUGACGCGGAGCGCGCUGAGCACGGCGACCUGCGGGACGCGGUCCGCGUCAUCUGUGACUUCCUUAGUGUGGUCCAGGGGGAGGGGACGAGCUCGCUGGCGGCUCGUGUCCUCGGGACGUACCGCCGGACCAGCGAGAUCGCCCUGGAAGCGCUUCGCACCGGCUUGAGGCAAGCCUUUGGGGUCUUCGGCUCCCACUAUUCCGGCAUCAACUUCGCCGGGAUGAGCGGGGGAUACGCCACCGGCUACUACGAGGCCGAGCUGGAUGAGAUCGACGUGUCGGUGCUCAGCCCGGCGGAGGCCUUGGUGAAGCUCCUCGAGGAUGAGGCCGUCCCGCCCGAAGAUCCCCGGACGAGUUAACUAUAUCGGGCUGGCGCCCCAGAUGUAAAUACGUUAGGGAAAGACUUGUUUUUUGUGAGGGCCGUAGAGGCCUUUUCUAUGAAUUGUCGUAAAAAAGUUUUUGAUUCCCUUUCUUGCUUUUUGGACUUGGAAAGUUUAGAGCACGUUGUCGGGCGUGUCAGUAAGCUUUGAUGAGCGAAGGCACCGUAGCCGCUGGGGCGUCGUUUUUUUUGCAGUCCGAUCAAUCUUGCCUGAACACCGUUCGUGCACUUUCUCCUUUUUAUGCCCAAAAGUUCAGAAAGAGGGUCGGCUCGGAAAGAGAAAGCGUUUUGAGAGGGUGUCAAGUGGCUUAGGUACUUGCGGCAGGUUGCGUGGUGGACGCGGAUAUCCUUCUCCCUGACAGAUCUGCGGCGCAUUUAUGGUGAGAUCAACAUGGGGACCCACAAGACCCGCGCCCAAGGCGGAUACUUGUCUGGAGGGCCCGGGUUAGCCCGACCCCCUACGCUUGGGGUCAGGCGAGGCGGAGACUUGCGGCGGGGGGUUGGACGCUCCUGACCCUAGACCUGCGGUCGGGCGAGGCGGAGCUUGGUCUUCCAGGGGUCGGGGGCGCCUUACCCCGGGAUGCGGGGUCGGGCGAGGCGGAGCGUAAUUCUUGCCUCCCAUGUUGGGCCGACGGCAAUCUUUGUUACCUUGGGUGGGCCUGGGCCUUUAUGUUUUGUUGUUUCCAUGGGCUUCGAGAGGUCGUUAAUAUUUCCCCCCAACACUAUGAGGAGGACUUGUGGGCAGAAAGUCAGCUACCACAAACUUGCCUCUGAAUAUUUGGAGUGCAAACAUUGGAUGGUGGUUGUGGAGAGCCCCAGCCAUACCUCGCACCCGUGGAGAGGUAAUUGUCGGAUUGCUUGGUUCGUCUCUAGAAUGCGACAAGGUCAGGCGCCACCUCUCACUGCUGCCAGUCAGAAGGCCGAGGGGCCAGUUUCAACAUAGUAAUGAGAAUCUCCGAAGGCCAAUAUGGUUAAGCAGCUAACCUCCAUGAUCAUAGACUUACGUUUAGAAAAUAGGAGGCUUAGCGAUGCGUUAACAGAGCAGAAGUUAGAAACAGAAGAACUUAAGGACGACUUCCGUGUCCUCCGCCUUGGUCUUUGUGCUAAGAUAAAGCGCUUGUACAAUGCCACGGGGAAUGACGGUCUCUACGAUGCAGCUCAAUAGACGUGCCCCUUGUAUCCUUUCCUUUAGGCACUUUAGAAUAUGUUUAUUUGUUUUCCUUCAUUUUAAUUUCCAAUAGAUUGUUAGCGCCUCCAAUUUAAUUUCAAUAAAGUGUAGACUCACCGGUCAUCCAACUUGAUGGAGUCCUUUUGUCACCUAGUUGUCUUUGGAAGAAGUAGCUGGGUACAAAAUAAGUGUGGGGGAGAGCCACAGACUCUCUAGAGCUGAAACAAUGCACAACACCCACAAAUAGAGAAAACCACGCUGCACCAGCACGUACGUGAAAGUGGAGCCAGAGCUGGACCCAUAGGGGUUUGGCCAACCCAAGGGGUGGCCCACUCGGGCCAUCUUCAUCCACCGCGUCGGUUUGUGUCUCUUUACCCCUGAUCUCCCUGAUUCAUGAGUUUGAAUGAAUUUUAAAUCUGAUCAACUAAUUCAAACUCAACUAAAAUGAAUCAACUGCUCCACCUGCUCUACAUGUUUUCUAUGGUUGGCUUGCAUAUGUUUUAUUUCAUGCUUAUCAUCUUGAUGCUUGUGAACAAAUAUCUUUAGGACAGCAUGCUCAUCUAAGUAGUUGAUGUGUAUGAUAUGGUUCGAUGAUAUGAUCUUCACUCUUAAUGCUUAAGUGCUUGGGAAAAUCUAUUUGAAAAUUUAAAAGCCUUUUUGAAAUCUCCUCUUUGAUGUGCCAAAGUCCUACCAAAGCCAUAUGAUAAGUUAUCUUGAAAAACCAUUUGCAUAUGUUGCUUGUCUUUGCAUUGAGCUUUGUCAAAUUGGUGUGACCCUUGUCACAAUUCUUUUCAUACUUUCAUGAUCAAGACUCAUGUGCACGCCAUAUACCCCUUGCUAUGCUUCUAUGAGAUGUUAGCAUUGUACCAUCCAUUCAUUCCACAAAAUAAAUGCUCCACCAUAUGUGUUGGUCUCCUUCUAAGAUUAUUGUUACAAAAGAGAUAUGGGCUAUCAAAAAAAAAUAUGAAUGUCCAAGAAAGUUGGACACAUGAAUGUCCAAUAAAAAGAAAAAGAAAGAUAGCCAUGUCCUCAGAAAUAUUUACAAAGGGAGAGAGAUCAUACAAAAAGGAGUUUCCAUUCCAUCCACCACAUCCAUACAUGUGCACAUCUUGAUCUGAUUGUAUGACUUAUUUUUCUCUUUGGAUCUGGUCUUUGACUUUGCAAUAUAUGUGAUGCAAGCAUGCCUUAUCCUUCAUAGCCUACCUUGAGCUCCACAUAUAGCCAUCAUUAGAAGUAGGAUGAAGAAAGGCAAGUCUAAUGCCUUGGUGAGGACAUAUACACAUUGAGUGAUCUGAGAGAAUCAAAUGAGGAGCUAAGCAAGGUUUUGUUUUGAAAACUAAUUGAAAAAUCCCAAGCUACUUGGCAUAAGGAGUUGAGGUGACUUGAUUCAAGACCAUUACAUUCCUCAACUACCCAAGAUGGCAUGAUAGACACUCCAAAGUUCACAAGUGCAGGUAUGGUUUGGAAUAUCUUUUAGGCUCGCUUCAUACCUUUGAAAGUUAUGUUUCACCUUAGUCCUUUCUCGUUCACUCAAGGAUAAGCAAAGGCUAAGUGUGGGGGUGUUGUUGAUGGCUCUUAAGUACAAAAUCUGCGCCAUCAACUCUUGCAUAAACACAUAAAAUAUGAGCAUCAACAAUAGUGGUAGGAGUUAUUACAAACGAAUUCCACAAGUCUUGGUGAAUAUUUGUAUGCAAGCCCAAUAGGAGAGAAAAGACACCUCAAAAGCAAGGAAACACACUCUCAACCAAUCAAGAGCAAGCACAUGGAACCAUGGGCCCACAACCAAAAGGAAAUCGACUACAUUCCAAACACCCUAUACCCACAUGAGAACCCAUAGGGCAGUGACCCAGAGCAAAGGUGAUGCCAGAGUGUAGAUGGUAGUUAGCAUGCCAAAUUUUGAACCGCAAGCGCUCGGAUUAGUUGUUUCUUUUCCCUUAGAGAUUCCCCCAAGGUUUAUCAAUCCAUGGAACAAGGGAUUUGCACGUUUCACUAAGCACUAAUCAAUGUAAUUGAAAGCUUUUCGAAUAAGAUAUGAUUAUGCUAACAAAGGAACUAAGCAAUCUAGAUUAAGAUGGAUAGAGAGUACAGGUUGUGAACAAGAUAGAUUAAACGCUUGUAGAUGCAAUCACCAUGCAUGAAUGAAUUAGAUCUAGGUGUUAUUGUGAGUGGUUGUGAACCAUGCCCAACACUUUCCCACCCGCAACAUUGUCACUACAUGUGGGUACUCAACUAUCGGAACAUAAGAACACAUCAAGAUGAUCAUUCUAGGUAAGCAAAUAAGCAACCCAAAGUAGCGCUGGCCAGCCUUUUCAUGAAAGAGCAUCAUCAAGAUAAGAUUGAUAACAAAAUAGAUCUCAACCAAAGGUUCAGCGAUUACAAAUCAAGAUCUUCGUAUAACCCCGAUGACAAAUAGAGGUAUUACCCCCAUGAUCUUACACAUGUUGAUGAAUUUUAGGGUAAAGGACACCCUGUAGAUCAACUGGACCAAAGAUGAUGAUGAACGGGGGCAGGGAAGGCCCAGGUUGAUCAGCCUGCGCACUUUUGAGCCGAUCAGCUCAGGGGGUUUCCUCCUCCCCUGGUGCUCCUCUUCGCGUGGCCUCCUCUGGAUCCAAUCUUCUCUUCAUUUCUCCUACUUGUGGCGGCAAUGGAUGGUGUUUGCAUGGUGAUUUCCUCUUCUCCCCAACUCUCCCUCCUUGAAGUCCAUGAGGGGGUAUUAAUAGUCUCCAAUAGGCGGCAGCUCUGGGUCAAUGUCAGUGAAAAAAUCCUAGAGAUCAUCGUACACUUCAUGCUGAGGAAACAAGAGGUUGACCGAGCCCUGGGAUAGACCAAGAGGAUCAUCCUAGAGGGUCCCAGGCUAAUCGGUCUAGGCCCUUCCUAGCCCUUCUAGUCCUCUCCUUCCUCGUGCUGGCUUUUCUCGAUGACCCUUGUCCAAAUAUCCAUGAAGCUCUAUAUACAUACCCCCUUGAUUAUGUUGUAUUUCCUGUCAAAAUACAAUGCUCCAAAAUACAACACAUAUGCAAUAAUAGGGUUAUUUCAGGUGCCAAUUGGUGGGUUAGUAUACGAAUAAGCAUGAAAAUACUGUUUAAAUGACACUAAAAGUGUGUCAAUAACGAGCACCAACAAUCCCCCCACGCUUAGAUCUUGCUCGUCCUCGAGCAAGUCUAGCGACUAAAAGAUCUUGAAUUAAACCUGAGCAAGCGAGUCAAGUACCUAGCCUUGAAACAAAAGAUUAGAGGAGCAGCAAAGAUAAUCAAAGUCUGGGUGUUCAAAGAUUUAUCUAAGCAAAGAUUCCCCUACAACUAUUAUUCAGAACCAAGUAACUUCAAAAAUCAACUACACUUAUUUUCUGGCUUUUUUCAGAGGGUUUUUCUUUCAUCAUAAAACAAUCUCCCUGCAACAAAAUUGAAAAAAGAAUUAUUUUCAAGGUGCUUACAUGUCGCUUAAAUGAAUGUUGGCUAUCCUACUUAUUUGCAAGCUCUCAUCUCUCAAAAUUCAUUCAAUUAUAUGGUGGAGUUUGGGUAAGGUUAGCUAGAAUCAACACGUAUAUUAUUGAAUUAAGAAAACCCUCUAACGGUGGCCUACCUUCCGAGCCAUUGAUCAUAAGAAUAUCCACAUAAUGUGAAGUUUUCAAGGAUGAGAAGAUAUAGAAUGGUGGACAUGUGCAAAGGCAAAGAAAUAUAGUGACUCUGAGGCACAAGCAAUGUCCUCGUCGUUGGAUUGCAUAUGGUUGUAAUGAAAAUAUGUUCCUUAAACAAGUCUAUCUUUUCUUUGCACCACUCUUGAUCUUCAUGACAGUAAAAACUCCUCCUUUAUUUCUUUCUCUCUUUUCCUAUUAUUUCUUUUUAUUUGUCUCAAUACUUUUAUUUCUUUAUUUCUUUAUUUUAAUCUCUUCUCUGAACCUCUUCUGAACACCACAUAAUAAAAAUAAGUUUUAGAUCCUUCCAGAGACCUUCCAGGAAUUUGCUACAUGAAAACCGAGGCAAGGAGACCCCAGGCCGAUUGGCCUAGCCACUCCUUUGCUCUCCUCUAGCUCUUCUUUCUGGUGAAGCUUCCUUAUCUUGUAUCUUUCCAAAAAUUUCAUAAAGCUCGACUAGAAACGGAACAGAUCUUCAUAUAAUGAGUUGUGUUCAAGGAAUUGGUAAUAAAAUUGAGAAAUUUGUGGUUCGGGUUUACGAAUUCAGUACAAAAAUAUGAUUGUUCCAAUGAAGAACUCUCAUUACUGAAUAUUGACGAGGCAAGCAUUCAAAGAUGGUAAAAAGGAUAUGAUCAAUUCUCAAAAUUAAAGCAAACCAAGAGAGAGCGAUCCUAAUUCAAUUCAAAGUGUCAAAUGUUGCUUAUGGUGGUAUGAAUAAAUAUUUUUAGGCAUUGGGUAGGAUAAAUAAAAACUCUCAACCUGGUUAAAAGAUAUUGAUCAAUCUUGUUUUUGCAGAGGUUUUAAAUAAAAAAUAAAAUUUUAAAUCACCUCCAAUUCAAAGCCUUACUCAUAAAUCAUAAUCAAAACUGAAGCACUUGAUCAUCAUAAAGCAUGGGUAUUGCAUAAACAAAUCGAUUACUAAAACUCCACAACUACGAUUUAGAAUUCAAGACAAUGCUCAUAAUCUAAAGUUGCAAAGAUAAAAUAAAAGACAACCAAGCCAAGGUAGACACUAAAAACACUUGCACGAUCCUUGAAUUUUAUUCAUGCUUCUUCUCACAAAGACGCUAAAGUAGCCAUGUAGGCCUAAGUCUUCCCAAAAGCUUAAGAAAACUACUACUUUAUCUACUUUUGGUUGAAAUAAAAAGACUAAUCUAGACUCUCACAUGAUUCGACUCGACCAAAUUAGAUCCAAAAACUCAUACGAGCGACGAUCUCCCCCCCCUCACGCUUAAAAUCUACGACCUCCUCGUCGUAGCCAUAUGGAGUACAAGGAAAAGAAGCUUGUAAACGCUCUAAUGACGCUACCCGCACUACUUGCACACGGGAUGGUUGCUGCUUCCUUCGCUUUGUUCUUCCUCAUGUUGCUGCACAUCCCGAAGAGCUUCCUCACGUUCCUCUGCAAGAACUUGAACUCGUCCUCCUGACGGCGAUCAUUAUCUUCUGCCUUUUGAUCCAGAGCUUGUAAGGCUUGCAUGAUGUCAUCGAACGCAUCGAAGAGGUAGUGGAUGUUCUUCCUGCAAGCUGUGGAACAUGUACGAUCAUGCUCCUCCGAUUCUGGCCCGUCGUCUUCUAGAUCCUUCUCUUUGCCCUUGUCUUGACGGUGGCUAUCUUGCUCCUUGCUCGCCUUCUUGCCUUCAGCCCAAUCCCAGUACGUGUUGUCAUCUUCUUCAUCGUCACGGCCUGCAGCACCCUAUGAUCCAUUGUCUAUCUUGUAUGAAAGAAUCAGAAGCUUGUUCUCCUCAGGGUGUCUUGCGCGGUGCAGCGUUUGCAAGUGCAAGACUUGCUAGUUCCUUUUACACAUUGUAAUGUUCAUUGCAUGCUCUAAUUGUUCUACAUUUGUAAUUUCUUGGUGAAGUUUGGUUACUGAUCCACUGUUUGAUUAACUCUUGGGCCCAAACACUGUACUACUUCUGAUUAGAUAUCUGUAUCUUGACUUUGACCAAAAAAAAUAUCCGGCAGUUUUUGCCAUUAAAGUUUCAUAAAUCAUCUUGCAAAAAUCGUACUAUACAACAAGGGACGGUUUAUUAUAAAAUAUACGUUCCCCUUAUCACAUGCCACUUCCACUCAAAAGGCAACGAAUCAGUUUUCAAUCCUGAGUGAGCAAUUUGCUUUUAUUACCGAUGCCUCCUAUUCCCUUGUGCACCAAGUUUAUUUUGGAUAGGGCUGCAAAAAACGACUAACCAGCUCGGAUUCUCCACCUGCAAAACCGCAUCUGCAGCAACCAACCCCACGCGGUGGAAAAAAAAACAAAACCUAGAAACCGGACGGGGGUGGAUGUGGGGCUCGGAGCCCAAGCAAAAAACGGAUCGGGAGCGCCGGAGCAGGCCAUCACCGGAUGUUAGAGAUAGAAAAUGGUUGAAGUUUGGAGUGGAAAUCAAACAAGCCUUGGAGCAAAGGAAAAAAAAAGAUCAAACCACUCAAGCAUUCAUUUGAUUUAGAAAAGAGAACAUUUGUUAAGGUGGGGAGUUGAAAUCAUCUUUUAAUUAGUUCCACGUAUCUGGUAUCAUUACAGUUGGUUUACUUGUGUAAGUAUAAGUAGCUCUGCCGAAGCCUUUGCUCCUAUAAUUUAGUAACUAGUACAAAUGGAUCAAUAGGAAAAUCAAGUUGCAAUCAUUUCUCAGCCAACCAAACCUAUGUAAAUCAAAUUAUUGUCCAUGCCCGGCAUGCACAGGUGCCUGCCAUGCAUGCAUUGUUGCUCCAUUGUAAUAACCAUUAUUGUCCAUCGAUGUUGCAGCGCAUGUGUGCACUGUGCAGACACCAAGCAUCGAGAUUAUGUACUAGUAAGGUGUUGAAAUAAUGGGCCUAGCCCAUAAGUAAUUUCAGAAUUUCAAAUAAAUCUCAAAGGCCCAUGUGGGCAAGAGGUGGAGUGGUGCAAGUCUUUAGUCCCACAUUGCUAGUCGAGGGGAGGGAUGACCAACUUAAAUAUGGAAGUUGUCUCCACUCCUCCAAGCUAUGUGUGAAGGGCGCGGGCGCGAGGCACUUGCGUGAAUGGUCCGCCGAAAUCUGGCCCCCCUUGCGGGGGCGCGGCUUCCUUUUGCCGUUUUAUUUUUUGGUUACUUGGUCGUUAAGUCAUGGAAUCCUAACCGGUUUAGAUCACGAUCGUGAAGGUUUUUGGGAAGCGCUCUGCGCGACUGCUCGAUCGCUUCUUCCGCUUCGUCAAGUUCUUCGUCGACUCCUUCACCACGGCUCGUCUACCUCUUCGUCGCUCGGGCCUCACUCGUCGUCGCGAACAACGUCAGGCUGCUGAUCGUCGUCGCCUGCUGUAUCCGGUAGUCGUCCAGGAGCCGGUUUUCAUCAAGAAAGAAACGUACGGUCUCUUAACUCACAUUAUGUCUUCCAUACUAGCUAUUAUGAUUGUUGCAGUCUGAUAGCUCUGGAUAGUAUGGUAGAAUGUCUGAUUCUAUUUGCAAUGAUAGACUUGUCUAGAUCUUGCGUAGACAUGUCUAGUUUAAUCUGCUGCUUGUUCAUCAUAUUCAUGAUUUAUUUCUGGAUUAAGUUAAAACUAAAAGUGCUUAUAUAUCCAACAUAAGGUACCAAGAACACGUGAAGCACCCGGGGGAGGCUGCUCCACUCCGCAUGCACAGGUGGGCACGGCACCACUACUCGUCUCCUUCAGGCUGAGGAUAAGUGAUGUACGCUGAUCAACAGACCACGACGGAACCAGCAAUAAUAGUUUCAGCCUGCCUCACAGUAAUUAAUAUAUCCUGUAUCCUCCGAGGACCCCUCCCCUUAAUCUUGGCCUAUUGCAUCCAAUAAUGAUAUGUGUGUUUAUCCAAAUUUACGGCACCUUUGGCGGGGGUUCCACCCAGCUCCGCCCUCUCCACCUUCGGUACUCCAUGGGAAACCAUUCCUUUGGAAUCAAGGAAGCUUGAACAGUAUAACGAAUAAAGUUUCAUAUAUCCAUUUGAUUUCACAUGAAAUAAAAUAUUCUGUCAGAACCAAUGGUUUCACUGAAGCUCCAGGCAGCGAGCGAAGGGGUGAGAGAGGAUAACGCUUACUGUGUGUUACCAUCGCGUGCACCAUGGAUGACCAACGCGCAGCCGAGAUGAAACGGCGGACCUAAACAGGUCCUCGCUAUUUUUGCAGGUUCUCGACCAGGCCAGUUCUUUAGGCCAACCUAUCAUUCACGAGUUAAACAUACGGUGGCUGGAGAAAUGUUCUAUUCUUUUAAACAAUACCAGCUGGUUCCUCCGUUUUUAUUCCACCAAUACAAGCACCACCUUGUAACAUUUCCUAUGUUUUUUUUCCUUUCGUCUGUUUUCUCACUACAUGCGUUGCUCUUUCAUGCAUUUUUUUCCAUUCCUGUAUUCCAAAUAGGUCUACAUGAACACAAAAUGAACUAGGGGACAGAAAAAGCCAGUGAAGUUAGUUUUGAGCUUCACCAGCUACUUGCUACAUAAAGUGUGCUAUAGUCGCAGAAAAGCUAAGCUGGAUCAGACGUGGCCGAAACAAUGCCAAAGAGCUAGGUCCCUAGCUGAUGGCAACACAUCAGAUGACUAGCCUGCUUUUCUGUAAUAAUGAUAUUGAGCAAUACACUGCAUGGCUAACCUGCUUUACAAUAAUUGUCAUUUUAUAAUAUUGGUCAUCACGAGAGAUGCACAUUGCAUACACCGGCCCAUCCCUAUAAAUAGCCAAGCCUUUCAGCCAUCUUGGGCACCUCCUCUCAGGGCCUCGUCUCACCAUCAGACAUCUCGUUCCCAGUUAUAAUUUGCGAGGUUAGAUCAGGCUGCGCCAUGGCGUCCGCAACUGCUGUCAAGAUCGUCGCCACCUUCAUGCUGGUGCUGACCAUGGGCCACCUGAUGGCCGAAGCAUCACCGCAGCCUCGGCGUGUGCUUGCAGAAACGGAGCAUGCUGCGGUGUCCGGGAAUCCUGGCCUCCCAGGUGAUGCUAGCGUCAUGCAGGUCCUCGAACCCGCCCUAGUUUCUCGGCUUGCCUGCAAACCAGAGUGCACAGUCCCUUGGCCUCCUUUUGUAUGUAUCUGCUAGAUCCUCUUCCUGGCUCAACGGAACUUCAGGGAAAUGGCUGUGACGUCGGCCAAAGAAUAAAUUGGAUGAACAUAAUAUACCCCGGGUAGUGUAGCUUGGGCUUUUGUUGAGCGUCUGGUGCUAGUUGUAUUUUGUUUGCUCAUGUGGCUUUGCUUCUGGUUGCAUAUUGGCUUUCCUAUCGCUCUCUGUUGCAGCUAUGGUUUCUGCCAGGUGUGUGUUAAUGCGGUUUGUAAGCGGUGCUUGUUCCUACCUUCUGUUUUCAAUAAAAGAAGUCGGAGUCUCCCUCCGACUCUUGUUAUCAGUCAACAAAAAUGAGUUGUAUCAUAUAUAUCUGCGUCUUUUUUCUACGUAUCUUUGGGCUGCUUCAGCUGGAAGUUUAUCGUAAGUACGUGUAUCAGGAUGAUCGUUUGAAUUAAAACGAAAUGAUAAUGUGUGGCUGCUAGAAAUGGAAUGAGCAUCUUACUAUAUUACUAAUUGGAAGCCUCCACGUGAAGCCACCUAGAAAUUCUAGGUGGACGUUUUAAAAAAAACAAAACUCAUAGAAGCCUCCACCACCUAGGAAUCCUAGGUGGACACUCUAAAAAGAGACAAAUCCUAGAAAUUCUAAAAAAAGAAAAAAAUAAUAACAAUAAGAUUUUUUUGCAGUCAAUUACAUAUAUUUUUUUGAGACACCGUGCUGCUAGCUCUUGCCAUUGCGACCAGUAAAGCAAGCAGAUAGUAAGAUGACAUGCGUGUGGAUUGAUUAAAACAAAUUCAGUUAGUUGAUUCUAAAUCGUAUGUAUCCUAAAAGGAAGAUAUGUGCGUGCAUGGUCCCUAGCGAUGACAUGUAGACAUGUAUUGCAAUUUCUUUUUUAAAAAACAUGUCUAUCUCUAAACCAACAAACAGAAAAAAUAUCAAUCUAAAUCUAAAUCUCUUCCGUUCUCACACGCCUAUUAAAGAGAAGACAACCAAUCCCAUCCAUGUUCCAUAGAAUCCAUCUAAAAGCUUGCUCACUGCGGACGGCAUUUGACGGCAAAUCAAUGAAAGAUCAUCCUCUCCAAAUAGCUGGACGGCAUCACCAUCUUUAUCUCACCAACCUACAGAGCUACAACGAUGUUGUAGAGAUCAACUAGGUAACCUACCAAUCACCCUCCCCUUUUCUAUAUGCUCUAAAGAACACGUGGAGUAAUUAUAGGCCUAUAGGAGCCGACUAACCUAGAUUAAUAUGAAAAAUAUUCCAAUAUUAAAAGCAAGCAGAUAGUAAUACUUGCCUUUGACCAUUUUUCUAGAACUGUUAUUCCUAUUGAAUGUUCAAGUGCUACGGCCAGGCAUCGAAUGCCUGCACGGAACCUUCCUAUUGAAUGGUUACUCUAGAGAUCAACGCACCGCGAGACAUUUUUAUGGAAUUUGUUUGAUUCCCCUUCUACAAUUAGAUUAAUUUUUCAUGGCAUAUAUUACUACUAUUAAAUUAUUUGUUUAUUGUCGGGCCUGCUGCAUGUGUGGUAUAUAUGACUUGCUUCUCACCAUUGUUCUCAAACUAUUAUUCCUAUCGAAUCUUUCUAUCGAAAUAUAUUUUAAUUACUUGAUUGUUGUUUGUGUACCAUAACUUCUGUAUAGAAAAAUUCCAUGUUUGUAGAUAAUGUCUUUUGUAUAGAAAAAUAGCCCAAUUAGAUCCAUCACCAUCUUUUGCUUAUGUAGUUGAACAAGUUGCAAUGUUGAACAAAACUUUAAGUGAAAUUAGACCAGGAAAAGGAAUUGUGGAACAUUAAGGCAAGGGUAACCAGAUUGUGGAAUGCAACCUUACUCAGUAGUGGCGAACAAUUAAGUCUUGACAUGAUCCUUAUUGAUCAAAAGGUAUGAUAGAUGUUCACUUUGAUUGCAUUAUUGGUAUAAUUUUUGGUUUACAAAUUAUUAAUGAUGAUGCAAAAUUAGGGAACCAUGAUCCACGGUGUUAUCAAUAAGCCCUAUAUGAAAAAGUUCAAACCAUUGAUUGAAGAAGGCAAUGUGUACAUAAUUGCAAAUGUCAGAAUCACACCAGAACCACAGAAGUAUCGGCCAGUGGAAAAUGACAGGAUAGUCAACUUCUUACCCACAACUGCACUAAAAACGAUCAAAGAUACUGAAGACAUUCCAAAGUAUAGUUUUAACUUCAUGAGCACGGAUAUGCUUUCAGCAAGAAUAAAUGUGGACAUGUACCUAUUAGGUAAAACAUUACUGGCUUUUCAAUUUUUACACUUCCACUCAUUAAAUGACCAUCUAAUAAUAAUACAUAUUUAUGUUUCAUAGAUGUUAUAGGUAUCUCAGCUCACAUUGGACCGAUAGAAGAAACAAGGACAAACUUCGGAUUUACUAAAAUCCGUGAUAUUGUGCUCCUGAUCGAGUAAUUCUCUUUUCUUUUGUAGAAAACAACUACAAAACUUUCAACAUUUACAUGUAUGUUAUAGAACUUCUGUUGAACUAAAAAAUAUCUUCUACAGUGCCCCUACAAAUAAUUAAUUUCGUAGUUGGAUAUUUAAAAUAUUUAUUAUUCACUUUUAAAUUUGUGGCCAUGAAGUUAAAGUUAGAUUUUGGGGAGACAAAGUUGAGGAAGUUGAUGAUAAGACAAAAUCCCAUGUCAUUGCAAUAACAUCUACAACUGUGAGUAAAUUUGGCAGUAAGUCUUCAUUCAAUAUGAGUUAUUCAAUAUUAGUCAUUCAACAAACUAACCUCGUAAGAAAAAUAAAUAAUUGAUGUUUUAUCAGGGUAUUCUCUAUCGUCAACCAAUGCAACAAAACUUUAUGUAGAUCUACCUAUUCCUGAAACUAAGGAUGCACAUGAUAGGUGAGAAAAAUUAGAUAUUGUUUUUCUAUUUUAAUCUAUGUAGCAUGCACUCUAACAUGAUACAUUCUUUCAUAUGAUAAAAAAAUGUUAGUUCAAUUGAAAAUAUUGUCAAAGAGAUUCAUAUUGAGGACCAUCUAAAAGGGACAUUGGAAGACCAAAUGCAGUACAAUAGAAGAACUUUAGAAGAAUUAAAUUUCAUAUUAUUUGAAACAUCAAAUCAGGUAUGGAUUAGUAUGUUCAUUGUACACUAUACUAUUUAAAGACUUACAUACAUAAUGAUGGUAUUGUUCCUACUUUCAGGAUGAGGUAUUUACUAUUGAAGCAACAAUAAAUGAAAUUAAUGCAACAUAUGGUUGGUUGUCACACCCGAUUUUAAGGACAAAAUUGAGUGCAUUAAAUACAUGUGCACCAGGAUCAAGUUACACACAUCCUAUGAGUACCGUCCUUCUUUGGCACAAAGAUAACCGGUGCUCCCCAUGGUGAUGAACUAGGCCGAAUAAACUAUUUUGCUGAUAAUUCCUCUAGUUGUUGUUUCAAUUCUUUUAAUUGUUCAACCAACAUUCUAUAAGGACGUUUGGAGAUAGGUGCAGUACCAGGUAAAAGAUCAAUAGCAAAUUCAAUGUCGCGGUCAGGUGGCAUACCUGGUAAAUCGUCGGGGAACACAUCCGGAUAGUCACACACCACUUUGAUAUCUUCCAAGGAUUUUCCAGCCAACUGAUUAACUGCACAAUCUGCUGCUGAGGGUAGAGUAGCUACAAACUCCACUUUCUCUCCAUCAGGACCUGUUAGCAGAACUGUCCUCUUGGCACACUGAAUCGUUGCAUCAAAAGCGGCUAACCACCUCAUCCCCAGAAUUACAUCGAUUCCACUGGACUCAAGGACGAUAAGAUCAGCCGGAAACUCUAUACCCAUUAUUCUCAGUUUAACUUGUGGACAGAUGUAUUGAGCCUUCAUUGACCCCCCAGGUGAACUCACUAGCAUAUGACGCCUCAUGGUAUGCAUGGGUAAAUUAUGCUUUGCUACAUAAUGACUAGUGACAAAAGAAUGCGAUGCUCCAGAGUCAAAUAAAACUGAUGCGGGGGCAGAGUUGACAAAGAACAUACCAAGCACUACAUCUGGAGCCUCCUUAGCAGUCUCGGCUUCCAUGUGGUUCACCUUGCCACAAACAAAGCUUUGCUGCCCCUGAUUGCCUUGUGGGGUCUGGUUCCCAUUCCUCGGUUGCUGCAUCUGAUUCUGCCGAGGAGCACUGCUGUUCUGCACGGGGGUAGCUGGCCCACCUCUCUUAGGACAAGAGCUGGCAUAGUGACCAACCUCGCCACACUUGAAGCAGGUAGGACCCACUGGAGCAUUGGGCCUUGUUGGAGUGCCAGUAGGGGUCAUCUGGCGGUUCUGCGUAAAGCUUGGGCGCGGAGUCUGCAUAGUCUGCAUCCCUGGAUGCUGGAACUGAGGGCUAGGGCGCUGGAAUGACUGCUGAGCAGGGCGCGGAAAUGAGUGCUGCCAAAAAUUCCCACUCGGGCCCCCUGCGCGGAACGGCGUCCCUUGCUGUGGAGCAAAGCGAGGGCGGGUGUUGCUUCCUGAAGACUACUGGGAAUUGAAUUUCCUCUUCAUCUCCCCGAGCUCGUUCCUCUUGUGUUCCAGGCCAAUUGCCUUGUCUAGCAUCUUCUGGAAACUGGGGAAGGUGUGCGACAUAAGCUGAUAUUGGAGUGGUCCAAUCAACCCAUCCAAGAAUAGCUCCUGCUUCUGCUCAUCAUCAGCAACAUCUUCGGGAGCAUAUCGGGACAACUGGACAAACUUGUCCCUGUACUCUGCCACUGUCAUGUUCCCCUGCUUGAGAGCAAGGAACUCCUUCUUCUUAAGCUUCAUCAAUCCGGAAGGAAUAUGAUGACUUCUGAAGCUAGUCCUGAAUUCAUCCCAGGUGAUGCCAUUAGCAUUGGCAUGGGUGGUGGUGUAAGCAUCCCACCAAUCAGCAGCUGGCCCUUCCAGGCGUCCUGAAGCAUACAGGACCUUCUCCCUGUCAGUACAUUGGGCGAUAUCCAGCAUCUUCUCCACUGUUUUCAGCCAAUCAUCAGCAUCUAAUGGAUCCGGAGAAUGUGAAAACGUCGGGGGCUUGUGGCUCAUGAACUCCCUAUGCCUGUCCCUUGGCGGCGGCUGCUGCUGGUUGUUGUUGUUGUUAUUGUUCAGCUGAGCUUGUAAAGCUGCCACGGUGUUGGUCAGUCCGGCGAGAAGCUGAGUCUGAGCUGCUAGAAACUGCUCCAUCCCUGCAGGUGCUUGUUGGUUCUGUUGCGGAGCGGUGUUGGGAUUGCUGCUGUUGUCCCUGUGGCGUGGCACUGUGGGACGGUCAACUCCUGAUCCGGACCUGGUGUUUACCAUCUGAGCGUUAGAGACAAUGGAUUUAGAUAGAUGUGUGAAAGAAUAACUGAGAAAGAUAAAGCGACCAGAUGUAAAAGUAACACAGAUUCUGUUAGCUCCAUUUAAUUAGGUGUGGUCGUCAGAAGAAGUGUCCAUAAAUUCUGAACAAUUACCAAGUCGUAACUUAUUAAAUUUGUAAACCAACCCAACUGGAAUCAUCUCAAUCGGACUUCUGGAUCUCGAGUUACAAAAUUAACAAGCUGACAGUGUCGGUCGAUAGGUUCAGAUUCUGAGUGCUUUACUAAUUCGCAUACACCUCCCAGACAGAUACACCAAAAAUUCUGAAAAAUUUACAGAUAGUACUCCACGAAAUUCUGAAACUAACCCCACUGGUUUCAUGUCAUUUGGACUUCUGUAGCUAGAGAUAUAAAUAAAAAAGUACUGGCGUGUCAGUUAAUGUCGAGAACAGAAUUGAAUGUCGCUUAGCUUGCGUGAUGGAUAGAUUUAGACAGAUGGUAGAUCAUGAUUAAGGAAGAUUAAAUACUGAUUUAGAACAGAAAUAAAACCCAACUAAGCACUUUAUUUAUUAAGACCAGUAUCGUGUGGCAAUUGCCCCACAUACCGCACUCAUUACAAAAUCCAACUCAAACAUGUAGCACAAAACCAAUCAUCUAAGCACACUUUAACUAACACACUCGAACGACGUCUAACGAUUACAAGAAUUUAAACUAAAACACUCCUAAUUUCCUAGAGGUCUUCUGCGGCGGUGCCGGGCGAGUCGUAGCGGGGACGCUUAGGCGACGGCGACGAAGCGGGAUGAACAGCAAACUCCUGCGGCGGCGGUGCUCCCGUCGCGGCAGCCAUAUUCGCAUCCCUCUCCCACCGGAGUUCCUGAACCUCCUGUUGAAGCUCCUGGAUGUGGUUGUUUGCUUCAUUCAAUGCGGUGAGAGCUGCCGACGUGUACUUGCGGAGGAAGUCUGUAGCCAUGUCAACCCCAUCGUUAGUAGCGAUGAAGGUUCUUGCUUCCCCACUAGCUCGGUAAGGAAGGAACCGAUGGUAAGUGUGCUGCAAUCGCGGCCGUUCCUUGUGGGAGACGACCUCAAGUGCCCUCCUGGCGGCCUCGGCAAUGCCGGAUUCCAUGGUCCUCCUUAUGGUCACAUCAUGGUGAAAAGCCUUCACCUCCCAUCCUCCCUCGUGCUCCUCACGAAGGACAACCUUCACCUCCCAAAAAGUGGGAUAGCGAGGGUGGGUGAACCGGGAGCACUUGUAGAGUGGCCUCAUGCCGUACCCCAAGCGGUGACAAGUCCACCUGAGUAUGUCGGCCAUGUGCACUCCUUGGCCAUAAUCUUCCUUCACCCAUUUGAUCCAUGUCUCGGGCUCGGGAUCUGCUUCGGGCUCAUCAUCCGUCAAGUCGACGACCGGUACGGGCGUCGGGGCUGGUGCAGGAGCGGGCGCCGGUGCUGGCGACGGUGCUGGUGACGGCGUGGUCUCCUGCUCCACGGUCACGGCGUCCCCGUCAGAGUCAUCCCCCGGAUGCUGGAAGAUCUCUUCCUCUUCUUCCUCGUCCCAAGGCUCCAUGGGGGCGUACGACGGCGCGAUGCCAUGACGCGGCGGACGGGUGCUCUUGCGUGCGGUCAACCGGGUGCGAGCCAUCUAACAGAAAGAAAGAAGAAAAUUUUAGAAUAAAAUUUUGAACAAAGCUAGAUAAUAAAAUAGCAAUAAGGAUGAGACAAAUCAAGUUUAAGAAUAAUUAAGUAGAUUUAAAUUAAGAAAGGUAGGAAUGGCUACUAGAUUAUUAUAAUCCUUAAAUACGACCAUUUUCUAACUAGGCUAACGUCCUACAGUCAACACGGCUCUGGUACCACUUUUGUCACACCCGAUUUUAAGGACAAAAUCGAGUGCAUUAAAUACAUGUGCGCCAGGAUCAAGUUACACACAUGUACGACAAUAGUGAAUAGUAAAGCCAGUGCUAAAUCGAAUAAAGAGAGUAUUAACCAUUAUUACAUGACCGAAUGUCUCAAAUAAACCACAAAGUCUAAUUAUUACGCAGCGGAACUCCAAAGAUGACGACGACUCCAUAGGCAGCUGACUGAAGAAACGUACGCCUAGAACUCCUCGAAGUCGUGGAAGUACUCCUCUUCCCAAUUAACUUGGUCUGAACAGCGGUUUUGCAAGGGUGAGUACACUUAUGGUUGGUACUCAACAAGUCGUGGGAAGUAGUGUAGUGUAAGGCUAAUUCAAGGUAUGGCUAAGGCGUAAAUAGCAUUCGCUUUUAAUUAAGUUGGUCAAAUUUUAUUAGCAUUUACUAAGUAUAAGUUCAUACCACCCGAAAUUAAACAUGAACAUAAAGUAAACCACAUGUGCAUGAAAUGAUAACAAAUUAAAUCCAUCUUCCGAUAAUAUUAUCAUGUGAGGGUCCAGGCCGCUCUUAACCGUGAGCACGGCUGAUUGAUCAGUUUAACACUCUGCAGAGGUGGCACAUCUUUACCCACAAGUCGCGUAAAAGUUCAAAAGAACUUUGGACCCAACCAUGCGGUGUUUGCAAGGCACCAUACCACACUUCCGAGGUGUGAUUGCAUAGGGACGCUACGAGGCCUUUACAAAGAUUCAUUAAUCAGUGGUAACCCGCUAAGGUUUCGGUGUCUGGCGUGCACCACCCAUCCCAGGUAAAAUGCAACGACUCAGUCCCCCCCCUUGAAUCAUCACGAGUAAGGUCACCCCAGACUAAGGUUUCUAAUUAAUCAGCCAAGACCAGAGCUAUUUAGUCUUGUGGUAGCACUGUUUUCCUGGGUGGUCGCUCCAUGUUCUGAUUAACAAAUAAUGAUCUUGUCUUAAUGAAAGGUAUAACAGAAAUAAGGCAAGAUUAAGCAUUGUUUUUAGUUAAACCACCAUGUACCAAGUAAGCACUAAGCAUGAGCUACCCAACAUAAAGUAAACCGGUUGGUCAAGGCAAAGGUAAAACAAUCUAGGCCAACCUUAAUUGGGACCCAUCAAUUUAAUCUUAAUAUGUGCACAGCAUAAAUGUUGAGUACGAGAAAGUAAAGGUGUAUAGGACAAAAAGGUAGUGAUCAAGGACACGACUUGCCUUCUUGGCCUUGCUCCUGCUGUUCGUACUCCUCGAAGGCUUGAUCGGCAACUCCCUCGAACUGCGGGGCGUCUACACGCAUCACACGAGCACAUACAAGCAAACAUGGGCAAAAGUAAGAAAACAGUAUACCAAACAUAGUCAAACAGAGAAAACAAGCUUGAAAAGAUGAUCUACGCUUUAAAACGAACACGCGGAUAUAAAGAACGCGAAAAACGGAGUUAAGAUGCAAAAGAUAUGAUUAAAACAAAAUCCAGGGACUUUUCUGUAAGAAAAACAAAACUUUUAGGGCCUAUCCGCGAAAACCGAGGGCUUAUACGUAAUUAUGCGUAUAAACCGAGGGUCUGAUGCGUAAAAACAUCAAACCCGGACGGCGGGUUGAUUUCUGGAAAGGUCAAGGGUUAAACCGAAAAAUGCGAGGGCAGAUCUGUAAAUACUUUCAACGCGAUCUGGACCGCGGGUUGAUUUGCGAAAAAGGCGGGGGCUAAAGUGCAAAAACUGCACGGCGCGGCUCGGUUGACCGGUACGCGAUCUUGAUUGACUCGCGUCCGGCCGUCGGAUUAAGAUCCGACGGUCGCGGUGAUCCGCGACAUCGCGGCGGCGGCGGCGAGCGGCGGCGAGCGGCGGCAAGCGGCGGCGGGUCGCCGGAGUUAGGCAAAAUAGCGCCACGAGGCACGGUUUAACGCGCGGGUUGCACCAAAAAAGAGAGGGGAACACGUCGAUCCCGUUUUGGGGGUUCUUGUCGACGGGGGCUCACCGGCGACGGCGAACGGCGGCGAGGAAGAGGCGGCGGCGCUAGGAGCUCGGGCGGCUAGGGUUUCGGGGAGCUGCGGCGCUGGUUUUGGGCGGAGGAGACUGGGAGGAGGCGGCGGCUUUUAUAGGGCUUGGAGAUAGAGCCGGCGCGGGUUCAAAUCCCCCGGAGGAGUCGGAGCGGAUGGAGUCCGGGGCGGAGACGGCGCGCGGCGGUUGCGGAGUUCUGACCGGAUUCGGCCGGAGGUGGGAGACGAUGGGUGGGGUCCACCCGUCAGUGGCGGAGGGGAGCGGUAGACGGGCCGGCGCGACCGUGGGCUGGCGCGCGCUCGUGGGCUGCGGGGAGCGGGAGAGAAGCGGCGAGCGGGCGCUGGCGGAGCAGGCCGAGCGGAGGUAGAGCUGGGCCGCGGAGAAAAAGGAGGAGGCCGGCGGGCUGCUUCGCAGGCCGGUAAGGAUGAGGCGGCCGGGCCGAAGAAGAAAAAGAAAAGGAGGGACAAGGAGCUUUCGGCCGAGGGAAAAGAAGAAGAAAAAGAAAAGGAAGAAGAAAAGGGAAAAGGUUUUGGAAUUUGAAUUUAAAUCUGAAAUUCAAAAUUUGAUUCAAACUCAAGCAACCAAAAAUUAUGCUCCAGCAUGAAUGCACAAAUAAUUCCUAUGAUGAAUUAAUUGAAUUAAAGAAAAUGAAUUUAAAUGCCUAGAAAUUAAAUAACACCCUAAUUUGAGCAAAUUUUAAUGAAUUUGAAUUAUUGAAAUUUUGGGUGUUACAUUGGUACUACAUCUCAUGUAGUAGAGGCGAUUGUAAGAAGCAACUUGAAAAGAAGUUUGAUCACUACUAUUGCAAUAAAUGUGACAAGAGAGCCGAACCUAAAGCCCAGUAAAUUAUUUAGUAGUUUACAAUCUUAUUAUAAUACUUCUAUUUCUAAUAGGAGAAUAAUAUUUUCAGAUUCAAAUUAAGCUUCAAAUAAGUGAUCCAACAACAAGUGCAACUUGUGUACUUUUGACAAGGAAGCAGAAAUGAUAAUUAAUGAAUGAGCAGAUUCGAUGAUCACCUCAGUUGAUCAUGAUAAUAAGUAGCUACCAAAAUCAAUUCAGGAAAUAUGUGAAGAAACAUUGAUUUCUCAAUUCAGAUUGACCGAGUACAACUUGACAAGUUUUAGACCUGAUUAUACUGUUUCAAAGAUAUUUUUUCCAAAAGAAAAGGGCAGUUCAAGAAUUGGUAUGGAAAGUGUAAAAAAGGUAACACUUUAUUAUUAAUUUUUUAUUGCACUUUUUUCUUUUGAAUCCGUAAUACUUAAUAAUUUUACUAUAUCAAUGAAACAAAUUCUAACCUAAAUUUAUUUUCUUUUUUAUUAUUUGUAGGAAGUAGAAGACAACUCAGACAAAUGCUACACGAUAACUACCGAGAAUGAAGAGGUAGACACUGAUGACUCUUUUACCGAGAAAGUAACAUUCGUAGAAGAAGCCAUAAGGACUGGGGAAAGAUUGGCUAGAAAAGUAUACUCACUUCCAUGUCAGUGUUCAUUCUAUUUACAAUACAUGCAAAAAAAAUAUUAUUCAUGCAAAAUUGCAGGUCUACUAAGCAUUAAAGGAAUAGCGGAUAGUGCAAUAUGUAAUCUGAGCAGCAUGCAUUACAAAGUGCUCUACUGCAAUUAAAUUAAAAAACAUGAUAUAUGUUGAAUUCUUAGACUUUAUUAUUAUACUUUUCUACGUGACAAUUCACAAUUUUUUAGAAAAAAGAAGAUCCCAGAAGAAGUGACCAUGAAAAAAGGUCUAUGACCAGCAAUAAGAAAAAAUGCAAGCAUAGAAACAAAUCCGUAGAAAACAUAGAAAAUAAGGUACUCCAUAAACAAAAGUAUUCUCUUAUAUUUUUAUUAAAUAUUUUUUUAACACUUGACAAGUUCUUUUUUAGGAUCAAUAUAUCAGCAAUUCAGAUGUCAUUGGAGAUGAAACCUUAGUUCAUCCAAAAGGUCAAAAAAAAACAUCUGAAGAAAGGUGUUUGGCUGAAAAGGAAAAGCAAAAAAGUGGUAAUGCAGACAAACACAUGCAGAAAAAUAUAAAAACAUGUCAUAGGGAGGCAGACCAAUCUUGCAAGGAGGUAUAGACGAAACGUGAUACACGACCUGCCUACCUUGUCGUGGAUACCCCAAGAAGAUGUCAUAGAGGUGCAGACCAAGCUAGCAAGGAGGUCGAAACGUGAUACACGGCCUGCCUACCUUGCCGUGGAUAUUAGCCCUGAGAUCAUUCUACUGUUCAAGGAAUAACACUCAAUGCUGCUGCUGCUGCUGACCUGGCUCCAUAAAGUUAUACUCCUCUAGGUGCUUGCACUAACUUUAUCUGAAGUAUUAUUCUCUCUGCACUGUAUAUAUGGUUAUGGAGUUUGCUGGAGUAUCCGGGGCGAAGAACCUACAUAAUACGUCUUGGAACUAAUUGACAUUGAUUCACAGACAAACUCUACAAGGUGCUGUUCUUGCCAUUUUAGAGCAUCCAAAGGACUAUAAAUAACAUAGUUUACCAUAUACCAUAUACCAUAUACCAUAAUAUGUUAGCUAAAAUAAGAGCAUACACAUGUUGCAGGAGUCCAAAAGCACCGGUUGAGGACCAGGUACAUUGAAUUACUAGAAAAAGACAGGGGACAAGGUUUAGGUAACCACAUGAAACAUUUGAAUUUAUUGUACUAUGAACACUUAGUUACCAUGCCAGGAGCACAUAGUUAACACUAACAUUUAGCCACUUUAGAUCAUCCCGAAUCACCAAUGACCCUCAAUAGUGACAAAUUUUGGUUUAAAUGCCAUCACCAAUGAUCCUCAAUAGUGACGUAUUUAGGUUUAAAUCCCGUCACUAAUAACCCUCAAUAGUGACCUGUUUUGGUUUAAAUCUCAUUACCACUGAUCCUCAAUAGUGAUGUGUUUUAGCAAAACAUGUUAUCAAUGACUUGUCAUUGGUGACGUGUUAAAACGCGUUAUCUCAAUGGCAAAUCAUUGGUGACGUGUUAUCUCAAUGUUAUCAAUGUUCUAUUCUUUUCAACAAUACCAGCUCGUUCCUCCGUUUUUAUUCCACCAAUACAAGCACCACCUUGUAACAUUUCCUAUGUUUUUUUUCCUUUUGUCUGUUUUCUCACUACAUGCGUUGCUCUUUCAUGCAUUUUUUUCCAUUCCUGUAUUCCAAAUAGGUCUACAUGAACACAAAAUGAACUAGGGGACAGAAAAAGCCAGUGAAGCCAAUUUUGAGCUUCACCAGCUACUUGCUACAUAAAGUGUGCUAUAGUGACGUGUUUUAGCAAAACAUGUUAUCAAUGACUUGUCAUUGGUGACGUGUUAAAACGCGUUAUCUCACUGGCAAAUCAUUGGUGACGUGUUUUAAAAAAACAUGUCACCGUGAGAGUCAUUGGUGAAGGGUAAUUAAAAUGCGUCACUAAUGUUGUAGCAUUAGUUAUGAUAAUUUAGUAACGCAAAAAUCUACCAUCAGUAUUGAGCUUUAGAGCCAUCGCUAAUGUGGGUUUCUUACAUAGUGAUGCAAGCUCUACAAGGUGCUGUUGCUGCCAUUUUAAAGCAUCCCAUGACUACAUGUUAAUAACAUAGUUUACCAUAUAUCAUAAAAAUAUUAGUUACAAUAAGCACAUACGCAUGUGGAAGAGUCCGAAUGCACCGGUUGAGGACUAAACACAUUGAAUUACUAGAACCAAAUGUAUGUUUAGAACAAAGACAGGGGUCAAGGUUUGGGUAACCGCAUUAAAAACAUUGGAUUUUACUGUACAUGAACACUUAGUUACCAUUACCAUGCCUUGAGCACCUAGUUACAACAAACAUUAAUUUAGCCACUUUAGAGCUUCCAGAAUCGCUAUAAAUAAUAUACCUACGCCGUACCAUGAAAACAUCAAGAAGAGAGACGGAUACAUGGACCACCAUCAAGCGAGUAGUGACAGCACGCACAAGAAUACCCGGAACCUGUUAGCUUGUCUGUAGUGAUCUGUUUUCUUCCCCAUAAAAUCCAUGAGUAUUGCCACAAAUAAUGAAAGAGGCUGACCAAGCUAGCAAGGAGGUAGAGCAAACGUGAUACACGGCCUGCCAAGAUUGCCCUGGAUACGCCAAUAAGAGCGACAGAUACAUGGAUCACACCAAUAUGGUGAAACGUAUAUUCAUCACACAAGCAAAGCUGGUCAGUUUAUCCAUGGUCAAAUUGUGGUCUUUGUUUUCACUUGAGAGCUAAUUGAGGCACUAUAAUAUGGGCAGGCCUAUCUUCAACAGACAUGACAGCUACAGGGAACUUGACAUAAUUUGCUGGGCCGCCUGUGCACAAUUAUUUGUUUUAUUGUCCUUGCAUAGAAUGCUAAAAUACUCUUUACAAAAUGUUGGAUCUAAUAUUUGAAAUAUAGAGUAGUAAUCAUAUAUUGAUCAACAACUUGAAAUUAUCUGUACAUUCUCGGUGAAGCUGUUGAACUAAUUUUUGCAAAUUAUUAAUUCAUCUCAUUACGUAAAGAAAAAAGUAAGUGGAUAAGAUAUUUCGUGGACCACAUCACUGCAAACAUGUCAUGGAGAGACAGACCAAGGAGGCAGGACGUGAUACACGACUUACCCUAGGUUGCCGUGGAACCGCCAAGAAGAGAUACAGAUACAUGGACCACACCAUCUUGGGAGUAGUGACAGCAUAUAUGCAGAAGAAUACCCCGUGCCUAUUUGCAUGCAUGUCUCAAGUGAUCUGUUUUCUUCAGAAAAUACAUGAGCAUUGCCAGAAAGAAUGGCAAGAGACAAACAUGUCAUAGAGACUUGCAUGUCUUGCCUUGGAUACGCCAAGAAGAGGGACACAUACAUGGAUAACACAAAUCUAGUGACACGUAUAUUCAUCACAAAGGCAAAUCUGAUAAUUUUAUCCAUGGAGCAGACCAAGGAGAAAUUGAUGACGGACAUGUGAUCUCUGUAUUCAGUUGAAAGCUAAUUGAGCUACACUAAUAUGAGCAGGACUAUAUUCAAGAGACUUGUUGAGAGCUACAGGGAACUUGUAAUAAUUUGCUGGGCGGCCUGCGCACAAUGAUUUGUUAUACAUAGUUGAAAUAUUUCAAGAAUUUAUCAACCUCAUACUCUGAAACCCUUGGUGCAAUGUACUCUGCUUUCCGAGGUAGACUGUUCACGUAAAAUGAGGUCAUGCGUAAGACGGAAUCGGAUUGGAUUCACAGGGAAUCAGAUUUGGAUAGCACCUUUUAGCAGGUUUUUAGUCAAAUGCAAAUUCGGAUCCACAUGUGGUUGAAUGCGAGUUCAAAAUUCUACUUGGAUAUCCAUUUAAUUUAGGUGAUAGCAAUUAGCACAAAAUGUUGGAUGAACAAAAUCAUAGUUAGACAUACAAUUACAUGUAUGGUUAAAGUAUAAUACAAUACACCAAGAUUAUUCCUUGAAAAUAUUUCUUAAAAAUAUUAUAAUAAAUGAAUAAAUAUAAUUGUGGCCACCAACAAAUAGUCGGUGGUCGCUAAGUUGGAGCCAUUUCUGGUUACUAAUGCGGCCUUCUCCUCGACCAGCGACGACAGCUGAGCUUGUUCCUUCUGACACUAAAUCAUCAGAGUCUUCCCUCCACUACUAUAGAAUGCACCUUUAGCACCAAUUGGGAAAUCCCCUUCAGUAUUGGAUGCUGCAACCAGUGCUAUAUAUCAAAAUGGAGACUAAAAGCCUCGGUCUUGGGUACCGGUUGCAUAACGCAUUACUAAAGGAGGCAAAAGAGAAAUGUAACAAAAAAAAUAUUUUGAAUUCCAAGAAUGUUUCACUAUUCAAGAUGACUAGCUGAGAGUCAACAGACAAGAUACUAGGAAUGUGGGUGCUUGAAUGCAUUUGUACAGAGGUCAUACUAUUUACAAACUCUUCUAUGUUUCCAUAUGACUACCUACUUCAAUGUCACGCGAGCCAUUCAGCUGGACACAUGGCACACUAGCUUGCAUGUCGAAUCCAUGAUUAAUUAUUUGCACUUGUGAUCUCUUACCAGUAUUUGUCCAGACUAGAAACGUGCAACACAUUUUUAGGAUAUGGACACGCAUAUAUUUGGACUAGUAUACAGGUCACCUUUGGAUGCGUACAAGGAUGACCGGGAGGGACUAAUGGAUACAAGGAAGGGACCAUCAGGAUUAAUAUUGACAUAUGCCACAUGACAAUCUUCAUUGUCAUGCAAUCCCUAUCAACAAUCAUGGAAUCCCUAGUGUACUAAUCCCUGGAGGGUUGUGUGGAAAUUUAUUUUACCUUGCGGUGAAAAUCUCAUGAGCAGUCAUUAGUUAAGCUGACUAGCUGAGAUAUAAUAGACAAGCUAGUAAGAUUGGGAGCAUCAAUGCAUCCAUACAGGGUCACAAUAUCCUUUCCAUUCACUUUUAUAUAUAACCCUACGAAUACAAGUCCAACGAAAUGCGGGCCUUUCGAUCAAGAUAAAUUAAAUGGCCCACUUGUAUUUCUAAUCCAGGAUUAACUAUGCCCUCUGUUCAUCUCUUGCAAGCACGUGCAACACAUUUUCACGAUAUGGACAUGCAUGGAGGUUAUUAUACUGUUUGGACAAACUCUGAUGUGCCAUGACCUAAAUGCUUAGGGCCUGUUUGGUUUGAGUUGCUUAUUAUAAGCAACUUAAAGUUGCUUAAAGUUGCUUAUUUGAAGUUGCUUAUUUUUAGUCUAAACUGUUUGGAUACCCUUGCUUAUGAGCAUUGAAUGAGUUGGACAUUGUCAAAUUUGCCCCAUGUGUUGCUACCCCUCCAAUUUGCCUCCCCACCCUUCUUCUUCCUGCACACGUCCGAUCCCGGGGGCCGACGGCGGGCAGGGAGCAGCAGCAGCUGGCCAGGGCGGCGGUGGGGCGGGAGCGGCGGCGCACACCAGCACGCGCUCGCACGCCAGGUGCUAGGGCGCGGCGAGGCAGUCGUCGUAGCCCACCGGGAGCGGGUGCUCGGGCGCGAGGCGGUACUCGACGGAGAUGCCGAGCGUCGGGCGCGCGGCGGCGAGCGCGUUGAGGAAGCGAUGGUAGUGCGGCGACGUCGCGGACUCCGCCACGAAGCCGCCGCCGUGGACGUACACCACCACGGGCAGCUUCGUCUUGCCGUCGGCGGCCGCGGCCGCGGCCUGGGGUGGCAGGUAGAGGCGGACGGAGCAGGAGCCGAGGUCGACGUCCCUGGAGUCGACGCCCGUGGCGGCGUCCAGGCUGGGCCCGACCGGCGGCGGCACGAGCGGGCGCUCGAUGCGGCCGCUCUUGUAAAUCCGACGGGUCUGUGCGGAGGCGGGCGGCGGGCGGGAGCGGCGGGUGGGAGCGGCGGCAGGUGGUGCGGAGGCCGGCGGCGGCGGGUGGCGCGGAGGAAGGGGAGCUGGUGAGUGGUGACAGGGGAGGGGGGGAGAGAGAGGGGGGGUAGGGUGCAUUGAAUGAGGGCAGGAGGUGUAAAGUGCACCUUUUAGUCCCCAUGAGCAACCAUAAGCAGCCCAAGAGUUGCUUAUUUGCUUAUAAUAAGCAACCUCAUAAGCAAGAGUGAUUGGUUUCAUAAGCAACUUAUUUGCUUAUUUUAAGUUGCUUAUGCAUAAGCAUGUGAAACCAAGCAGGUCCUUAACCUAUGGUUGUGGCACCACACAGUACAUAGUAUUUAAUAAUGCUAUUCGUUUGGUAUGUGCACAAGGGCACGCAUGAAAUGUCUGGCCCACGGUAAACAAGUACGGACGCUGCAAAUAAUCUACUCUGCUCGUCCAGUCCCUAGCCUAUAAAUAGAUGCCAUGCUAGCUCUUGUUGUGCUCACAAUUAAUCCUGACUACACACGAGCUUCUCUCCCUGGCCAAGACACAAUCAUAGUAUGAUGAAGAACAUGGCACUAGCCGGCAAUGGUAUGAAGAACUUAAUCCUCGCUGUUCUCUUACUGUGUCUAGUUAUAGGGCAGAUACAAGUGGAAGCUAAGAGCUGCUGCCCAUCCAUUACUGCAAGAAAUAUCUACAAUGCCUGCCGUAUCACGGGUACAUCCCGUCCAACGUGUGCAAAACUGUCAGGCUGCAAAAUUAUCAGCGGGGACAAAUGCAAGCCCCCUAACGACCACCUCACCCUUGACCCGGACACUGGUAAAUAAUAAAUUUAUCUCACUUGAUUUCUUCGUGUUUUGAGUCGUUAAUGUAUUUUCCAUCUGAUGAAACGUAUUGGUUUUGCAUUGAAGAGGAAGUUAAUGUGCUUAACUUCUGCAAGUUGGGGUGUGCGUCGUCUGUGUGCAACAACAUCAACGCUGGUAAGCACCUUUUGCUCAGACGGAGAAAACAAUAAUCAUUAAUUAGCGGCAGCUAGAAUCCUAUAAUCUAAUAUAUUUAUAUAUAUAUAUAAUUUUAUCAGCUCUGGGAAAUGAAGAGGCGAACGAUGCCGUUGAGAGUUGCGACCAAGCCUGCUCUAGCUUCUGCAACGUGCACGUUGGCGCUGCCACCGUGGUUGCUUAAGCAAAUGCAUCCAACUGGAUCGUCCUUGUGCUAAAUAAUUGGAUAUCGUAUCCACUUAAAGCUGCCUUGUGUAGUACGUUUUUGUUUGUGUCUCUCUUUAUAUUCCAAUAAGGUCGGUGAUCUUGAUGCCACACACUCAGACGUGUGUUCAUCUCCAGAUACUACUCCAUGCUACCUGCCCUUUGUGUUUUGUUCAAUAACUGGGUAUCAUAUCCCAGCCAGUGUGCCAUCUGUUUUGUGUUUAUUUCCUUCUAGUUUCAAAGGGGUUAUCAUGAUGUUACCUUCUUUCGAUAUGGUGCUUUGCAUGACUACUGUUGUAUGGUACCAUCUUGUUGGCCAAUAAAUACAUCUUAUCCUAUGACCCUUUGCUAUGACCCUUUGCAAAUAAGUACAAGAUUGUUAAAUACUCGGUAUAAAUUGACUACUGCUGUGAGUUCCCUUUCAGCUUAUCGUAGGCAUACAUUAUUGCUAGCACGGUGAAGACAACCAACACGAAUGGUCAAGUAAACGUACCGGUACUUUUGUAUACCAACACCCUUGCUUAAAUGUACCGGUGUUACUCCCCACUAGCACAUAUAUUCUUAUAUGCUAGCCGGCUUGAAAAUUAACCGAUUAAAAUAAUUAUUUCAAGACAGAAAUAACUUAUCGGCUUCUCGAAGCAUGUGUAAUGUGAAUUCAAGGACUUGAUGGAAGUUGAAUCGCUUAAUCUAGAUUGCUUUCAGGAUUUUGGGUAACUAAAUUUAACAUUUGCACAUACAAAUGUUAAUGUACAAAUAUUAAAUAUAGUUACCCAAGCAGAAUAUGAAGAUACUCUAUAGUAUAUAUAUACUAUAUAAAUCUAGUUAACAUUUAGUCUAAAUGUUAAAUCUAGUUACCUAAAAUCCUGAAAGCAAAAUGUAUAAAUAUAUAUCUUUUAAGGAAUCCCAAAGCAAGAGUUCAGUGGCAUUCUAUAGUCCCAUGCUGCUAGUUUGAGUUGGUCGAAGCCAACUUAAAUAGGAGAGCUCUCUCACUUCUCUAAAUACGUAACUGAAGGAGAGAAGGGGGCUUGGUUACACAACGCACGCACGCACGCAUAUUUGCGUUCUUUUCGCGUAACCAACCGCGUGACUUGAAACUUGCGACGUAGCGUGCUGCCAAGUCAAGUUGAUAUAACCUUUUUGCCGUAGGCGUGUAAUCUUUUGACAACGGUCAUUGGAGGUGAUAAGCACGCAGUCAAUACCUUAAUCCUGAGUUAAUAGGGCGGUUACUACUGCCAAUUAGUGGGGCAAUUUUGUAGGGGAAACGGUUAGCAGAGGGCUACCAUCUUCUCUAUAAGAAGUUCUGGAGACGUCCAGGAACACACAUGUACAUGUGAGAGACCCACGAAUUCCUUCCCAUCUCCCUUUUCCAUCUGGUGAAGUGUGCUAUGGUACUGAGCUGCUGGAUCUCGCCGGCUCUUCUCCUUGGCGUGCACCGAGGAGGAGGGUGAGCGGUAUCUCCGAGCUAUUGCCGUCAGGAAGCCUGCACGAGGGACAACAAUAAAGUUUUUGGGUAGCGCAACUACGCAACCGCUCGAUUCGAUCGACUAUGUUCUGCGCUGCCUCAUCUUCGAUCUGCACUGCAACACGUAACCCUGCAGCAAGUCUACACAAGGACGGAGCACUAAUCUGUAAGUCCUAGAUUGGUUUCUUACAGAGUUGUAGGUUACACAAGAUCUAGAAUUGUUACAUACUUAUUAUUAUGGGUUACAUGAUGUUUUGUACGGUUACGUCUAUUUUGCAUAUGCUAUUUUUACAUACCGUUUACAUGCAUAUGUAAUGGUUACGCCUAGCUAUUUGAAUCUAGAAUUGGGUUACAUAGCAGUAGCAAUGACUUACGUAAUAUGCCUCAUGUUUAUAUCUGGUAGAAUUUAACACGUAUCUCCAACAUAUUUUGAGGCAGUAUAAAUUUCAAUUCCUUUUGCUGCUCUGUUAAAUCCCGUCUUUCGUGUGGCCCAACACUCUAGUAUGCAUGUAGCACCAAGCUUGUUUGAGCCGCUUUGUGCUCUGAUUUUGCUGUCUGUAUCAGGUUGGACUGUUUCUUUGUCUUGCGAUGUAUAGCUUCAUAUCUUCUAGAGGUUAGACAGCAAAACCCGCGUUCUCUUAAGGCAACAACUCGAAGAAUCUGCAGCGCUCCUGAUAUAUCACUGCUGCAGAAACAAUCUUUAGUACUGAUUUCCAACCCCCUUUAGUAUCGGUUUGGCAAUCAGUACCACUACGUCGGUACUAAAGGGAGUUCUCUAGAAUCGGGUCAAAUAACUGGUACUAAAAGUGCUCCUCUACUACCAGUUGGUAACACCAAUAGGUAGUAACUUUUUUUGCACCCAAAAAAUUAAAGAAAAACAGCCGGGAGGCUCGCGCACACACGCAUCAUGAGUAAUAUGCGCGUGCAUGGUUUGUGGGAUUCCAACCCACGACCAAGCUAUAAGCACGUAGUUACAAAAAAAUUAAACACUUAGACAUUUUAGAGCAUCCCAAAUAACUACAAAUUCUUUAGUUUACCAUAUACCAUAAAAUAUUAGUUAAAAUAAGAGCAUACGCACGUCGGAAGAGUCCCAAUGCACCGGUUGAGGAUCAGACCAGGCACUUUGAAUGCACAUGCCAUAAGAUAAUUCUGCAGGACGAUGAUUGCAAUAAUGGACCAUCGAGAAGAUAGGGGCGAUGGGGUUGCCUCAUCAAUUAUGACUUGGCGCAACAAGACCAGCAAAGUCUUUAUCGACAGGGGUGGAUCAAGGGGUGGGGCGGGUAGAGCUCCAAUCUUCCUACCGCCGCUCGAACAAUGGAGCCCCCCUUAGCCCCUCCAUAAAUUUUUAGGUAGAAGAAAAAAGAAGAGAAGGGAAGGAAGGGGAAGAAUAGGGAGCCCCUCCUAAGUAGGUCGCCAUCGUGCUUCCCAACGCAUGAUCGCCGCACCGCAUCCAUUCCUCUACAAGCCUCCAGCGUCUCUCCUGCCGCUACCUCUGAACCAUGUGCAGCUGCAGACCCAACUAGUGUCUUGUCACCCAUCUCAAUCCCAACAGAGCGGCGGCUCCUGCCAGCACAAAUCUCCCUCCGCCUGUUCUUCACGAUCGAUGGCCACCACAAGCAUAAACCUCGCCUUCGCAUCCACGCAAAAGGGUCGCCGGUGUGCCUUCUCGCAUCGCUUCUCAGCCUCCUUCACUUGCGGCUGGCCAAGAACCGUGCCACCACCUCGGGUGCGCGCCACCGCUCCAGGGCCGCUACCCCAUGCGUGCGGCCGCCGCCGGCCACCACGCGUGUGCAACCGUGUCGCACCGCUUCCCUGCUCUGUGCCACCACUGCUACUGCACCACCAGCUCCACCACCUUGGGCUGGUCGCCAGGGUGACUGAUUGGUGGAUUAUUACUACAAAUAAGUUCCUUAUUAUCUGCAACUACUAUUAACUCAGGGAUACAUGCGUCUUUUGCUUCUCCUGUUAAUAUGUCCUAAAAUAUCUAGAAUGCCUUAUAUUUCUGGACGGAGGAAGUAUUUGAAUAAAAUGAACCAAUUUUAAAAAAUGUGUUGUACACUACUACAGAAAGAACUAUCAGUGUCAAACCCAAAAAUGUCGUCACUGCCAGUUUUGGGCAUCGUUGGUGAAAGGUUGGCGGUGAUGGGUAUCCCCUUCAACAACGGCACUAGAGCUAACAGUGAUUGACAUUAGAAAACGAAAAAGGGGACCCACCUAGCCACCCCUGCAACCCGGCUGGCCGUGCCUCCCGUCAUCCCCACCACCUCGCCUCCCCCGUGACCCCCCGCCGGCGCCCUUGCGCCUAGCCCCCUCGCCUGCCUGGCCGGCCACCCUCGUCACGAGAGAGAGGGGUGCAUGUUGUAUAAUUGCGUGAAUUUUUAAUGUUUAAUUUCAUGUAAGUUUCAUAUAAUAAAUUGUACAAGUUUUAUUGUAUAUAUGAAUUCCAUAUAUAUAUAUUUAUAAUUUAAUGUAUGGUUUCAUGUGUAUAUUUCAAUAAUGUGUAUAUUUAGUAGAUAGCCGAUUUUCUUUUUCUACAAGACAAGGGUUGAUGUAUAAUUACGUGUAUAUGUUUAUUGUACGGGCAAUUAGGACAAGUUUUGUAUAAAUUUCUUUUAUUUCAUGGUUGUUGUAUGGUUUCAUGUAUAUACAUUUAUUGUACUACUUGAGACAAUUUUUAAUUUAAUGUUUCUAUGGUUACAUGUGUGUAUAACUAAUUGUAUUAUUAGUUAAGAUGGGAGCCAAAGAGGAUGAAAGGUAUAUAAUGGAGCAGAUUAUUGCUGGCGGUAGUGGCUCAAACGUUGCAAGAACCUACAUCAAGGGUGAGGGUAGCUAGGUGGACAUGUACCUCAACAUGUCCAGUGAUGGCAAUGACGAUGAGGAGCACGAGCAUGACGUUUAUGAUAGUGCGGAACAAGACAUUGCAGAAUUGGAAGGUUCUAAUGAGGUGUGCUUCAUGUUGAUGAUCUGGUUGGCUUUUUUUCUUUGGUCACACCUUAGUUACCAUAGAACUUCGUCUCGGGAGAAGAUUGGAGGUGCUAUGGUGAUUGGAAUUUUAUUGCCUCCAAAUAUGAUUUCCAUCGAAUCAUAUCCCUUGUAUUUAUCUUCUUUUUAUUUGUGAGAGCAUCUUCUUUAUGCUUGCAAAACAAUUCAAGUGCACAUACUACACCUAGGGUGAUGAUUAGGAGUAGAAACAAUUGCCAACAAACGAACACCACAUCCUAAGAUUCUUAACUUGUGGUAUAAUUAGUCUAGUAAAAAGAAAGAUAAAAACCUAAUGGGUGUACGUGAGUGCAAUGCGUAUAUGCAUAUGAGUGGAAGGCAUAUAAGCAAAGAUAAUAUUUACACAUAGAUCUAAGCACCAUGUUUACAACUAAGUUGCUGAAUUUCUCCAUAGCUAUAGAGAUUAAUGAACCAAGGUCAAAACACCAUGUCUAUCCCAAGAUCAGUAAUUCUUUAUAGCACAAGAAAAAGAAAGCGCAUUGCAAAGUUUAUAAACCAACCAAUGCAGCAUGAAAACAAGAUGAAUAGCUAGCAAGGUUUAUUAAACUGAAUGAUGACGGUCUGCAAGCAAGUUUGAACACCAUCUUUACACAAGAUUGCAAAUGGAAAAUUCCCAUAUGAAGAACUAACAUGGAUAUGAAAUCAUUCAUCAUAAAGCGUAAAGAACAACCAAGCCAACCAUAUGCAAAGCAUGAAUGGAAUGCAAUGAAGGUGCAAGAGAACAUUUUUGGAUGAACCCAUUAUGAUGAUGGCAAAAUGCGCCGUGCCCCCCAGCCCCCGCGGUGAGAUCCCGCCGCUCGCUGCCGCCAGACCCUAUUAGGCCUCCACCGGCAGGUCCACCCACGGUCCCGCGCGACGUGGCAGCCUCUUGGCUCUCGGCGCUCGCGGCACGCCAGUGCUGGCGCAGCCCCACCAGGCGACUACCCUCCCCCCAUAAGGCCUCGGCCCCUCCCCAGCGCCGCCCCCCAACACCAGGACUGCCUGCUGCCCCCCACCGUGAGGUAAUCGAAAUCGACUGCUCAAUCUCUCAAUCUGUUGAUAUGAUGCACACGGUUGCAAAAAUAGAUGUGUCAAAAUAGAUGUUUUGCCAAUUGCUAUAGAUGCAUACGGUUGACAUGAAGUCAAAAAUGACAUUUGGUUCCUUGUAGGCAGUCAAAAAUGAAGAAGUCAAAAAAUAUUGAUCUGAAAUCAAUGUGGGAAAGGGCUAUGAAGACACGCAGGUAGAUUCCCUUGUGAACUUUUUAUGUCGUUCGUCUAAAUAAUUUUUUGCAAUGGGCAUACCCUACUCUGAAAUCCUGGGUCCGCCACUGAUGAUGAUGGUCUAAAAAUAAACCAAGCCUAGAUUAAUUAGCCACAACUGAAAUUAAGCAAAGGUUAAUGUCAUUGACCCUAGCUCUAUCCUAGCUUUUACCAAAGUUCCGGCACAUAUAGUGGUUGGGCCCACUCUCUCUGCUUCCCUCUCUGCUGCAUGCACGCACACGAGCAACGGGAGGCCCGACGAAGCCCAGAAGGGUUCGGCCGAACCAGUAUGAGCGCCGCUCCCUCCCAGCCUUCGCGCAGAUGCUCCUCCAACGUUCCUUGACCCCUCCCUCAGCGUCCCGUUGGGUUUAACAUUGCAGGAGAGGAGUCCCUUUUUUAAAAUCUCAACCACCUCCUCUCCCCAUUCACUCCACUCUCAUCUCCAUCAAACUCACCAAGAUCCGCACCGGAAAUCCCUGCUUACCACCAUGGCUGGCAAAGCCCUCAUCCCUUUCACCAACUUGGGCUUGACCACUGAUCUCGAUGGGGAAAUCACUCUGGCAAAUAUGCGUGUAACACUGCCCCCUUUGCCGAGGGUUAAAGCCAAAACACUCAGCAAAGUGGAUAGUACCCCCCUUUUUACCCGUUUUGUCAUGUAUAACGGACCCCUCUCAAUUCACAAUAGACAUCAUCAUAGGCAUUUAUAAUAAACAAUCACAGGCAUAAUUCACAAUCACCAUUACAAGCAUUAUUCAUAAAUAUCACAGACAUAAUCCAAAGUAAGCAUGAAACAAGCCAUAAAUCCAAGUUCAAGUCACAACUAAGUUUCAUCCAAGUUCAAGUCACAAAUGCAAUGUCUAAAUCCAUGGAGGCCAAGGAGACCACUGCGACAAAUCUUGGUCUUCAUUAUUCGAAGCCGCCGAUUGAUUCUGCACAUAGGAUAGGACAUUCUGAGCUAACAUCUAAAGUUGUCAAAAUUAAAGUAUUCAAUCUUAAGCACAAUGUGUCAAAUGACUCACAGGAGUAGUUGUGGGUGGCUGAGGCGGAGGGAACAGCAUCGAUGGCGGUGGCAAAGAUUGACCCAUGCUCGAAGCAAAAUUCUGCAUGUACUGGAACAUCUGGUCCAUCCUCAUCCGAUUUUCUUCCUCCAUCCUCUGCCGCUCGGCCUCUAACCUCCGCUGAACCAUCUGCUCCAUCCUCGCCGCCAUCUCCUCUUGUUGCUUCCUUGCUGCUUCCACCUGGGCCUACAAUAUUUCAUUGCAAUGUUACAAUGCAAAGCUAAAGUAUAGCAACCAACGAACAAUGAAUGGAAGAGAAAGAACCUGGAGAGCCUCCAUCUGGAACUGUCCAAUGGUUGGUCGUAGCCGUAUCGCCGGGCUCGAGUCCGUGCUCCUUGCUUGGAUCUGGGAGAGAGUGGCAGUAGAGGCCGUGUUGAUUACGCCGUCGCCAAUCCAAUAUCGGCCAUGCUUCUUGCCUCCUCCCACCCUCAUCACGAUUUCUCCAUCAAUAUCCUCAGAGCUUGAAUCGAAGUCUGGCCCGUGAACCUCCCUUGCCAUCACUGUAUAUUCCUUUGCCGAGUGCCCGAGAUAAAGCACUCGGCAAAUAGAAAACACUCGGCAACUUUACUGUUUCCCGUAGUGUCGCUAUUUUUGCAGGUUCUCGACCAGGCCAGUUCUUUGGGCCAACCUAUCAUUCACGACUUAAACAUACGGUGGCUGUAGAAAUGUUCUAUUCUUUUCAACAAUACCAGCUGGUUCCUCCGUUUUUAUUCCACCAAUACAAGCACCACCUUGUAACAUUUCCUAUGUUUUUUUUUCCUUUCGUCUGUUUUCUACAUGCGUUGCUCUUUCAUGCAUUUUUUUCCAUUCCUGUAUUCCAAAUAGGUCUACAUGAACACAAAAUGAACUAGGGGACAGAAAAAGCCAGUGAAGCCAAUUUUGAGCUUCACCAGCUACUUGCUACAUAAAGUGUGCUAUAGUGACGUGUUUUAGCAAAACAUGUUAUCAAUGACUUGACAUUGGUGACGUGUUAAAACGCGUUAUCUCAAUGGCAAAUCAUUGGUGACGUGUUUUAAAAAAACAUGUCACCGUGAGAGUCAUUGGUGAAGGGUAAUUAUAAUGCGUCACUAAUGUUGUAGCAUUAGUUAUGAUAAUUUAGUAACGCAAAAAUCUACCAUCAGUAUUGAGCUUUAGAGCCAUCGCUAAUGUGGGUUUCUUACAUAGUGAUGCAAGCUCUACAAGGUGCUGUUGCUGCCAUUUUAAAGCAUCCCAUGACUACAUGUUAAUAACAUAGUUUACCAUAUAUCAUAAAAAUAUUAGUUACAAUAAGCACAUACGCAUGUGGAAGAGUCCGAAUGCACCGGUUGAGGACUAAACACAUUGAAUUACUAGAACCAAAUGUGUGUUUAGAACAAAGACAGGGGUCAAGGUUUGGGUAACCGCAUUAAAAACAUUGGAUUUUACUGUACAUGAACACUUAGUUACCAUUACCAUGCCUUGAGCACCUAGUUACAACAAACAUUAAUUUAGCCACUUUAGAGCUUCCAGAAUCGCUAUAAAUAAUAUACCUACGCCGUACCAUGAAAACAUCAAGAAGAGAGACGGAUACAUGGACCACCAUCAAGCGAGUAGUGACAGCACGCACAAGAAUACCCGGAACCUGUUAGCUUGUCUGUAGUGAUCUGUUUUCUUCCCCAUAAAAUCCAUGAGUAUUGCCACAAAUAAUGAAAGAGGCUGACCAAGCUAGCAAGGAGGUAGAGCAAACGUGAUACACGGCCUGCCAAGAUUGCCCUGGAUACGCCAAUAAGAGCGACAGAUACAUGGAUCACACCAAUAUGGUGAAACGUAUAUUCAUCACACAAGCAAAGCUGGUCAGUUUAUCCAUGGUCAAAUUGUGGUCUUUGUUUUCACUUGAGAGCUAAUUGAGGCACUAUAAUAUGGGCAGGCCUAUCUUCAACAGACAUGACAGCUACAGGGAACUUGACAUAAUUUGCUGGGCCGCCUGUGCACAAUUAUUUGUUUUAUUGUCCUUGCAUAGAAUGCUAAAAUACUCUUUACAAAAUGUUGGAUCUAAUAUUUGAAAUAUAGAGUAGUAAUCAUAUAUUGAUCAACAACUUGAAAUUAUCUGUACAUUCUCGGUGAAGCUGUUGAACUAAUUUUUGCAAAUUAUUAAUUCAUCUCAUUACGUAAAGAAAAAAGUAAGUGGAUAAGAUAUUUCGUGGACCACAUCACUGCAAACAUGUCAUGGAGAGACAGACCAAGGAGGCAGGACGUGAUACACGACUUACCCUAGGUUGCCGUGGAACCGCCAAGAAGAGAUACAGAUACAUGGACCACACCAUCUUGGGAGUAGUGACAGCAUAUAUGCAGAAGAAUACCCCGUGCCUAUUUGCAUGCAUGUCUCAAGUGAUCUGUUUUCUUCAGAAAAUACAUGAGCAUUGCCAGAAAGAAUGGCAAGAGACAAACAUGUCAUAGAGACUUGCAUGUCUUGCCUUGGAUACGCCAAGAAGAGGGACACAUACAUGGAUAACACAAAUCUAGUGACACGUAUAUUCAUCACAAAGGCAAAUCUGAUAAUUUUAUCCAUGGAGCAGACCAAGGAGAAAUUGAUGACGGACAUGUGAUCUCUGUAUUCAGUUGAAAGCUAAUUGAGCUACACUAAUAUGAGCAGGACUAUAUUCAAGAGACUUGUUGAGAGCUACAGGGAACUUGUAAUAAUUUGCUGGGCGGCCUGCGCACAAUGAUUUGUUAUACAUAGUUGAAAUAUUUCAAGAAUUUAUCAACCUCAUACUCUGAAACCCUUGGUGCAAUGUACUCUGCUUUCCGAGGUAGACUGUUCACGUAAAAUGAGGUCAUGCGUAAGACGGAAUCGGAUUGGAUUCACAGGGAAUCAGAUUUGGAUAGCACCUUUUAGCAGGUUUUUAGUCAAAUGCAAAUUCGGAUCCACAUGUGGUUGAAUGCGAGUUCAAAAUUCUACUUGGAUAUCCAUUUAAUUUAGGUGAUAGCAAUUAGCACAAAAUGUUGGAUGAACAAAAUCAUAGUUAGACAUACAAUUACAUGUAUGGUUAAAGUAUAAUACAAUACACCAAGAUUAUUCCUUGAAAAUAUUUCUUAAAAAUAUUAUAAUAAAUGAAUAAAUAUAAUUGUGGCCACCAACAAAUAGUCGGUGGUCGCUAAGUUGGAGCCAUUUCUGGUUACUAAUGCGGCCUUCUCCUCGACCAGCGACGACAGCUGAGCUUGUUCCUUCUGACACUAAAUCAUCAGAGUCUUCCCUCCACUACUAUAGAAUGCACCUUUAGCACCAAUUGGGAAAUCCCCUUCAGUAUUGGAUGCUGCAACCAGUGCUAUAUAUCAAAAUGGAGACUAAAAGCCUCGGUCUUGGGUACCGGUUGCAUAACGCAUUACUAAAGGAGGCAAAAGAGAAAUGUAACAAAAAAAAUAUUUUGAAUUCCAAGAAUGUUUCACUAUUCAAGAUGACUAGCUGAGAGUCAACAGACAAGAUACUAGGAAUGUGGGUGCUUGAAUGCAUUUGUACAGAGGUCAUACUAUUUACAAACUCUUCUAUGUUUCCAUAUGACUACCUACUUCAAUGUCACGCGAGCCAUUCAGCUGGACACAUGGCACACUAGCUUGCAUGUCGAAUCCAUGAUUAAUUAUUUCCACUUGUGAUCUCUUACCAGUAUUUGUCCAGACUAGAAACGUGCAACACAUUUUUAGGAUAUGGACACGCAUAUAUUUGGACUAGUAUACAGGUCACCUUUGGAUGCGUACAAGGAUGACCGGGAGGGACUAGAAAUGGUCUAGUUUUGAUUGGACUACAAAACUUUUUGUACAGUGAAUAGAGAAUAUAUAUUAUUGUUGGAAUACGAGGUAGGCUACACUAUCGCAAUUCUGAUAUUCUACCGCGUAUAACCAAGAAGAACUGUCGUAUAAGGAUCACGGGAUUACCACUCGACGCACUACUGGUGCGGAAGAUGUAGAUAUGCGUCGAUGCAGUGAAGACGAUCACGUAGUCGUAUGUAGUCGAUCAACGUAGUCGUACAUAGUCGAUCACGUCCAGCAGCUCCUCAGCAGCUCGUCCACGUGCAGCAAGAUCGCCUCCGGUACCGCGGCUCGUCGUUGGCUUGUCGUGGCUCGUCGACGGCUCGUCGGCGGCUCGUCCAAGUGCUGCAGGCGCAACACCUCCAAGGUAUCCACACGUGCAGGGAGGAAGCGUCGCAAGCCGGACUGCUAGAUCCACGAGUUGCAACAGGCGAGGGCGUGGGAGGCGCGGCAGGUGUGUUUCGCCAAAAAGGUGUAAACCCUAGGGCGCCCCCACCCCUCUAUUUAUAGAGGUUCCUGACGGGCCUCUGGAUCCGAGGCCCAUUAGUACUUCUAAACCUAAUCCAACUCGGAUCAGAUCCGAAUUGGGCUUCCAGCCCCUUAAGUGUGUGACCCUAUAAGUUCGGAUACGUAUAGACAUGGCCCGAGUACUCCUACUCGGCCCAAUAGUCGGUAGCGGCCUCUAGCAAGACGUGCCAACUCCUAUACGCACACGAAGAUCAUAUCAGACGAACCAUCACAACAUAAUAUACAUGCUAUUCCCUUUGCCUCACGAUAUUUGGUCUAGCUUCAAGCCGACCGCUCUUUCUCAGUCCUGUGAUUCGGAAUCCCUUUGUAGGUUAACUCUUAACCGUACGUAGCAUGGCCAUGCAUUUUCGGAUCUGAUCACUCGAGGGGCCCAGAGAUAUCACUCUCAAUCAGAGAGGGGCAAAUCCCAUCUUGAUUGACCAUGUCUCAUAGCAUGCUUCUUGACAAACCUAAAAACUACCUUUAUAACUUCCCUGUUACGGCGUAGUGUUUGAUAGCUCCUAAGUAGGUCGAUCCACAUCUAGAAUACAUGCGACAAUUUCAGGUCUAAGGACAAAGCGUAUAUGUUGUUUAAAGAGAGAACUACUUCUCGUGUUGGGUCAGUCCCAGCACAUGUCUCCACAUGUGUCCACAUUAUUAGUUCAACAUCUCCAUGUCCAUGACUUGUGAAACAUAGUCAUCAACUAAUACAUGUGCUAGUCUAAUAUUCAUGUGUGUCCUCACAUGAACUCCGACUAGGGACAACUUUAGAAUAACCAUACAAGUAAAGAGUUUCACAUACAAUUCACAUAAUUGCAAAUCAAUUCAAGUAGCCUUCAAUGGAUAUUCAAUGAACACAACAUACAAAUCAUGGAUACAAAUGGAAUAUCAUCAUCUCUAUGAUUGCCUCUAGGGCAUACCUCCAACAGUCUCCCACUUGCACUAGAGUCAAUCUAGAAGGUACCUAAUACCCAUAGCUCUUACAUGCGCAUCAUGCUUAGCCUGCGGGAGUGGUUUUGUCAACGGAUCAGAAAUGUUCAGAUCCGUGUGUAUUUUGCAUAUCUUGAUCUCACCCCGGUUAACGAAGUCUCGAAUGAGAUGAAAUCGCCGCAUUACAUGUUUGUUCUUCUGGUGGUUCCUUGGCUCCUUUGCUUGCGCAAUUGCCCCAUUGUUAUCACAGUAGAGAUUCAAUGGGCUGGACCCAUUCGGGAACACACCAAGCUCAAUGAGGAAAUUCCUUAUCCAAACACCUUCCUUCGCGGCUUCCGAAGCCGCGAUGUACUCGGCUUCUGUCGUAGAAUCGGCCACCGUCUCCUGCUUGGAACUCUUCCAACUAACAGCACCACCAUUUAGCGUGAACACAAAUCCUGUUUGUGACUUUGAAUCAUCUCUGUCGGUUUGGAAACUAGCAUCGGUGUAACCUGUUACAACGAGCUCCUCCUCACCUCCAUAGACGAGGAAUAUAUCUUUAGUCCUUCUCAAGUACUUAAGAAUGUUUUUCACCGCUGUUCAGUGACUCUCACCUGGAUCAGAUUGGUGUCUGCUUGUCAUACUUAGCACAUAUGAAACAUCUGGGCGAGUACUUAUCAUUGCAUACAUGAUAGAUCCAAUAGCCGAGGCAUAUGACACUCUACUCAUGUGAUCCCGCUCAUCAGCAGUCGAAGGACACUGAGUCUUGCUGAGAUGUAUGCCAUGUGACAUAGGCAAGAACCCUUCCAUGCUGAACCGCUUCAACACUUUGUCAAUGUAAGUAUCUUGGCUUAAACCUAUAAGCCUUCUCGAUCUAUCUCUAUAGAUCUUAAUGCCCAGAAUAUAUGCCGCUUCCCCUAAGUCCUUCAUCGAAAAACUAUUUUUCAGUGAAGUCUUUAUGGACUCAAGCAUAGGAAUGUUAUUUCCAAUCAGUAAUAUGUCAUCCACAUAUAAGAUUAGAAAUACUACAGAGCUCCCACUAACCUUCUUGUAAACACAAGACUCUUCUUCGUUCUUGGUGAAGUCAAACCCUUUGACCACUUCAUCAAAACGAAUGUUCCAACUCCUAGAUGCUUGCUUCAAUCAAUAAAUGGAUCUCUGAAGCUUGCAUACCUUUCCAGCAUUUUUCGGAUCGACAAAACCCUUGGACUGUAUCAUAUACACGUCCUCAGUUAGGUUUCCAUUCAGGAAAGCUGUCUUGACAUCCAUCUGCCAUAUCUCAUAAUCGAAAUAUGCAGCCAAACUUGAUUGUCUCCCAUGGACUCUAUUUCGGAUUGCAUGGCAUUCUGCCAUUUUUCGGAGUCUGGGUCCAUCAUUGCUUCUGCAUAUGUCACAGGCUCAUCAUUGUCCAACAAUAAUAUUUCCUGCAUUUCGCGGAGCCUUGCCGACCUUCGUGGUUGUGGCGGUGCUUCUCUUGCCAUGGGUAUCUCAACUUGUUCUGCUACGUUAGCAUCACUCAUUGAUUCUUGCCCGAUCGGCUCAUCUUGAACUUCUUCAAGAUGCACUGUCUUUCCACUCUUUUCUCCUUUGAGAAACUCUUUCUCUAGGAAAACCCCGUUCCGAGCGACAAACACUUUGCCUUCUGAUCAGUUGUAAAAAUAAUAUCCCAAAGUUUCCUUUGGAUAUCCCACGAAAAUGCACUUAUCCGACUUGGGUGCGAUCUUGUCCGACUGAAGUCGCUUGACAAACACAUCACAUCCCCAAAUCUUUAGAAAAGACAAACUAGGAACCUUUCCAGUCCAUAUCUCAUAUGGUGUCUUAACUACGGAUUUAGAUGGUACCCUAUUAAGUGUGAAAGCUGCUGUUUCUAGAGCGUAUCCCCAAAAUGACAACGGUAGGUCCGACUGGCUCAUCAUUGAUCGAACCAUGUCUAACAAAGAUCGAUUACGUCGCUCGGACACACCGUUUCUCUGAGGUGAUCCAGGCGGCGUAAGUUGUGGAACAAUUCCGCAACUCUUUAGAUGAUUGCUAAACUUGUGGCUCAAAUACUCGCCUCCACGAUCAGAUUGUAAGGCCUUAAUUUUCUUGACACGCUAAUUUUCAACUUCAUUCUGAAAAUCCUUGAACUUUUCAAAGGUUUCAGACUUGUGCCUCAUCAAGUAGACAUAGCCAUAUCUACUAAAAUCAUCAGUGAAAGAUAUGAAGUAUUGGAAUCCUCCUCUAGCCGUCGUGCUCAUUGGUCCGCAUACAUCACUAUGUACGAGUUCCAACAAGUCUACUGCUCUCUCAGGAAAUCCUGUGAAAGACGUCUUGGUCAUCUUGCCUAGCAAGCAAGCCUCACAUGUCUCGUAUGAUUCAAAAUCAAACGAAGUUAGAAGUCCAUCAGAAUGGAGCUUCUUCAUGCGUUUUUCACUUAUAUGACCCAAACGACAAUGCCACAAGUAGGUAGGACUCAAAUCAUUAGGCCGAGGCCUUUUAGCACUUACAUUACAGACAGGUGAACCAUCAAGAUUUAAAACAAAUAAUCCAUUCACAAUGGGUGCAAAAGCCAUAAACAUAUUAUUCUUAGAGAUCACACAACCAUUGUUUUCACUCGCAAAUGAAUAACCAUCCUUCAUCAAGCAUGAAGGAGACAAAAUGUUUCGACUUAAACUAGGAACAAAAUAACAAUUAUUCAACUCCAUAAUAAAUGCUGACGGGAGGUGGAGUUGCAUCGUCCCGACGGUCAACGCAGCAACUCUUGCAUUAUUGCCCACGCGGAAAUCAACUUCUCCUCUUUCCACGCUUCUACUUCUUAUCAUUCCCUGCAUCGAAUUGCAAAUAUGAGCAACCGAUCCGGUAUCAAAUACCCAAGAAUUAAUAAUUGUAUCAGCGAGAAAUAUGUUGUCUAUGACAUUAACAACAAGCGUACCUGAGGUAGAAGUACUCUUACUUCCUCCAUUCUUCAACGAAGCUAGGUACUGCUUGCAGUUUCUCUUCCAGUGACCAAGUUCAUGACAGUAAAAGCACUCUUUGUCUGGAGCAGGUCCAGGUCCAGCUUUAACCUUGGGCGCUCGCUGGGUUUGGCUUGGAAAUUCCAGCCUUGCCCUUCUUCUUCCAAGAAUUGCCCUUCUUCUUAAAGCUAGGCUUGUUCUGUAUAGCCAUCACAUGGCUAGUACAAGCGCUUUUCUUGAUGUCUACCUCUGCUGUCUUGAGCAUACCACACAGUUCAUUCAAACCCUUCUCCGUCCCAUGCAUAUGGUAGUUCGAGAUGAAGUUCCCAUAGCUAGGCGGAAGAGAUGAAAGAAUGAAGUCAGUGGCCAACUCUUUGCCCAUUGGGAAGCCCAGCUUCUCCAAUCGCUGAGUGUAACCAACCAUGUUGAUUACAUGUGGUCCUACUGCUGCGUCUUCUGCUAGCUUGCACUCCAGAAAAGCUUUGGACACAUUGAACCUUUCAGUCCUAGCCUGUGUCUGGAACAUGUCCUUGAGCGCCACGAUCAUAUCGUGUGCCUCAUGAUUUGUUUCGAACUGCAUCUGCAGCUCGGGUUCCAUGCAAGCAAGCAUAAGGCAGCUUACCUCAAGAUUAGCAUCAAAUGCCUUCUUGUAAGCAGCCUUAACGGCAGCAGAUGCAUCAUCAGCAGGUACUGGUGGUAGUGGGGUAUCUAGAACAUCUUCCUUUUUAUCGGCCCUGAGAACAAUUCUCAGGUUACGGAUCCAAUCCGAGUAGUUUGUUCCAUUCAACUUGUCCUUCUCAAGGACCGAGCGCAAAGCAAACGAUGUGGUGGUGUUGCUAGGUGCCAUUUAAUCUACAACAAAAGUAAUGCAAAAUACACUAAGACAAACGUAUCCAUGAUAGAGCAAAUUACAUUAAACUAUUUUAACAGAAUCUACUCCCACUAAAAUCAAUAUCCCUCUAUUGAAACUUAGUGAUUCAGGAUCCACAACUAACAAGUCUACUAGUGAGCUUUAGCAUCACCGCUAGCAAACGAGGUAGAUCGGUAAGCAACUUUUGCUAAUCAUAUCACAUAUGACUCCUGUUGUUGGGUGACAUCUCCAUGUCUCGGCGCCCAACCAUUAUGCCCCAAGGUCCUUAACCGUUAAGAUGACCUCGUUAAGCAAACCAACCCUUAUGCGUGUAAGUGUCCGACACAAACCCGUCUAGUCAAGGAAAACUAGUGGCACCCUAAUUUCAUAGACCCACCACUAAUUGUACAAGACAUGGGACGGUGCAAGUUUUAGUUGGGAGGGCAUACUAACUUAAAUUUUUUGUGAGGGAUCGUUCUACUUCUAACAUCACAGCAUGCAGAAAGUAAAACAUAAACAGAAUAGCAUUCACACAGCUGUGACACAGUAUGGCCCGUUUUUAUAUGGUGAUCUCCAUCUCCAUAGAACCUGUUCACCAUGGUGAUCUCCAUCUCCAUGUUCCAUGUGCGCCAUCCUCCUGGUGAGGAGUCCUCCAAGAACUAGAACAUGCUAUUACACCUAAUAGCUAGUAAAGAAUCUAGUAAUGAAGAUUACAUAGUUGCUUGGAUCAUCACAGAUUGGUACGCAGACCAUUAAAUACAAUAAAGUGACAACACAUAUGGCUCCUGCCGUGUUGCCGUACGCGCGACACGCAGGUCACGAAUGAGUUACACACAUGCAUCACAUACACAAGGGGGCCAUACUGAUCACAAGAUACAUACAUACAUCCUGCAAAACAGAGUUAGGCGUCCUAACGUUCCAAACUUCGAAGGCCCGAAACUCCAUCUUCCAAGCCGAAUUUGGGAAAUCUAAUUUUGCCGAAAACGGCAAAGCGGUUGAAUUUCAUGUGUAACUUUUUCUGUAGAUCAAUUUUCAUAUAAAAUUCGCCCCGAUCCGAGAUCGUACCGAAAAGUUACGGCUGAUUUACCGAAGCAUACGCAUACGGCAAAAAUUCCGACCCCGGCAGUAGAUCCCAUCUACUAUUGCACAUCUAAUGCGCCUGGCGUAUGAUCCUGGAUUUCGAUUCGACCAAUCAUAUUGAUCUUCGCUCACUGCAACUGGAAUUACGUGUAUCACUUAACUCGUCGGCGGCUCGUCGGCGGCUCAUCCAAGUGCUGCAGGCCCAACACCUCCAAGGUAUCCACACGUGCAGGGAGGAAGCGUCGCAAACCGGACUGCUAGAUCCGCGAGUUGCAAUAGGCGAGGGCGUGGGAGGCGCCGCAGGUGUGUUUCGCCAAAAAGAUGUAAACCCUAGGGCGCCCCCACCCCUCUAUUUAUAGAGGUUCCUGACGGGCCUCUGGAUCCGAGGCCCAUUAGUACUUCUAAACCUAAUCCAACUCGGAUCAGAUCCGAAUUGGGCUUCCAGCCCCUUAAGUGUGUGACCCUAUGGGUUCGGAUACGUAUAGACAUGGCCCGAGUACUCCUACUCGGCCCAAUAGUCGGUAGCGGCCUCUAGCAAGACGUGCCAACUCCUAUACACACACGAAGAUCAUAUCAGAUGAACCAUCACAACAUAAUAUACAUGCUAUUCCCUUUGCCUCACGAUAUUUGGUCUAGCUUCAAGCCGACCGCUCUUUCUCAAUCCUGUGAUUCGGAAUCCCUUUGUAGGUUAACUCUUAACCGUACGUAGCAUGGCCAUGCAUUUUCGGAUCCGAUCACUCGAGGGGCCCAGAGAUAUCACUCUCAAUCAGAGAGGGGCAAAUCCCAUCUUGAUUGACCAUGUCUCAUAGCAUGCUUCUUGACAAACCCGAAAACUACCUUUAUAACUACCCUGUUACGGCGUAGCAUUUGAUAGCCCCUAAGUAGGUCGAUCCACAUCUAGAAUACAUGCGACAAUCUCAGGUCUAAGGACAAAGCGUAUAUGUUGUUUAAAGAGAGAACUACUUCUCGUGUUGGGUCAGUCCCAGCACAUGUCUCCACAUGUGUCCACAUUAUUAGUUCAACAUCUCCAUGUCCAUGACUUGUGAAACAUAGUCAUCAACUAAUACAUGUGCUAGUCUAAUAUUCAUGUGUGUCCUCACAUGAACUCCGACUAGGGACAACUUUAGAAUAACCAUACAAGUAAAGAGUUUCACAUACAAUUCACAUAAUUGCAAAUCAAUUCAAGUAGCCUUCAAUGGAUAUUCAAUGAACACAACAUACAAAUCAUGGAUACAAAUGGAAUAUCAUCAUCUCUAUGAUUGCCUCUAGGGCAUACCUCCAACAAUUAUUUCAUGUAAAUUUUUGACAAUUUUUUAAAAUUGUUUGAUAUUUUUUAAAUUUUUUUUAAAAUAACUUUGCCGAGUGUCCUAUUGUAGACACUCGGCAAAGCAGCCUUCACCGAGUGUUACCCCUGGGACACUCGGCGAAUUAAUGCCCGGCCGCUCAAGAAUAUGUGCCCGGCCCCCUCACUCUCCCGGCCCCCCUCACUCUCACUCCCCUCACUCCCUCCUCUCUCCCUCCUCUCUCCCUCUCGCCGCCGCCCGAAACCCCCGCCGCCGCCCGCCGCCCGGCAUGCCGCCCAGCGCCCCCCGCCGCCGCCCGGCGCUCCCGAAUCCGCCGCCGCCCGCCCGGCGCCCGGCCCCCGGAUCCGCCGCCGCCGGCCGCCCGGCGCCCCCGGAUUCGCCGCCGCCCGCCCGGCCCCCGGCCCCCGGAUCAGCCGCCGCCCGCCGCCCGGCGCACGGCGCCCCCGGAUCCGCCGCCGCCUGCCCGGCGCCCGGCCCCUGGCCCCCUGAUCCGCCGCCGCCCGCCCGGAUCCGCCGCCGCCCGCCCGGCGCCCGGCCCCCGGCCCCCGGAUCCACCGCCGCCCCCCCGGCCCCCGGAUCCGCCGCCCGCCCGUCCCCUCCACCGGAUCCGCCGGCGCCGGGGCCUGAAGAGAAGAGAAGAGGAGAGGAUGGUGGCGGCGGCGGCCGCGGCGGCGGAGCAGGUGGCAGAGCAUGCAUGAUUUUUUUUUAUUUUUUCAAUAAUUGUUCGCCAAGUGUUUUCUGGGCACUCGGCAAAGUCUUUGCCGAGUGCCCGACACAAAACACUCGGCGAACCAGUGUUUGCCGUCAAGAUUUUUGCCGUGUGUCGUUUGCCGAGUGUUACACUCGGCAAACGCUUUGUCGAGUGUUUUUGGGGUUUCGCGGAGUGACCCUGGCACUCGGCAUCACGCAUGUUUCCCUUAGUGAACUUGAAAUUAUCUGUACAUUCUCGGUGAAGCUGUUGAACUAAUUUUUGCAAAUUAUUAAUUCAUCUCAUUACGCAAAGAAAAAAGUAAGUGGAUAAGAUAUUUCGUGGACCACAUCACUGCAAACAUGUCAUGGAGAGACAGACCAAGGAGGCAGGACGUGAUACACGACUUACCCUAGGUUGCCGUGGAACCGCCAAGAAGAGAUACAGAUACAUGGACCACACCAUCUUGGGAGUAGUGACAGCAUAUAUGCAGAAGAAUACCCCGUGCCUAUUUGCAUGCAUGUCUCAAGUGAUCUGUUUUCUUCAGAAAAUACAUGAGCAUUGCCAGAAAGAAUGGCAAGAGACAAACAUGUCAUAGAGACUUGCAUGUCUUGCCUUGGAUACGCCAAGAAGAGGGACACAUACAUGGAUAACACAAAUCUAGUGACACGUAUAUUCAUCACAAAGGCAAAUCUGAUAAUUUUAUCCAUGGAGCAGACCAAGGAGAAAUUGAUGACGGACAUGUGAUCUCUGUAUUCAGUUGAAAGCUAAUUGAGCUACACUAAUAUGAGCAGGACUAUAUUCAAGAGACUUGUUGAGAGCUACAGGGAACUUGUAAUAAUUUGCUGGGCGGCCUGCGCACAAUGAUUUGUUAUACAUAGUUGAAAUAUUUCAAGAAUUUAUCAACCUCAUACUCUGAAACCCUUGGUGCAAUGUACUCUGCUUUCCGAGGUAGACUGUUCACGUAAAAUGAGGUCAUGCGUAAGACGGAAUCGGAUUGGAUUCACAGGGAAUCAGAUUUGGAUAGCACCUUUUAGCAGGUUUUUAGUCAAAUGCAAAUUCGGAUCCACAUGUGGUUGAAUGCGAGUUCAAAAUUCUACUUGGAUAUCCAUUUAAUUUAGGUGAUAGCAAUUAGCACAAAAUGUUGGAUGAACAAAAUCAUAGUUAGACAUACAAUUACAUGUAUGGUUAAAGUAUAAUACAAUACACCAAGAUUAUUCCUUGAAAAUAUUUCUUAAAAAUAUUAUAAUAAAUGAAUAAAUAUAAUUGUGGCCACCAACAAAUAGUCGGUGGUCGCUAAGUUGGAGCCAUUUCUGGUUACUAAUGCGGCCUUCUCCUCGACCAGCGACGACAGCUGAGCUUGUUCCUUCUGACACUAAAUCAUCAGAGUCUUCCCUCCACUACUAUAGAAUGCACCUUUAGCACCAAUUGGGAAAUCCCCUUCAGUAUUGGAUGCUGCAACCAGUGCUAUAUAUCAAAAUGGAGACUAAAAGCCUCGGUCUUGGGUACCGGUUGCAUAACGCAUUACUAAAGGAGGCAAAAGAGAAAUGUAACAAAAAAAAUAUUUUGAAUUCCAAGAAUGUUUCACUAUUCAAGAUGACUAGCUGAGAGUCAACAGACAAGAUACUAGGAAUGUGGGUGCUUGAAUGCAUUUGUACAGAGGUCAUACUAUUUACAAACUCUUCUAUGUUUCCAUAUGACUACCUACUUCAAUGUCACGCGAGCCAUUCAGCUGGACACAUGGCACACUAGCUUGCAUGUCGAAUCCAUGAUUAAUUAUUUGCACUUGUGAUCUCUUACCAGUAUUUGUCCAGACUAGAAACGUGCAACACAUUUUUAGGAUAUGGACACGCAUAUAUUUGGACUAGUAUACAGGUCACCUUUGGAUGCGUACAAGGAUGACCGGGAGGGACUAAUGGAUACAAGGAAGGGACCAUCAGGAUUAAUAUUGACAUAUGCCACAUGACAAUCUUCAUUGUCAUGCAAUCCCUAUCAACAAUCAUGGAAUCCCUAGUGUACUAAUCCCUGGAGGGUUGUGUGGAAAUUUAUUUUACCUUGCGGUGAAAAUCUCAUGAGCAGUCAUUAGUUAAGCUGACUAGCUGAGAUAUAAUAGACAAGCUAGUAAGAUUGGGAGCAUCAAUGCAUCCAUACAGGGUCACAAUAUCCUUUCCAUUCACUUUUAUAUAUAACCCUACGAAUACAAGUCCAACGAAAUGCGGGCCUUUCGAUCAAGAUAAAUUAAAUGGCCCACUUGUAUUUCUAAUCCAGGAUUAACUAUGCCCUCUGUUCAUCUCUUGCAAGCACGUGCAACACAUUUUCACGAUAUGGACAUGCAUGGAGGUUAUUAUACUGUUUGGACAAACUCUGAUGUGCCAUGACCUAAAUGCUUAGGGCCUGUUUGGUUUGAGUUGCUUAUUAUAAGCAACUUAAAGUUGCUUAAAGUUGCUUAUUUGAAGUUGCUUAUUUUUAGUCUAAACUGUUUGGAUACCCUUGCUUAUGAGCAUUGAAUGAGUUGGACAUUGUCAAAUUUGCCCCAUGUGUUGCUACCCCUCCAAUUUGCCUCCCCACCCUUCUUCUUCCUGCACACGUCCGAUCCCGGGGGCCGACGGCGGGCAGGGAGCAGCAGCAGCUGGCCAGGGCGGCGGUGGGGCGGGAGCGGCGGCGCACACCAGCACGCGCUCGCACGCCAGGUGCUAGGGCGCGGCGAGGCAGUCGUCGUAGCCCACCGGGAGCGGGUGCUCGGGCGCGAGGCGGUACUCGACGGAGAUGCCGAGCGUCGGGCGCGCGGCGGCGAGCGCGUUGAGGAAGCGAUGGUAGUGCGGCGACGUCGCGGACUCCGCCACGAAGCCGCCGCCGUGGACGUACACCACCACGGGCAGCUUCGUCUUGCCGUCGGCGGCCGCGGCCGCGGCCUGGGGUGGCAGGUAGAGGCGGACGGAGCAGGAGCCGAGGUCGACGUCCCUGGAGUCGACGCCCGUGGCGGCGUCCAGGCUAGGCCCGACCGGCGGCGGCACGAGCGGGCGCUCGAUGCGGCCGCUCUUGUAAAUCCGACGGGUCUGUGCGGAGGCGGGCGGCGGGCGGGAGCGGCGGGUGGGAGCGGCGGCAGGUGGUGCGGAGGCCGGCGGCGGCGGGUGGCGCGGAGGAAGGGGAGCUGGUGAGUGGUGACAGGGGAGGGGGGGAGAGAGAGGGGGGGGUAGGGUGCAUUGAAUGAGGGCAGGAGGUGUAAAGUGCACCUUUUAGUCCCCAUGAGCAACCAUAAGCAGCCCAAGAGUUGCUUAUUUGCUUAUAAUAAGCAACCUCAUAAGCAAGAGUGAUUGGUUUCAUAAGCAACUUAUUUGCUUAUUUUAAGUUGCUUAUGCAUAAGCAUGUGAAACCAAGCAGGUCCUUAACCUAUGGUUGUGGCACCACACAGUACAUAGUAUUUAAUAAUGCUAUUCGUUUGGUAUGUGCACAAGGGCACGCAUGAAAUGUCUGGCCCACGGUAAACAAGUACGGACGCUGCAAAUAAUCUACUCUGCUCGUCCAGUCCCUAGCCUAUAAAUAGAUGCCAUGCUAGCUCUUGUUGUGCUCACAAUUAAUCCUGACUACACACGAGCUUCUCUCCCUGGCCAAGACACAAUCAUAGUAUGAUGAAGAACAUGGCACUAGCCGGCAAUGGUAUGAAGAACUUAAUCCUCGCUGUUCUCUUACUGUGUCUAGUUAUAGGGCAGAUACAAGUGGAAGCUAAGAGCUGCUGCCCAUCCAUUACUGCAAGAAAUAUCUACAAUGCCUGCCGUAUCACGGGUACAUCCCGUCCAACGUGUGCAAAACUGUCAGGCUGCAAAAUUAUCAGCGGGGACAAAUGCAAGCCCCCUAACGACCACCUCACCCUUGACCCGGACACUGGUAAAUAAUAAAUUUAUCUCACUUGAUUUCUUCGUGUUUUGAGUCGUUAAUGUAUUUUCCAUCUGAUGAAACGUAUUGGUUUUGCAUUGAAGAGGAAGUUAAUGUGCUUAACUUCUGCAAGUUGGGGUGUGCGUCGUCUGUGUGCAACAACAUCAACGCUGGUAAGCACCUUUUGCUCAGACGGAGAAAACAAUAAUCAUUAAUUAGCGGCAGCUAGAAUCCUAUAAUCUAAUAUAUUUAUAUAUAUAUAUAAUUUUAUCAGCUCUGGGAAAUGAAGAGGCGAACGAUGCCGUUGAGAGUUGCGACCAAGCCUGCUCUAGCUUCUGCAACGUGCACGUUGGCGCUGCCACCGUGGUUGCUUAAGCAAAUGCAUCCAACUGGAUCGUCCUUGUGCUAAAUAAUUGGAUAUCGUAUCCACUUAAAGCUGCCUUGUGUAGUACGUUUUUGUUUGUGUCUCUCUUUAUAUUCCAAUAAGGUCGGUGAUCUUGAUGCCACACACUCAGACGUGUGUUCAUCUCCAGAUACUACUCCAUGCUACCUGCCCUUUGUGUUUUGUUCAAUAACUGGGUAUCAUAUCCCAGCCAGUGUGCCAUCUGUUUUGUGUUUAUUUCCUUCUAGUUUCAAAGGGGUUAUCAUGAUGUUACCUUCUUUCGAUAUGGUGCUUUGCAUGACUACUGUUGUAUGGUACCAUCUUGUUGGCCAAUAAAUACAUCUUAUCCUAUGACCCUUUGCUAUGACCCUUUGCAAAUAAGUACAAGAUUGUUAAAUACUCGGUAUAAAUUGACUACUGCUGUGAGUUCCCUUUCAGCUUAUCGUAGGCAUACAUUAUUGCUAGCACGGUGAAGACAACCAACACGAAUGGUCAAGUAAACGUACCGGUACUUUUGUAUACCAACACCCUUGCUUAAAUGUACCGGUGUUACUCCCCACUAGCACAUAUAUUCUUAUAUGCUAGCCGGCUUGAAAAUUAACCGAUUAAAAUAAUUAUUUCAAGACAGAAAUAACUUAUCGGCUUCUCGAAGCAUGUGUAAUGUGAAUUCAAGGACUUGAUGGAAGUUGAAUCGCUUAAUCUAGAUUGCUUUCAGGAUUUUGGGUAACUAAAUUUAACAUUUGCACAUACAAAUGUUAAUGUACAAAUAUUAAAUAUAGUUACCCAAGCAGAAUAUGAAGAUACUCUAUAGUAUAUAUAUACUAUAUAAAUCUAGUUAACAUUUAGUCUAAAUGUUAAAUCUAGUUACCUAAAAUCCUGAAAGCAAAAUGUAUAAAUAUAUAUCUUUUAAGGAAUCCCAAAGCAAGAGUUCAGUGGCAUUCUAUAGUCCCAUGCUGCUAGUUUGAGUUGGUCGAAGCCAACUUAAAUAGGAGAGCUCUCUCACUUCUCUAAAUACGUAACUGAAGGAGAGAAGGGGGCUUGGUUACACAACGCACGCACGCACGCAUAUUUGCGUUCUUUUCGCGUAACCAACCGCGUGACUUGAAACUUGCGACGUAGCGUGCUGCCAAGUCAAGUUGAUAUAACCUUUUUGCCGUAGGCGUGUAAUCUUUUGACAACGGUCAUUGGAGGUGAUAAGCACGCAGUCAAUACCUUAAUCCUGAGUUAAUAGGGCGGUUACUACUGCCAAUUAGUGGGGCAAUUUUGUAGGGGAAACGGUUAGCAGAGGGCUACCAUCUUCUCUAUAAGAAGUUCUGGAGACGUCCAGGAACACACAUGUACAUGUGAGAGACCCACGAAUUCCUUCCCAUCUCCCUUUUCCAUCUGGUGAAGUGUGCUAUGGUACUGAGCUGCUGGAUCUCGCCGGCUCUUCUCCUUGGCGUGCACCGAGGAGGAGGGUGAGCGGUAUCUCCGAGCUAUUGCCGUCAGGAAGCCUGCACGAGGGACAACAAUAAAGUUUUUGGGUAGCGCAACUACGCAACCGCUCGAUUCGAUCGACUAUGUUCUGCGCUGCCUCAUCUUCGAUCUGCACUGCAACACGUAACCCUGCAGCAAGUCUACACAAGGACGGAGCACUAAUCUGUAAGUCCUAGAUUGGUUUCUUACAGAGUUGUAGGUUACACAAGAUCUAGAAUUGUUACAUACUUAUUAUUAUGGGUUACAUGAUGUUUUGUACGGUUACGUCUAUUUUGCAUAUGCUAUUUUUACAUACCGUUUACAUGCAUAUGUAAUGGUUACGCCUAGCUAUUUGAAUCUAGAAUUGGGUUACAUAGCAGUAGCAAUGACUUACGUAAUAUGCCUCAUGUUUAUAUCUGGUAGAAUUUAACACGUAUCUCCAACAUAUUUUGAGGCAGUAUAAAUUUCAAUUCCUUUUGCUGCUCUGUUAAAUCCCGUCUUUCGUGUGGCCCAACACUCUAGUAUGCAUGUAGCACCAAGCUUGUUUGAGCCGCUUUGUGCUCUGAUUUUGCUGUCUGUAUCAGGUUGGACUGUUUCUUUGUCUUGCGAUGUAUAGCUUCAUAUCUUCUAGAGGUUAGACAGCAAAACCCGCGUUCUCUUAAGGCAACAACUCGAAGAAUCUGCAGCGCUCCUGAUAUAUCACUGCUGCAGAAACAAUCUUUAGUACUGAUUUCCAACCCCCUUUAGUAUCGGUUUGGCAAUCAGUACCACUACGUCGGUACUAAAGGGAGUUCUCUAGAAUCGGGUCAAAUAACUGGUACUAAAAGUGCUCCUCUACUACCAGUUGGUAACACCAAUAGGUAGUAACUUUUUUUGCACCCAAAAAAUUAAAGAAAAACAGCCGGGAGGCUCGCGCACACACGCAUCAUGAGUAAUAUGCGCGUGCAUGGUUUGUGGGAUUCCAACCCACGACCAAGCUAUAAGCACGUAGUUACAAAAAAAUUAAACACUUAGACAUUUUAGAGCAUCCCAAAUAACUACAAAUUCUUUAGUUUACCAUAUACCAUAAAAUAUUAGUUAAAAUAAGAGCAUACGCACGUCGGAAGAGUCCCAAUGCACCGGUUGAGGAUCAGACCAGGCACUUUGAAUGCACAUGCCAUAAGAUAAUUCUGCAGGACGAUGAUUGCAAUAAUGGACCAUCGAGAAGAUAGGGGCGAUGGGGUUGCCUCAUCAAUUAUGACUUGGCGCAACAAGACCAGCAAAGUCUUUAUCGACAGGGGUGGAUCAAGGGGUGGGGCGGGUAGAGCUCCAAUCUUCCUACCGCCGCUCGAACAAUGGAGCCCCCCUUAGCCCCUCCAUAAAUUUUUAGGUAGAAGAAAAAAGAAGAGAAGGGAAGGAAGGGGAAGAAUAGGGAGCCCCUCCUAAGUAGGUCGCCAUCGUGCUUCCCAACGCAUGAUCGCCGCACCGCAUCCAUUCCUCUACAAGCCUCCAGCGUCUCUCCUGCCGCUACCUCUGAACCAUGUGCAGCUGCAGACCCAACUAGUGUCUUGUCACCCAUCUCAAUCCCAACAGAGCGGCGGCUCCUGCCAGCACAAAUCUCCCUCCGCCUGUUCUUCACGAUCGAUGGCCACCACAAGCAUAAACCUCGCCUUCGCAUCCACGCAAAAGGGUCGCCGGUGUGCCUUCUCGCAUCGCUUCUCAGCCUCCUUCACUUGCGGCUGGCCAAGAACCGUGCCACCACCUCGGGUGCGCGCCACCGCUCCAGGGCCGCUACCCCAUGCGUGCGGCCGCCGCCGGCCACCACGCGUGUGCAACCGUGUCGCACCGCUUCCCUGCUCUGUGCCACCACUGCUACUGCACCACCAGCUCCACCACCUUGGGCUGGUCGCCAGGGUGACUGAUUGGUGGAUUAUUACUACAAAUAAGUUCCUUAUUAUCUGCAACUACUAUUAACUCAGGGAUACAUGCGUCUUUUGCUUCUCCUGUUAAUAUGUCCUAAAAUAUCUAGAAUGCCUUAUAUUUCUGGACGGAGGAAGUAUUUGAAUAAAAUGAACCAAUUUUAAAAAAUGUGUUGUACACUACUACAGAAAGAACUAUCAGUGUCAAACCCAAAAAUGUCGUCACUGCCAGUUUUGGGCAUCGUUGGUGAAAGGUUGGCGGUGAUGGGUAUCCCCUUCAACAACGGCACUAGAGCUAACAGUGAUUGACAUUAGAAAACGAAAAAGGGGACCCACCUAGCCACCCCUGCAACCCGGCUGGCCGUGCCUCCCGUCAUCCCCACCACCUCGCCUCCCCCGUGACCCCCCGCCGGCGCCCUUGCGCCUAGCCCCCUCGCCUGCCUGGCCGGCCACCCUCGUCACGAGAGAGAGGGGUGCAUGUUGUAUAAUUGCGUGAAUUUUUAAUGUUUAAUUUCAUGUAAGUUUCAUAUAAUAAAUUGUACAAGUUUUAUUGUAUAUAUGAAUUCCAUAUAUAUAUAUUUAUAAUUUAAUGUAUGGUUUCAUGUGUAUAUUUCAAUAAUGUGUAUAUUUAGUAGAUAGCCGAUUUUCUUUUUCUACAAGACAAGGGUUGAUGUAUAAUUACGUGUAUAUGUUUAUUGUACGGGCAAUUAGGACAAGUUUUGUAUAAAUUUCUUUUAUUUCAUGGUUGUUGUAUGGUUUCAUGUAUAUACAUUUAUUGUACUACUUGAGACAAUUUUUAAUUUAAUGUUUCUAUGGUUACAUGUGUGUAUAACUAAUUGUAUUAUUAGUUAAGAUGGGAGCCAAAGAGGAUGAAAGGUAUAUAAUGGAGCAGAUUAUUGCUGGCGGUAGUGGCUCAAACGUUGCAAGAACCUACAUCAAGGGUGAGGGUAGCUAGGUGGACAUGUACCUCAACAUGUCCAGUGAUGGCAAUGACGAUGAGGAGCACGAGCAUGACGUUUAUGAUAGUGCGGAACAAGACAUUGCAGAAUUGGAAGGUUCUAAUGAGGUGUGCUUCAUGUUGAUGAUCUGGUUGGCUUUUUUUCUUUGGUCACACCUUAGUUACCAUAGAACUUCGUCUCGGGAGAAGAUUGGAGGUGCUAUGGUGAUUGGAAUUUUAUUGCCUCCAAAUAUGAUUUCCAUCGAAUCAUAUCCCUUGUAUUUAUCUUCUUUUUAUUUGUGAGAGCAUCUUCUUUAUGCUUGCAAAACAAUUCAAGUGCACAUACUACACCUAGGGUGAUGAUUAGGAGUAGAAACAAUUGCCAACAAACGAACACCACAUCCUAAGAUUCUUAACUUGUGGUAUAAUUAGUCUAGUAAAAAGAAAGAUAAAAACCUAAUGGGUGUACGUGAGUGCAAUGCGUAUAUGCAUAUGAGUGGAAGGCAUAUAAGCAAAGAUAAUAUUUACACAUAGAUCUAAGCACCAUGUUUACAACUAAGUUGCUGAAUUUCUCCAUAGCUAUAGAGAUUAAUGAACCAAGGUCAAAACACCAUGUCUAUCCCAAGAUCAGUAAUUCUUUAUAGCACAAGAAAAAGAAAGCGCAUUGCAAAGUUUAUAAACCAACCAAUGCAGCAUGAAAACAAGAUGAAUAGCUAGCAAGGUUUAUUAAACUGAAUGAUGACGGUCUGCAAGCAAGUUUGAACACCAUCUUUACACAAGAUUGCAAAUGGAAAAUUCCCAUAUGAAGAACUAACAUGGAUAUGAAAUCAUUCAUCAUAAAGCGUAAAGAACAACCAAGCCAACCAUAUGCAAAGCAUGAAUGGAAUGCAAUGAAGGUGCAAGAGAACAUUUUUGGAUGAACCCAUUAUGAUGAUGGCAAAAUGCGCCGUGCCCCCCAGCCCCCGCGGUGAGAUCCCGCCGCUCGCUGCCGCCAGACCCUAUUAGGCCUCCACCGGCAGGUCCACCCACGGUCCCGCGCGACGUGGCAGCCUCUUGGCUCUCGGCGCUCGCGGCACGCCAGUGCUGGCGCAGCCCCACCAGGCGACUACCCUCCCCCCAUAAGGCCUCGGCCCCUCCCCAGCGCCGCCCCCCAACACCAGGACUGCCUGCUGCCCCCCACCGUGAGGUAAUCGAAAUCGACUGCUCAAUCUCUCAAUCUGUUGAUAUGAUGCACACGGUUGCAAAAAUAGAUGUGUCAAAAUAGAUGUUUUGCCAAUUGCUAUAGAUGCAUACGGUUGACAUGAAGUCAAAAAUGACAUUUGGUUCCUUGUAGGCAGUCAAAAAUGAAGAAGUCAAAAAAUAUUGAUCUGAAAUCAAUGUGGGAAAGGGCUAUGAAGACACGCAGGUAGAUUCCCUUGUGAACUUUUUAUGUCGUUCGUCUAAAUAAUUUUUUGCAAUGGGCAUACCCUACUCUGAAAUCCUGGGUCCGCCACUGAUGAUGAUGGUCUAAAAAUAAACCAAGCCUAGAUUAAUUAGCCACAACUGAAAUUAAGCAAAGGUUAAUGUCAUUGACCCUAGCUCUAUCCUAGCUUUUACCAAAGUUCCGGCACAUAUAGUGGUUGGGCCCACUCUCUCUGCUUCCCUCUCUGCUGCAUGCACGCACACGAGCAACGGGAGGCCCGACGAAGCCCAGAAGGGUUCGGCCGAACCAGUAUGAGCGCCGCUCCCUCCCAGCCUUCGCGCAGAUGCUCCUCCAACGUUCCUUGACCCCUCCCUCAGCGUCCCGUUGGGUUUAACAUUGCAGGAGAGGAGUCCCUUUUUUAAAAUCUCAACCACCUCCUCUCCCCAUUCACUCCACUCUCAUCUCCAUCAAACUCACCAAGAUCCGCACCGGAAAUCCCUGCUUACCACCAUGGCUGGCAAAGCCCUCAUCCCUUUCACCAACUUGGGCUUGACCACUGAUCUCGAUGGGGAAAUCACUCUGGCAAAUAUGCGUGUAACACUGCCCCCUUUGCCGAGGGUUAAAGCCAAAACACUCAGCAAAGUGGAUAGUACCCCCCUUUUUACCCGUUUUGUCAUGUAUAACGGACCCCUCUCAAUUCACAAUAGACAUCAUCAUAGGCAUUUAUAAUAAACAAUCACAGGCAUAAUUCACAAUCACCAUUACAAGCAUUAUUCAUAAAUAUCACAGACAUAAUCCAAAGUAAGCAUGAAACAAGCCAUAAAUCCAAGUUCAAGUCACAACUAAGUUUCAUCCAAGUUCAAGUCACAAAUGCAAUGUCUAAAUCCAUGGAGGCCAAGGAGACCACUGCGACAAAUCUUGGUCUUCAUUAUUCGAAGCCGCCGAUUGAUUCUGCACAUAGGAUAGGACAUUCUGAGCUAACAUCUAAAGUUGUCAAAAUUAAAGUAUUCAAUCUUAAGCACAAUGUGUCAAAUGACUCACAGGAGUAGUUGUGGGUGGCUGAGGCGGAGGGAACAGCAUCGAUGGCGGUGGCAAAGAUUGACCCAUGCUCGAAGCAAAAUUCUGCAUGUACUGGAACAUCUGGUCCAUCCUCAUCCGAUUUUCUUCCUCCAUCCUCUGCCGCUCGGCCUCUAACCUCCGCUGAACCAUCUGCUCCAUCCUCGCCGCCAUCUCCUCUUGUUGCUUCCUUGCUGCUUCCACCUGGGCCUACAAUAUUUCAUUGCAAUGUUACAAUGCAAAGCUAAAGUAUAGCAACCAACGAACAAUGAAUGGAAGAGAAAGAACCUGGAGAGCCUCCAUCUGGAACUGUCCAAUGGUUGGUCGUAGCCGUAUCGCCGGGCUCGAGUCCGUGCUCCUUGCUUGGAUCUGGGAGAGAGUGGCAGUAGAGGCCGUGUUGAUUACGCCGUCGCCAAUCCAAUAUCGGCCAUGCUUCUUGCCUCCUCCCACCCUCAUCACGAUUUCUCCAUCAAUAUCCUCAGAGCUUGAAUCGAAGUCUGGCCCGUGAACCUCCCUUGCCAUCACUGUAUAUUCCUUUGCCGAGUGCCCGAGAUAAAGCACUCGGCAAAUAGAAAACACUCGGCAACUUUACUGUUUCCCGUAGUGUCGCUAUUUUUGCAGGUUCUCGACCAGGCCAGUUCUUUGGGCCAACCUAUCAUUCACGACUUAAACAUACGGUGGCUGUAGAAAUGUUCUAUUCUUUUCAACAAUACCAGCUGGUUCCUCCGUUUUUAUUCCACCAAUACAAGCACCACCUUGUAACAUUUCCUAUGUUUUUUUUUCCUUUCGUCUGUUUUCUACAUGCGUUGCUCUUUCAUGCAUUUUUUUCCAUUCCUGUAUUCCAAAUAGGUCUACAUGAACACAAAAUGAACUAGGGGACAGAAAAAGCCAGUGAAGCCAAUUUUGAGCUUCACCAGCUACUUGCUACAUAAAGUGUGCUAUAGUGACGUGUUUUAGCAAAACAUGUUAUCAAUGACUUGACAUUGGUGACGUGUUAAAACGCGUUAUCUCAAUGGCAAAUCAUUGGUGACGUGUUUUAAAAAAACAUGUCACCGUGAGAGUCAUUGGUGAAGGGUAAUUAUAAUGCGUCACUAAUGUUGUAGCAUUAGUUAUGAUAAUUUAGUAACGCAAAAAUCUACCAUCAGUAUUGAGCUUUAGAGCCAUCGCUAAUGUGGGUUUCUUACAUAGUGAUGCAAGCUCUACAAGGUGCUGUUGCUGCCAUUUUAAAGCAUCCCAUGACUACAUGUUAAUAACAUAGUUUACCAUAUAUCAUAAAAAUAUUAGUUACAAUAAGCACAUACGCAUGUGGAAGAGUCCGAAUGCACCGGUUGAGGACUAAACACAUUGAAUUACUAGAACCAAAUGUGUGUUUAGAACAAAGACAGGGGUCAAGGUUUGGGUAACCGCAUUAAAAACAUUGGAUUUUACUGUACAUGAACACUUAGUUACCAUUACCAUGCCUUGAGCACCUAGUUACAACAAACAUUAAUUUAGCCACUUUAGAGCUUCCAGAAUCGCUAUAAAUAAUAUACCUACGCCGUACCAUGAAAACAUCAAGAAGAGAGACGGAUACAUGGACCACCAUCAAGCGAGUAGUGACAGCACGCACAAGAAUACCCGGAACCUGUUAGCUUGUCUGUAGUGAUCUGUUUUCUUCCCCAUAAAAUCCAUGAGUAUUGCCACAAAUAAUGAAAGAGGCUGACCAAGCUAGCAAGGAGGUAGAGCAAACGUGAUACACGGCCUGCCAAGAUUGCCCUGGAUACGCCAAUAAGAGCGACAGAUACAUGGAUCACACCAAUAUGGUGAAACGUAUAUUCAUCACACAAGCAAAGCUGGUCAGUUUAUCCAUGGUCAAAUUGUGGUCUUUGUUUUCACUUGAGAGCUAAUUGAGGCACUAUAAUAUGGGCAGGCCUAUCUUCAACAGACAUGACAGCUACAGGGAACUUGACAUAAUUUGCUGGGCCGCCUGUGCACAAUUAUUUGUUUUAUUGUCCUUGCAUAGAAUGCUAAAAUACUCUUUACAAAAUGUUGGAUCUAAUAUUUGAAAUAUAGAGUAGUAAUCAUAUAUUGAUCAACAACUUGAAAUUAUCUGUACAUUCUCGGUGAAGCUGUUGAACUAAUUUUUGCAAAUUAUUAAUUCAUCUCAUUACGUAAAGAAAAAAGUAAGUGGAUAAGAUAUUUCGUGGACCACAUCACUGCAAACAUGUCAUGGAGAGACAGACCAAGGAGGCAGGACGUGAUACACGACUUACCCUAGGUUGCCGUGGAACCGCCAAGAAGAGAUACAGAUACAUGGACCACACCAUCUUGGGAGUAGUGACAGCAUAUAUGCAGAAGAAUACCCCGUGCCUAUUUGCAUGCAUGUCUCAAGUGAUCUGUUUUCUUCAGAAAAUACAUGAGCAUUGCCAGAAAGAAUGGCAAGAGACAAACAUGUCAUAGAGACUUGCAUGUCUUGCCUUGGAUACGCCAAGAAGAGGGACACAUACAUGGAUAACACAAAUCUAGUGACACGUAUAUUCAUCACAAAGGCAAAUCUGAUAAUUUUAUCCAUGGAGCAGACCAAGGAGAAAUUGAUGACGGACAUGUGAUCUCUGUAUUCAGUUGAAAGCUAAUUGAGCUACACUAAUAUGAGCAGGACUAUAUUCAAGAGACUUGUUGAGAGCUACAGGGAACUUGUAAUAAUUUGCUGGGCGGCCUGCGCACAAUGAUUUGUUAUACAUAGUUGAAAUAUUUCAAGAAUUUAUCAACCUCAUACUCUGAAACCCUUGGUGCAAUGUACUCUGCUUUCCGAGGUAGACUGUUCACGUAAAAUGAGGUCAUGCGUAAGACGGAAUCGGAUUGGAUUCACAGGGAAUCAGAUUUGGAUAGCACCUUUUAGCAGGUUUUUAGUCAAAUGCAAAUUCGGAUCCACAUGUGGUUGAAUGCGAGUUCAAAAUUCUACUUGGAUAUCCAUUUAAUUUAGGUGAUAGCAAUUAGCACAAAAUGUUGGAUGAACAAAAUCAUAGUUAGACAUACAAUUACAUGUAUGGUUAAAGUAUAAUACAAUACACCAAGAUUAUUCCUUGAAAAUAUUUCUUAAAAAUAUUAUAAUAAAUGAAUAAAUAUAAUUGUGGCCACCAACAAAUAGUCGGUGGUCGCUAAGUUGGAGCCAUUUCUGGUUACUAAUGCGGCCUUCUCCUCGACCAGCGACGACAGCUGAGCUUGUUCCUUCUGACACUAAAUCAUCAGAGUCUUCCCUCCACUACUAUAGAAUGCACCUUUAGCACCAAUUGGGAAAUCCCCUUCAGUAUUGGAUGCUGCAACCAGUGCUAUAUAUCAAAAUGGAGACUAAAAGCCUCGGUCUUGGGUACCGGUUGCAUAACGCAUUACUAAAGGAGGCAAAAGAGAAAUGUAACAAAAAAAAUAUUUUGAAUUCCAAGAAUGUUUCACUAUUCAAGAUGACUAGCUGAGAGUCAACAGACAAGAUACUAGGAAUGUGGGUGCUUGAAUGCAUUUGUACAGAGGUCAUACUAUUUACAAACUCUUCUAUGUUUCCAUAUGACUACCUACUUCAAUGUCACGCGAGCCAUUCAGCUGGACACAUGGCACACUAGCUUGCAUGUCGAAUCCAUGAUUAAUUAUUUCCACUUGUGAUCUCUUACCAGUAUUUGUCCAGACUAGAAACGUGCAACACAUUUUUAGGAUAUGGACACGCAUAUAUUUGGACUAGUAUACAGGUCACCUUUGGAUGCGUACAAGGAUGACCGGGAGGGACUAGAAAUGGUCUAGUUUUGAUUGGACUACAAAACUUUUUGUACAGUGAAUAGAGAAUAUAUAUUAUUGUUGGAAUACGAGGUAGGCUACACUAUCGCAAUUCUGAUAUUCUACCGCGUAUAACCAAGAAGAACUGUCGUAUAAGGAUCACGGGAUUACCACUCGACGCACUACUGGUGCGGAAGAUGUAGAUAUGCGUCGAUGCAGUGAAGACGAUCACGUAGUCGUAUGUAGUCGAUCAACGUAGUCGUACAUAGUCGAUCACGUCCAGCAGCUCCUCAGCAGCUCGUCCACGUGCAGCAAGAUCGCCUCCGGUACCGCGGCUCGUCGUUGGCUUGUCGUGGCUCGUCGACGGCUCGUCGGCGGCUCGUCCAAGUGCUGCAGGCGCAACACCUCCAAGGUAUCCACACGUGCAGGGAGGAAGCGUCGCAAGCCGGACUGCUAGAUCCACGAGUUGCAACAGGCGAGGGCGUGGGAGGCGCGGCAGGUGUGUUUCGCCAAAAAGGUGUAAACCCUAGGGCGCCCCCACCCCUCUAUUUAUAGAGGUUCCUGACGGGCCUCUGGAUCCGAGGCCCAUUAGUACUUCUAAACCUAAUCCAACUCGGAUCAGAUCCGAAUUGGGCUUCCAGCCCCUUAAGUGUGUGACCCUAUAAGUUCGGAUACGUAUAGACAUGGCCCGAGUACUCCUACUCGGCCCAAUAGUCGGUAGCGGCCUCUAGCAAGACGUGCCAACUCCUAUACGCACACGAAGAUCAUAUCAGACGAACCAUCACAACAUAAUAUACAUGCUAUUCCCUUUGCCUCACGAUAUUUGGUCUAGCUUCAAGCCGACCGCUCUUUCUCAGUCCUGUGAUUCGGAAUCCCUUUGUAGGUUAACUCUUAACCGUACGUAGCAUGGCCAUGCAUUUUCGGAUCUGAUCACUCGAGGGGCCCAGAGAUAUCACUCUCAAUCAGAGAGGGGCAAAUCCCAUCUUGAUUGACCAUGUCUCAUAGCAUGCUUCUUGACAAACCUAAAAACUACCUUUAUAACUUCCCUGUUACGGCGUAGUGUUUGAUAGCUCCUAAGUAGGUCGAUCCACAUCUAGAAUACAUGCGACAAUUUCAGGUCUAAGGACAAAGCGUAUAUGUUGUUUAAAGAGAGAACUACUUCUCGUGUUGGGUCAGUCCCAGCACAUGUCUCCACAUGUGUCCACAUUAUUAGUUCAACAUCUCCAUGUCCAUGACUUGUGAAACAUAGUCAUCAACUAAUACAUGUGCUAGUCUAAUAUUCAUGUGUGUCCUCACAUGAACUCCGACUAGGGACAACUUUAGAAUAACCAUACAAGUAAAGAGUUUCACAUACAAUUCACAUAAUUGCAAAUCAAUUCAAGUAGCCUUCAAUGGAUAUUCAAUGAACACAACAUACAAAUCAUGGAUACAAAUGGAAUAUCAUCAUCUCUAUGAUUGCCUCUAGGGCAUACCUCCAACAGUCUCCCACUUGCACUAGAGUCAAUCUAGAAGGUACCUAAUACCCAUAGCUCUUACAUGCGCAUCAUGCUUAGCCUGCGGGAGUGGUUUUGUCAACGGAUCAGAAAUGUUCAGAUCCGUGUGUAUUUUGCAUAUCUUGAUCUCACCCCGGUUAACGAAGUCUCGAAUGAGAUGAAAUCGCCGCAUUACAUGUUUGUUCUUCUGGUGGUUCCUUGGCUCCUUUGCUUGCGCAAUUGCCCCAUUGUUAUCACAGUAGAGAUUCAAUGGGCUGGACCCAUUCGGGAACACACCAAGCUCAAUGAGGAAAUUCCUUAUCCAAACACCUUCCUUCGCGGCUUCCGAAGCCGCGAUGUACUCGGCUUCUGUCGUAGAAUCGGCCACCGUCUCCUGCUUGGAACUCUUCCAACUAACAGCACCACCAUUUAGCGUGAACACAAAUCCUGUUUGUGACUUUGAAUCAUCUCUGUCGGUUUGGAAACUAGCAUCGGUGUAACCUGUUACAACGAGCUCCUCCUCACCUCCAUAGACGAGGAAUAUAUCUUUAGUCCUUCUCAAGUACUUAAGAAUGUUUUUCACCGCUGUUCAGUGACUCUCACCUGGAUCAGAUUGGUGUCUGCUUGUCAUACUUAGCACAUAUGAAACAUCUGGGCGAGUACUUAUCAUUGCAUACAUGAUAGAUCCAAUAGCCGAGGCAUAUGACACUCUACUCAUGUGAUCCCGCUCAUCAGCAGUCGAAGGACACUGAGUCUUGCUGAGAUGUAUGCCAUGUGACAUAGGCAAGAACCCUUCCAUGCUGAACCGCUUCAACACUUUGUCAAUGUAAGUAUCUUGGCUUAAACCUAUAAGCCUUCUCGAUCUAUCUCUAUAGAUCUUAAUGCCCAGAAUAUAUGCCGCUUCCCCUAAGUCCUUCAUCGAAAAACUAUUUUUCAGUGAAGUCUUUAUGGACUCAAGCAUAGGAAUGUUAUUUCCAAUCAGUAAUAUGUCAUCCACAUAUAAGAUUAGAAAUACUACAGAGCUCCCACUAACCUUCUUGUAAACACAAGACUCUUCUUCGUUCUUGGUGAAGUCAAACCCUUUGACCACUUCAUCAAAACGAAUGUUCCAACUCCUAGAUGCUUGCUUCAAUCAAUAAAUGGAUCUCUGAAGCUUGCAUACCUUUCCAGCAUUUUUCGGAUCGACAAAACCCUUGGACUGUAUCAUAUACACGUCCUCAGUUAGGUUUCCAUUCAGGAAAGCUGUCUUGACAUCCAUCUGCCAUAUCUCAUAAUCGAAAUAUGCAGCCAAACUUGAUUGUCUCCCAUGGACUCUAUUUCGGAUUGCAUGGCAUUCUGCCAUUUUUCGGAGUCUGGGUCCAUCAUUGCUUCUGCAUAUGUCACAGGCUCAUCAUUGUCCAACAAUAAUAUUUCCUGCAUUUCGCGGAGCCUUGCCGACCUUCGUGGUUGUGGCGGUGCUUCUCUUGCCAUGGGUAUCUCAACUUGUUCUGCUACGUUAGCAUCACUCAUUGAUUCUUGCCCGAUCGGCUCAUCUUGAACUUCUUCAAGAUGCACUGUCUUUCCACUCUUUUCUCCUUUGAGAAACUCUUUCUCUAGGAAAACCCCGUUCCGAGCGACAAACACUUUGCCUUCUGAUCAGUUGUAAAAAUAAUAUCCCAAAGUUUCCUUUGGAUAUCCCACGAAAAUGCACUUAUCCGACUUGGGUGCGAUCUUGUCCGACUGAAGUCGCUUGACAAACACAUCACAUCCCCAAAUCUUUAGAAAAGACAAACUAGGAACCUUUCCAGUCCAUAUCUCAUAUGGUGUCUUAACUACGGAUUUAGAUGGUACCCUAUUAAGUGUGAAAGCUGCUGUUUCUAGAGCGUAUCCCCAAAAUGACAACGGUAGGUCCGACUGGCUCAUCAUUGAUCGAACCAUGUCUAACAAAGAUCGAUUACGUCGCUCGGACACACCGUUUCUCUGAGGUGAUCCAGGCGGCGUAAGUUGUGGAACAAUUCCGCAACUCUUUAGAUGAUUGCUAAACUUGUGGCUCAAAUACUCGCCUCCACGAUCAGAUUGUAAGGCCUUAAUUUUCUUGACACGCUAAUUUUCAACUUCAUUCUGAAAAUCCUUGAACUUUUCAAAGGUUUCAGACUUGUGCCUCAUCAAGUAGACAUAGCCAUAUCUACUAAAAUCAUCAGUGAAAGAUAUGAAGUAUUGGAAUCCUCCUCUAGCCGUCGUGCUCAUUGGUCCGCAUACAUCACUAUGUACGAGUUCCAACAAGUCUACUGCUCUCUCAGGAAAUCCUGUGAAAGACGUCUUGGUCAUCUUGCCUAGCAAGCAAGCCUCACAUGUCUCGUAUGAUUCAAAAUCAAACGAAGUUAGAAGUCCAUCAGAAUGGAGCUUCUUCAUGCGUUUUUCACUUAUAUGACCCAAACGACAAUGCCACAAGUAGGUAGGACUCAAAUCAUUAGGCCGAGGCCUUUUAGCACUUACAUUACAGACAGGUGAACCAUCAAGAUUUAAAACAAAUAAUCCAUUCACAAUGGGUGCAAAAGCCAUAAACAUAUUAUUCUUAGAGAUCACACAACCAUUGUUUUCACUCGCAAAUGAAUAACCAUCCUUCAUCAAGCAUGAAGGAGACAAAAUGUUUCGACUUAAACUAGGAACAAAAUAACAAUUAUUCAACUCCAUAAUAAAUGCUGACGGGAGGUGGAGUUGCAUCGUCCCGACGGUCAACGCAGCAACUCUUGCAUUAUUGCCCACGCGGAAAUCAACUUCUCCUCUUUCCACGCUUCUACUUCUUAUCAUUCCCUGCAUCGAAUUGCAAAUAUGAGCAACCGAUCCGGUAUCAAAUACCCAAGAAUUAAUAAUUGUAUCAGCGAGAAAUAUGUUGUCUAUGACAUUAACAACAAGCGUACCUGAGGUAGAAGUACUCUUACUUCCUCCAUUCUUCAACGAAGCUAGGUACUGCUUGCAGUUUCUCUUCCAGUGACCAAGUUCAUGACAGUAAAAGCACUCUUUGUCUGGAGCAGGUCCAGGUCCAGCUUUAACCUUGGGCGCUCGCUGGGUUUGGCUUGGAAAUUCCAGCCUUGCCCUUCUUCUUCCAAGAAUUGCCCUUCUUCUUAAAGCUAGGCUUGUUCUGUAUAGCCAUCACAUGGCUAGUACAAGCGCUUUUCUUGAUGUCUACCUCUGCUGUCUUGAGCAUACCACACAGUUCAUUCAAACCCUUCUCCGUCCCAUGCAUAUGGUAGUUCGAGAUGAAGUUCCCAUAGCUAGGCGGAAGAGAUGAAAGAAUGAAGUCAGUGGCCAACUCUUUGCCCAUUGGGAAGCCCAGCUUCUCCAAUCGCUGAGUGUAACCAACCAUGUUGAUUACAUGUGGUCCUACUGCUGCGUCUUCUGCUAGCUUGCACUCCAGAAAAGCUUUGGACACAUUGAACCUUUCAGUCCUAGCCUGUGUCUGGAACAUGUCCUUGAGCGCCACGAUCAUAUCGUGUGCCUCAUGAUUUGUUUCGAACUGCAUCUGCAGCUCGGGUUCCAUGCAAGCAAGCAUAAGGCAGCUUACCUCAAGAUUAGCAUCAAAUGCCUUCUUGUAAGCAGCCUUAACGGCAGCAGAUGCAUCAUCAGCAGGUACUGGUGGUAGUGGGGUAUCUAGAACAUCUUCCUUUUUAUCGGCCCUGAGAACAAUUCUCAGGUUACGGAUCCAAUCCGAGUAGUUUGUUCCAUUCAACUUGUCCUUCUCAAGGACCGAGCGCAAAGCAAACGAUGUGGUGGUGUUGCUAGGUGCCAUUUAAUCUACAACAAAAGUAAUGCAAAAUACACUAAGACAAACGUAUCCAUGAUAGAGCAAAUUACAUUAAACUAUUUUAACAGAAUCUACUCCCACUAAAAUCAAUAUCCCUCUAUUGAAACUUAGUGAUUCAGGAUCCACAACUAACAAGUCUACUAGUGAGCUUUAGCAUCACCGCUAGCAAACGAGGUAGAUCGGUAAGCAACUUUUGCUAAUCAUAUCACAUAUGACUCCUGUUGUUGGGUGACAUCUCCAUGUCUCGGCGCCCAACCAUUAUGCCCCAAGGUCCUUAACCGUUAAGAUGACCUCGUUAAGCAAACCAACCCUUAUGCGUGUAAGUGUCCGACACAAACCCGUCUAGUCAAGGAAAACUAGUGGCACCCUAAUUUCAUAGACCCACCACUAAUUGUACAAGACAUGGGACGGUGCAAGUUUUAGUUGGGAGGGCAUACUAACUUAAAUUUUUUGUGAGGGAUCGUUCUACUUCUAACAUCACAGCAUGCAGAAAGUAAAACAUAAACAGAAUAGCAUUCACACAGCUGUGACACAGUAUGGCCCGUUUUUAUAUGGUGAUCUCCAUCUCCAUAGAACCUGUUCACCAUGGUGAUCUCCAUCUCCAUGUUCCAUGUGCGCCAUCCUCCUGGUGAGGAGUCCUCCAAGAACUAGAACAUGCUAUUACACCUAAUAGCUAGUAAAGAAUCUAGUAAUGAAGAUUACAUAGUUGCUUGGAUCAUCACAGAUUGGUACGCAGACCAUUAAAUACAAUAAAGUGACAACACAUAUGGCUCCUGCCGUGUUGCCGUACGCGCGACACGCAGGUCACGAAUGAGUUACACACAUGCAUCACAUACACAAGGGGGCCAUACUGAUCACAAGAUACAUACAUACAUCCUGCAAAACAGAGUUAGGCGUCCUAACGUUCCAAACUUCGAAGGCCCGAAACUCCAUCUUCCAAGCCGAAUUUGGGAAAUCUAAUUUUGCCGAAAACGGCAAAGCGGUUGAAUUUCAUGUGUAACUUUUUCUGUAGAUCAAUUUUCAUAUAAAAUUCGCCCCGAUCCGAGAUCGUACCGAAAAGUUACGGCUGAUUUACCGAAGCAUACGCAUACGGCAAAAAUUCCGACCCCGGCAGUAGAUCCCAUCUACUAUUGCACAUCUAAUGCGCCUGGCGUAUGAUCCUGGAUUUCGAUUCGACCAAUCAUAUUGAUCUUCGCUCACUGCAACUGGAAUUACGUGUAUCACUUAACUCGUCGGCGGCUCGUCGGCGGCUCAUCCAAGUGCUGCAGGCCCAACACCUCCAAGGUAUCCACACGUGCAGGGAGGAAGCGUCGCAAACCGGACUGCUAGAUCCGCGAGUUGCAAUAGGCGAGGGCGUGGGAGGCGCCGCAGGUGUGUUUCGCCAAAAAGAUGUAAACCCUAGGGCGCCCCCACCCCUCUAUUUAUAGAGGUUCCUGACGGGCCUCUGGAUCCGAGGCCCAUUAGUACUUCUAAACCUAAUCCAACUCGGAUCAGAUCCGAAUUGGGCUUCCAGCCCCUUAAGUGUGUGACCCUAUGGGUUCGGAUACGUAUAGACAUGGCCCGAGUACUCCUACUCGGCCCAAUAGUCGGUAGCGGCCUCUAGCAAGACGUGCCAACUCCUAUACACACACGAAGAUCAUAUCAGAUGAACCAUCACAACAUAAUAUACAUGCUAUUCCCUUUGCCUCACGAUAUUUGGUCUAGCUUCAAGCCGACCGCUCUUUCUCAAUCCUGUGAUUCGGAAUCCCUUUGUAGGUUAACUCUUAACCGUACGUAGCAUGGCCAUGCAUUUUCGGAUCCGAUCACUCGAGGGGCCCAGAGAUAUCACUCUCAAUCAGAGAGGGGCAAAUCCCAUCUUGAUUGACCAUGUCUCAUAGCAUGCUUCUUGACAAACCCGAAAACUACCUUUAUAACUACCCUGUUACGGCGUAGCAUUUGAUAGCCCCUAAGUAGGUCGAUCCACAUCUAGAAUACAUGCGACAAUCUCAGGUCUAAGGACAAAGCGUAUAUGUUGUUUAAAGAGAGAACUACUUCUCGUGUUGGGUCAGUCCCAGCACAUGUCUCCACAUGUGUCCACAUUAUUAGUUCAACAUCUCCAUGUCCAUGACUUGUGAAACAUAGUCAUCAACUAAUACAUGUGCUAGUCUAAUAUUCAUGUGUGUCCUCACAUGAACUCCGACUAGGGACAACUUUAGAAUAACCAUACAAGUAAAGAGUUUCACAUACAAUUCACAUAAUUGCAAAUCAAUUCAAGUAGCCUUCAAUGGAUAUUCAAUGAACACAACAUACAAAUCAUGGAUACAAAUGGAAUAUCAUCAUCUCUAUGAUUGCCUCUAGGGCAUACCUCCAACAAUUAUUUCAUGUAAAUUUUUGACAAUUUUUUAAAAUUGUUUGAUAUUUUUUAAAUUUUUUUUAAAAUAACUUUGCCGAGUGUCCUAUUGUAGACACUCGGCAAAGCAGCCUUCACCGAGUGUUACCCCUGGGACACUCGGCGAAUUAAUGCCCGGCCGCUCAAGAAUAUGUGCCCGGCCCCCUCACUCUCCCGGCCCCCCUCACUCUCACUCCCCUCACUCCCUCCUCUCUCCCUCCUCUCUCCCUCUCGCCGCCGCCCGAAACCCCCGCCGCCGCCCGCCGCCCGGCAUGCCGCCCAGCGCCCCCCGCCGCCGCCCGGCGCUCCCGAAUCCGCCGCCGCCCGCCCGGCGCCCGGCCCCCGGAUCCGCCGCCGCCGGCCGCCCGGCGCCCCCGGAUUCGCCGCCGCCCGCCCGGCCCCCGGCCCCCGGAUCAGCCGCCGCCCGCCGCCCGGCGCACGGCGCCCCCGGAUCCGCCGCCGCCUGCCCGGCGCCCGGCCCCUGGCCCCCUGAUCCGCCGCCGCCCGCCCGGAUCCGCCGCCGCCCGCCCGGCGCCCGGCCCCCGGCCCCCGGAUCCACCGCCGCCCCCCCGGCCCCCGGAUCCGCCGCCCGCCCGUCCCCUCCACCGGAUCCGCCGGCGCCGGGGCCUGAAGAGAAGAGAAGAGGAGAGGAUGGUGGCGGCGGCGGCCGCGGCGGCGGAGCAGGUGGCAGAGCAUGCAUGAUUUUUUUUUAUUUUUUCAAUAAUUGUUCGCCAAGUGUUUUCUGGGCACUCGGCAAAGUCUUUGCCGAGUGCCCGACACAAAACACUCGGCGAACCAGUGUUUGCCGUCAAGAUUUUUGCCGUGUGUCGUUUGCCGAGUGUUACACUCGGCAAACGCUUUGUCGAGUGUUUUUGGGGUUUCGCGGAGUGACCCUGGCACUCGGCAUCACGCAUGUUUCCCUUAGUGAACUUGAAAUUAUCUGUACAUUCUCGGUGAAGCUGUUGAACUAAUUUUUGCAAAUUAUUAAUUCAUCUCAUUACGCAAAGAAAAAAGUAAGUGGAUAAGAUAUUUCGUGGACCACAUCACUGCAAACAUGUCAUGGAGAGACAGACCAAGGAGGCAGGACGUGAUACACGACUUACCCUAGGUUGCCGUGGAACCGCCAAGAAGAGAUACAGAUACAUGGACCACACCAUCUUGGGAGUAGUGACAGCAUAUAUGCAGAAGAAUACCCCGUGCCUAUUUGCAUGCAUGUCUCAAGUGAUCUGUUUUCUUCAGAAAAUACAUGAGCAUUGCCAGAAAGAAUGGCAAGAGACAAACAUGUCAUAGAGACUUGCAUGUCUUGCCUUGGAUACGCCAAGAAGAGGGACACAUACAUGGAUAACACAAAUCUAGUGACACGUAUAUUCAUCACAAAGGCAAAUCUGAUAAUUUUAUCCAUGGAGCAGACCAAGGAGAAAUUGAUGACGGACAUGUGAUCUCUGUAUUCAGUUGAAAGCUAAUUGAGCUACACUAAUAUGAGCAGGACUAUAUUCAAGAGACUUGUUGAGAGCUACAGGGAACUUGUAAUAAUUUGCUGGGCGGCCUGCGCACAAUGAUUUGUUAUACAUAGUUGAAAUAUUUCAAGAAUUUAUCAACCUCAUACUCUGAAACCCUUGGUGCAAUGUACUCUGCUUUCCGAGGUAGACUGUUCACGUAAAAUGAGGUCAUGCGUAAGACGGAAUCGGAUUGGAUUCACAGGGAAUCAGAUUUGGAUAGCACCUUUUAGCAGGUUUUUAGUCAAAUGCAAAUUCGGAUCCACAUGUGGUUGAAUGCGAGUUCAAAAUUCUACUUGGAUAUCCAUUUAAUUUAGGUGAUAGCAAUUAGCACAAAAUGUUGGAUGAACAAAAUCAUAGUUAGACAUACAAUUACAUGUAUGGUUAAAGUAUAAUACAAUACACCAAGAUUAUUCCUUGAAAAUAUUUCUUAAAAAUAUUAUAAUAAAUGAAUAAAUAUAAUUGUGGCCACCAACAAAUAGUCGGUGGUCGCUAAGUUGGAGCCAUUUCUGGUUACUAAUGCGGCCUUCUCCUCGACCAGCGACGACAGCUGAGCUUGUUCCUUCUGACACUAAAUCAUCAGAGUCUUCCCUCCACUACUAUAGAAUGCACCUUUAGCACCAAUUGGGAAAUCCCCUUCAGUAUUGGAUGCUGCAACCAGUGCUAUAUAUCAAAAUGGAGACUAAAAGCCUCGGUCUUGGGUACCGGUUGCAUAACGCAUUACUAAAGGAGGCAAAAGAGAAAUGUAACAAAAAAAAUAUUUUGAAUUCCAAGAAUGUUUCACUAUUCAAGAUGACUAGCUGAGAGUCAACAGACAAGAUACUAGGAAUGUGGGUGCUUGAAUGCAUUUGUACAGAGGUCAUACUAUUUACAAACUCUUCUAUGUUUCCAUAUGACUACCUACUUCAAUGUCACGCGAGCCAUUCAGCUGGACACAUGGCACACUAGCUUGCAUGUCGAAUCCAUGAUUAAUUAUUUGCACUUGUGAUCUCUUACCAGUAUUUGUCCAGACUAGAAACGUGCAACACAUUUUUAGGAUAUGGACACGCAUAUAUUUGGACUAGUAUACAGGUCACCUUUGGAUGCGUACAAGGAUGACCGGGAGGGACUAAUGGAUACAAGGAAGGGACCAUCAGGAUUAAUAUUGACAUAUGCCACAUGACAAUCUUCAUUGUCAUGCAAUCCCUAUCAACAAUCAUGGAAUCCCUAGUGUACUAAUCCCUGGAGGGUUGUGUGGAAAUUUAUUUUACCUUGCGGUGAAAAUCUCAUGAGCAGUCAUUAGUUAAGCUGACUAGCUGAGAUAUAAUAGACAAGCUAGUAAGAUUGGGAGCAUCAAUGCAUCCAUACAGGGUCACAAUAUCCUUUCCAUUCACUUUUAUAUAUAACCCUACGAAUACAAGUCCAACGAAAUGCGGGCCUUUCGAUCAAGAUAAAUUAAAUGGCCCACUUGUAUUUCUAAUCCAGGAUUAACUAUGCCCUCUGUUCAUCUCUUGCAAGCACGUGCAACACAUUUUCACGAUAUGGACAUGCAUGGAGGUUAUUAUACUGUUUGGACAAACUCUGAUGUGCCAUGACCUAAAUGCUUAGGGCCUGUUUGGUUUGAGUUGCUUAUUAUAAGCAACUUAAAGUUGCUUAAAGUUGCUUAUUUGAAGUUGCUUAUUUUUAGUCUAAACUGUUUGGAUACCCUUGCUUAUGAGCAUUGAAUGAGUUGGACAUUGUCAAAUUUGCCCCAUGUGUUGCUACCCCUCCAAUUUGCCUCCCCACCCUUCUUCUUCCUGCACACGUCCGAUCCCGGGGGCCGACGGCGGGCAGGGAGCAGCAGCAGCUGGCCAGGGCGGCGGUGGGGCGGGAGCGGCGGCGCACACCAGCACGCGCUCGCACGCCAGGUGCUAGGGCGCGGCGAGGCAGUCGUCGUAGCCCACCGGGAGCGGGUGCUCGGGCGCGAGGCGGUACUCGACGGAGAUGCCGAGCGUCGGGCGCGCGGCGGCGAGCGCGUUGAGGAAGCGAUGGUAGUGCGGCGACGUCGCGGACUCCGCCACGAAGCCGCCGCCGUGGACGUACACCACCACGGGCAGCUUCGUCUUGCCGUCGGCGGCCGCGGCCGCGGCCUGGGGUGGCAGGUAGAGGCGGACGGAGCAGGAGCCGAGGUCGACGUCCCUGGAGUCGACGCCCGUGGCGGCGUCCAGGCUGGGCCCGACCGGCGGCGGCACGAGCGGGCGCUCGAUGCGGCCGCUCUUGUAAAUCCGACGGGUCUGUGCGGAGGCGGGCGGCGGGCGGGAGCGGCGGGUGGGAGCGGCGGCAGGUGGUGCGGAGGCCGGCGGCGGCGGGUGGCGCGGAGGAAGGGGAGCUGGUGAGUGGUGACAGGGGAGGGGGGGAGAGAGAGGGGGGGUAGGGUGCAUUGAAUGAGGGCAGGAGGUGUAAAGUGCACCUUUUAGUCCCCAUGAGCAACCAUAAGCAGCCCAAGAGUUGCUUAUUUGCUUAUAAUAAGCAACCUCAUAAGCAAGAGUGAUUGGUUUCAUAAGCAACUUAUUUGCUUAUUUUAAGUUGCUUAUGCAUAAGCAUGUGAAACCAAGCAGGUCCUUAACCUAUGGUUGUGGCACCACACAGUACAUAGUAUUUAAUAAUGCUAUUCGUUUGGUAUGUGCACAAGGGCACGCAUGAAAUGUCUGGCCCACGGUAAACAAGUACGGACGCUGCAAAUAAUCUACUCUGCUCGUCCAGUCCCUAGCCUAUAAAUAGAUGCCAUGCUAGCUCUUGUUGUGCUCACAAUUAAUCCUGACUACACACGAGCUUCUCUCCCUGGCCAAGACACAAUCAUAGUAUGAUGAAGAACAUGGCACUAGCCGGCAAUGGUAUGAAGAACUUAAUCCUCGCUGUUCUCUUACUGUGUCUAGUUAUAGGGCAGAUACAAGUGGAAGCUAAGAGCUGCUGCCCAUCCAUUACUGCAAGAAAUAUCUACAAUGCCUGCCGUAUCACGGGUACAUCCCGUCCAACGUGUGCAAAACUGUCAGGCUGCAAAAUUAUCAGCGGGGACAAAUGCAAGCCCCCUAACGACCACCUCACCCUUGACCCGGACACUGGUAAAUAAUAAAUUUAUCUCACUUGAUUUCUUCGUGUUUUGAGUCGUUAAUGUAUUUUCCAUCUGAUGAAACGUAUUGGUUUUGCAUUGAAGAGGAAGUUAAUGUGCUUAACUUCUGCAAGUUGGGGUGUGCGUCGUCUGUGUGCAACAACAUCAACGCUGGUAAGCACCUUUUGCUCAGACGGAGAAAACAAUAAUCAUUAAUUAGCGGCAGCUAGAAUCCUAUAAUCUAAUAUAUUUAUAUAUAUAUAUAAUUUUAUCAGCUCUGGGAAAUGAAGAGGCGAACGAUGCCGUUGAGAGUUGCGACCAAGCCUGCUCUAGCUUCUGCAACGUGCACGUUGGCGCUGCCACCGUGGUUGCUUAAGCAAAUGCAUCCAACUGGAUCGUCCUUGUGCUAAAUAAUUGGAUAUCGUAUCCACUUAAAGCUGCCUUGUGUAGUACGUUUUUGUUUGUGUCUCUCUUUAUAUUCCAAUAAGGUCGGUGAUCUUGAUGCCACACACUCAGACGUGUGUUCAUCUCCAGAUACUACUCCAUGCUACCUGCCCUUUGUGUUUUGUUCAAUAACUGGGUAUCAUAUCCCAGCCAGUGUGCCAUCUGUUUUGUGUUUAUUUCCUUCUAGUUUCAAAGGGGUUAUCAUGAUGUUACCUUCUUUCGAUAUGGUGCUUUGCAUGACUACUGUUGUAUGGUACCAUCUUGUUGGCCAAUAAAUACAUCUUAUCCUAUGACCCUUUGCUAUGACCCUUUGCAAAUAAGUACAAGAUUGUUAAAUACUCGGUAUAAAUUGACUACUGCUGUGAGUUCCCUUUCAGCUUAUCGUAGGCAUACAUUAUUGCUAGCACGGUGAAGACAACCAACACGAAUGGUCAAGUAAACGUACCGGUACUUUUGUAUACCAACACCCUUGCUUAAAUGUACCGGUGUUACUCCCCACUGGCACAUAUAUUCUUAUAUGCUAGCCGGCUUGAAAAUUAACCGAUUAAAAUAAUUAUUUCAAGACAGAAAUAACUUAUCGGCUUCUCGAAGCAUGUGUAAUGUGAAUUCAAGGACUCGAUGGAAGUUGAAUCGCUUCAUCUAGAUUGCUUUCAGGAUUUUGGGUAACUAAAUGUAACAUUUGCACAUACAAAUGUUAAUGUACAAAUAUUAAAUAUAGUUACCCAAGCAGAAUAUGAAGAUACUCUAUAGUAUAUAUAUACUAUAUAAAUCUAGUUAACAUUUAGUCUAAAUGUUAAAUCUAGUUACCUAAAAUCCUGAAAGCAAAAUGUAUAAAUAUAUAUCUUUUAAGGAAUCCCAAAGCAAGAGUUCAGUGGCAUUCUAUAGUCCCAUGCUGCUAGUUUGAGUUGGUCGAAGCCAACUUAAAUAGGAGAGCUCUCUCACUUCUCUAAAUACGUAACUGAAGGAGAGAAGGGGGCUUGGUUACACAACGCACGCACGCACGCAUAUUUGUGUUCUUUUCGCGUAACCAACCGCGUGACUUGAAACUUGCGACGUAGCGUGCUGCCAAGUCAAGUUGAUAUAACCUUUUUGCCGUUGGCGUGUAAUCUUUUGACAACGGUCAUUGGAGGUGAUAAGCACGCAGUCAAUACCUUAAUCCUGAGUUAAUAGGGCGGUUACUACUGCCAAUUAGUGGGGCAAUUUUGUAGGGGAAACGGUUAGCAGAGGGCUACCGUCUUCUCUAUAAGAAGUUCUGGAGACGUCCAGGAACACACAUGUACAUGUGAGAGACCCACGAAUUCCUUCCCAUCUCCCUUUUCCAUCUGGUGAAGUGUGCUGUGGUACUGAGCUGCUGGAUCUCGCCGGCUCUUCUCCUUGGCGUGCACCGAGGAGGAGGGUGAGCGGUAUCUCCGAGCUAUUGCCGUCAGGAAGCCUGCACGAGGGACAACAAUAAAGUUUUUGGGUAGCGCAACUGCGCAACCGCUCGAUUCGAUCGACUAUGUUCUGCGUUGCCUCAUCUUCGAUCUGCACUGCAACACGUAACCCUGCAGCAAGUCUACAUGAGGAUGGAGCACUAAUCUGUAAGUCCUAGAUUGGUUUCUUAUAGAGUUGUAGGUUACACAAGAUCUAGAAUUGUUACAUACUUAUUAUUCUGGGUUACAUGAUGUUUUGUACGGUUACGUCUAUUUUGCAUAUGCUAUUUUUACAUACCGUUUACAUGCAUAUGUAAUGGUUACGCCUAGCUAUUUGAAUCUAGAAUUGGGUUACAUAGCAGUAGCAAUGACUUACGUAAUAUGCCUCAUGUUUAUAUCUGGUAGAAUUUAACACGUAUCUCCAACAUAUUUUGAGGCAGUAUAAAUUUCAAUUCCUUUUGCUGCUCUUUUAAAUCCCGUCUUUCGUGUGGCCCAACACUCUAGUAUGCAUGUAGCACCAAGCUUGUUUGAGCCGCUUUGUGCUCUGAUUUUGCUGUCUGUAUCAGGUUGGACUGUUUCUUUGUCUUGCGAUGUAUAGCUUCAUAUCUUCUAGAGGUUAGACAGCAAAACCCGCGUUCUCUUAAGGCAACAACUCGAAGAAUCUGCAGCGCCCCUGAUAUAUCACUGCUGCAGAAACGAUCUUUAGUACUGAUCUCCAACCCCCUCUAGUAUCGGUUUGGCAAUCAGUACCACUACGUCGGUACUAAAGGGAGUUCUCUAGAAUCAGGUCAAAUAACUGGUACUAAAAGGGCUCCUUUACUACCAGUUGGUAACACCAAUAGGUAGUAACUUUUUUUGCACCCAAAAAAUUAAAGAAAAACAGCUGGGAGGCUCGCGCACACACGCAUCAUUAGUAAUAUGUGUGUGCAUGGUUUGUGGGAUUCCAAUCCACGACCAAGCUAUAAGCACGUAGUUACAAAAAAUUAAACACUUAGACAUUUUAGAGCAUCCCAAAUAACUACAAAUUCUAUAGUUUACCAUAUACCAUAAAAUAUUAGUUAAAAUAAGAGCAUACACAUGUCGGAAGAGUCCCAAUGCACCGGUUGAGGAUCAGACCAGGCACUUUGAAUGCACAUGCCAUAAGAUAAUUCUGCAGGACGAUGAUUGCAAUAAUGGACCAUCAAGAAGAUACGGGCGAUGGGUUUGCCUCAUCAAUUAUCACUUGGCGCAACAAGACCAGCAAAGUCUUUAUCGACAGGGGUGGAUCAACGGGUGGGGCGGGCAGAGCUCCAGUCCUCCUACCGCCACUCGAACAAUGGAGCCCCCCUUAGCCCCUCCAUAAAUUUUUAGGUAGAAGAAAAAAGAAGAGAAGGGAAGGAAGAGGAAGAAGAGGGAGCCCCUCCUAAGUAGGUCGCCAUCAUGCAUCCCAACGCAUGAUCGCCGCACCGCAUCCAUUCCUCUACAAGCCUCCAGUGUCUCUCCCGCCGCUACCUCUGAACCAUGUGCAGCUGCAGACCCAACUAGUGUCUUGUCGCCCAUCUCGGUCCCAAUAGAGCGGCGGCGGUUGCCAGCACAAAUCUCCCUCCACCUCUUCUUCAUGGUCGAUGGCCGCCACAAGCAUAAACCUCGCCUUCGCAUCCACGCAAAAGGGUCGCUGGGGUGCCUUCUUGCAUCGCUUCUCAGCCUCCUUCACUUGCGGCCAGCCAAGAACCGUGCCACCACCUCAGGUGCGCGCCACCGCUCCAGGGCUGCUACCCCAUGCCUGCGGCCGCCGCCAGCCACCACGCGUGUCGAACCGCGUCGCACCGCUUCCCUGCUCUGUGCCACCACUGCUGCUAUACCACCAGCUCCACCACAUUGGGCUGGUCGCCAGGGUGACUGAUUGGUGGAUUAUUACUCAAAAUAAGUUCCUUAUUAUUUGCAACUACUAUUAACUCGCGGAUACAUGCAUGUUUUGCUUCUCCUGCUAAUAUGUCCUAAAAUAUCUAGGAUACCUUAUAUUUCUAGACAGAGGAAGUAUUUGAAUAAAAUGAACCAAUUUAAAAAAAA
rnacentral:lncRNA from 1 species